GCAAUGGCAGAUUGGGACCUACCACUGGAGGUAUGGGUAGCCCUGAAAUCGGAGGAAGGGGUAGCUUAGGGACGGUCACUGGAGGAACGGGUAGCUUAGGUACAGUUACCGGGGGAACGGGUAGCUUAGGGACUGUCACUGGAGGAACGGGUAGCUUGGGGACGGUCACUGGAGGAACGGGUAGCUUGGGGACGGUCACAGGAGGAACGGGUAGCUUAGGUACAGUCACUGGUGGAACGGGUAGCUUAGGGAUGGUCACAGGAGGAACGGGUAGCUUAGGGACGGUCACCGGAGGGACUGGUAGCUUAGGGACGGUCACCGGAGGAACUGGUAGCUUAGGGACGGUCACCGGAGGAACUGGUAGCUUAGGGGCUUUAGGGGAGUGCUUUCCGCCCUUCCGUGGGUUGCAAGAGCCGCAUGCGAGAGAAUGUUGGGGGAGAUAGAUAAUGCAAAUGAGGAAGAGGCAAAGAGAGAGAGAUGAGAGUUUGGAGGAGUCCAUGUUGAGUAGAGUGGAUGGUGUAACUAUACGAAAGAGUAUAUGAAUAUAUAGAGGGAAAAUGAGAAGAAGAAUUCACGUGAAGAUGGGGGCUACUUCUGCAAUAAGAAGAGACGCCCCAAAAUAAGCAUGGUUGGCAAUUAUCAUAAGAAUACAAGAUUUCCUUGAUGACCCAUCGCUAUAUAUCAUCACAUGUCGACCACACUUUUUUCACUUUUUUUUUUCUAAGUGCCUCUUGUUCUUGGGUUAACUACAACUUUUAACAACGUGUAACUUCAGUUUCAACAGUACAGUACAUUUAACUUGUAGGAAUUGUAAUGAAUCAACUUAGCGAGACUAGGUCAUUAUGAGAUAUCAUCAAUACUAAAUAACAUUUUGAUGAUGUAAACACUCUAGGAAAAGCAGAUAAUAUAGUAUCAUAUGGUUUUCGCUUUAGUGUGUGGCUUCAUAAGCAUCUCCAUGCAUGAGUCGACUGCUAAGGAACAUAUAGAUCUGCACCAUAGUGAAGACGGCUUAGUCUAUUCAAAACACUAAUGUUGUGCCUUUCGAGGACCUCCCGAGACUCGAAUUCGAAUGCACUCUCCAAAGGUAUUAUGUUAGGGAAAAAACCUUAUUAAACCAAAUAUGUUACUGUUUAACCCAUACACGAAAAUUAGAUAUAUAAAUGUUGAACAAAUAGCAUAUAGUUAUAUCCAAUAUAUACGUACAUGAGAGGUAAAGAAGACAGCAAGACUGACAUGUGAAAUUCGGGAUACACUUUUGUUGUUUGGUGAUUUUGUUACGUAGUGUCAUUAAAGAAACGAUCAUGUGUGCGUGGACCAUCUUCUUCUUUUUACCGCUCAUUUCCCUUUUUACCAUAUCUACUACAAAAGAGUCCGAACUGACCAUUUAAUGAACGAGUACCAUUCAAUUCAUAAACUCCCCGUAUCAAUCUAACUGACACUGUAAAAGUUAUAAUGUUAAUAUAUAAAAAUAAUAUGGUUAUUUAGCAUGAAUAAUAACUUUUUAUAAUUGAGAGUAUGUCUAGCUAACAUUGGUGAUUGGUGCUUACAUAAAUCAUAUUUUUCAAACCACUUAACAAGAACUUUACAUAUUCAAUGAUAAACGAAUCACAUUUAUACAAUAUACCAUUCAAAAAUAAUAUUGUAAGAUGAUUUGAAAUUAAACGAUUGUAAUAUAUAAUGUGUUAAAAGUAAUGUAUUAUAGAUAUCUUGUAAUUAUUUAAAGGGUUUUGUGCAAAAAAAAAAACCACUAACUCAUACAUUUUUCCAAUUUACUAUCCAGCUCUAAUAAAUGCACAUUAAUCCUAUGAAUCUAAAAUAAUACGCAUUGUAACCCUUUUUGACCAUUUUUUGCUACCAUCAAUUUUGUAAAAUAUUGAUAUAUAAUAUGUUAAAUCAAAGCUCUCGCGACCAAGAGUUCAACUCUACCUUUAAAAAUUUUAAAAUGUAAUGUAUGUAACCGUAAAAACGCUUGUAAUAUGCAUAUGAAAUUUAUAUUACAUAUUAUGUUAAACUUCAUAAGAUUAAUCUGCAUUUGUUGGUAGUGCAUUUGUUAGAGGUGGAAGGUAAUGUUGCAAAAAUAGAUGAGUUAAAAGAUUUCUUUUUGCACAAAACCCUUUAUUUAAACUACUAACAAUAUAAUAUAUAAAUAAUUUAAAACAUAUAUCUCUAUAAUUCAUGAAGUAAUAAUGGUGUACCCUAUCCUUACCAACGAAUAAUAAAGAAAUGAUAUUAACUCUGAUUCAAAAGCUAUAUAUAAGAUAUUCUUUUUUUUUCCUCGGGAGGGAUACGAAUCCGGUAACAUGAAUCAGUGUCCAAUAAGAGCCAGUGGUCGUAAAUUCCAAAUGACAGAUGGAUGACUCAUUUUAAUUCGUAACUUUUGUCAGCUGCGAUAUAUGCUAAUGAAACCUGAGGUGCUAGAUUUUGAUUUUAAUGGCUUUAGAUUCUUACUCAACACUCAAUGGCCCACUCGUUAAUCUCUUACCUUCUAAAGUGAGUUAUGAUCCACUGCUUCUUUCUUCUUGUAGAUAGAUGGACCUGUUUUUUUUAGGUUGUGAUUUGUGGACAUUAAUCAACAACCCAUGUUUAUACGUGAUAAUGUCUGGAGCUAUAUGUAAAGGCGAUAUGGAGGACAACAUUCCUCUAUUCUAACUUUAAAAGCCAUGUAGUUAGGGCUGGACACCAAUAUUCUUUUUUUUUUUGCUAAAUUGUAAAUAUCAUUUUGAUGAAAAAUCAGGUUUUACAACAGUUGUAUAACCUAAAACAUUUGAACUCUUUGGCAAAAAAGAAUAAAAAAACGAAGAGCCAAUCGAGAGCUGCAUAGAACUCGGUAGUUUCAUAGCAGCCACAACGCUAUUAACUUGCGAAAAAGGAGUCUGUUUCUUCUUGAGGUGAUAACGUUUUUGAUUUUGCGGUUGAUGCACUUGAAUAUAGAAUGCGGAGAGAGGGAAGUAGCGUUGUGCAGGACAUUGUUAGGCUGCUUCAAGAUGUGGAAGACCUUAGACUGAACGACAAUAAUUUUAAGAACUGAUGAAGCCAAUAUUCAUCAUUUUCAAACAAAAAAUAUCUUUUGUUUGACACCAAUAUCCUUGACCAGCUUCAAACAAAGGAUAUACAUCAUUUUUAAGUCGGGUAAGGCAAAUGAGUAUAAGGAUUCUCAUUACACAUCUGGUUGCCAAAAACUUUUAGUCAAAUACUAGUUACAAUCUCAGUUUUUUACCCCAAACUUUUUGCCACUUAAAAAACUAGGGGUGGGCAUUCGGGUAAGCGGGUCGGGUUCGGGUUCGGGUAAAACCCGAUCAGGUAUAAAGAAGUUUAGGAUCUAAUAGGGUAAAUCUAAAAUAUCGGUUCGGUUUCGAUUCGGGUCCAACCGGGUUCGGAUAUAGAUUUGUGGCCUUUUUUUAUCCAGAUUUUUCGGGUAAAAUUUUGGAUUUCGGAUAAAAUUUAGAUUUUUGAAUAAAAUAUUUGGGUAUUUUCGGGUUCGAGUUUGUUUUUUCGGGUAGAGAAAUUUAGGAUCCAGUAAAGUACAUCUUCGGAUUUGGAUUAAGUUUCAGCUCUAAUUUUUCGAGUUAGUUUCGGUUCGGAUAAUCGGUUCUGGUUUUUUGGCCCGGCUCUAUAGAAAACCAUCAAUAAAUAUUUUAAUCCUAUUUCUGCCUCAUUACUCGAGAAAAUAUUCGACCCGUUUUAUUACUUGAUAAAUUUACAACUAUAUAUUUAUGUAAUCUAUUUCAUAUUAGUAAAAUAUAUUAAAUUUGUUAUUAAAACCAAAUAUCUUUUGAGAUUAGGGCAAUCAAAAGUUAAGGUCAAGCAAAUGUCUCCUUUCUAAAUGUUUUUGUGGGUAACGGUAAAGGACAAAUAUACAGCCCAUGCCCAGACCUACAAGUAGCGACUCCAUUACUACACAGUAAGAUUUUUAUUAAUAAAAAUGUGCAUGGUUUCAUUUAAAAGUCAUUGCUAACACUUCACUUUACAGUAAUAUUCAAUUUCAUACCUUUAAACGUUAAUCAGAAUCGCCAAUUGGAAGCCAGUCACUGGAAUCACCUUCCGAAUCCUUGCUAUGUCCAACUUGGCUCUUGCUGAGCUGAACCCAGCUUGACCCGCUUGCGUUUGAUGCUGGUCUUUUCAGUGUACUCCUGUUGGGACUUGGCUUCUCCGAGAGAUCAUCGACAUCUAAAUCACUAAAGGAGAUUACCUCUUCAUCUCUGAAACUCCUCCGUUGUUCUUCAGAUGACUCAUCACUUAUCUCCCUUUGCUCAAUUUUUAGAGUCUCUAUCUUGUCAAUGACUCCCUCAACGGUUUCUGUUUCCCUACUGCUACCUUCUUCAGGAGUUUCGUGACCAGUAGUGCUCUUGCUUGACCCUGUCUCUUUCUUUUGCAGCUUUAGUAAAAGUUGAUCCCUUGUUUCAAAUACCUGUGCCGCACAAUAUAGUUAUUAAAGUUUCAGAAAUAGGUACAAUAGUAACUUGGGAAAAAAUGCAGAGCAUAAAAGAUAUAAAACAAUCCAAUUUUAAAAGCAUCAGGCAAAAAUACAUUUUUUCCUGAGGCUAUACUUGUUCUUAUUGCAAUCGGUUGAAGGGGUCAUUAUAGCAUAAACGUUUACGAUUUUAAUAAUAUUGGAUCAAUACUGACAUUUCAGAAGAAUGUAUUUCCAGUAUACAGUCUUACCUUGCAUGUUGCUAAGAGUUCAAAAUCAUGCCCAUUCAGUCUCGGCAUCAGCAAAAUAAAAUAAAUCAGCCAGAAGUGUUCAUCAUCCAUGUAACUACUAACUUGAUUCUUCACAGCUACAAGGCCAGGAACCAAAUCUUCAAUGGCUGAUGCAUGUGCCCUUUGAGCCUCAGACAGUUCAAAUUCUGCAAUGUGGACAUGAAAAGUUGGAGAAAAACUUCAGCAUAAUUCAGUAGGUAAAAUUGAUGUAAACCACCAAUGCUUUUUAUCAGGAAGUGUUUCGACAACAUUUUCAAGCAAACCAAGCCUAUAUACAAAAGGUUGUACAGGAUGACGAUAUGCUUCGCAAUAAAAUAAAUAAAAAGAUUUAAGUGGCAUAUGGAUUGAACUAUAUAUAUAUAUAUAUAUAUAUAUAUAUAUCCCAAGAAGAGACUGCAGACCCCGUCAAGUUUAUUCGUAAUUCCUGGAGAUCUAUCUAAAGAACAGGGACUUCAAAAAAAAAAAUUAACUGCAGAAACAAUCAAUCUUGUCCAAACAGGUCUAGAAUAAAACACAUCAAGAGUUAAAGACUGAAGCAUAAUCAUCUUUGGCGACUGAAAACAAGUCAACUAUAUUUCCAAGAACAAUCAUGUUUAUUCCUGCAUGGCUGCAAGUUCGUCGACAAUAUCUUCAAGGUAUGAAAAAUGUGAUCUACAGAGAGUAAUGGGACCCCGAGAUCCUAAAGACCUGAGCUUGAAGAAAUAUAUCCCAAGAGGAGAUGGCAGGACCGGUCUAACCUAAUCUAAAAUACUAGGAAAUCUCUCUAAAGAACACCAGAGGCUACAAGCAAUCAACUGUACAAACAAAAAAAAUAUUUUCCUAAUAAAUCACAGUAAGAAAAUCAUAACUAAACAUAGAUAGUUAGAAACCACCAAUGCGGUGCUUCGACUAUACUUUCAAACUAACAAAGCCUAUAUACUGGGAACAAAAAUAUGCUUGAAGAAAUAUGUCCAAAUAAGCUUAAUCUGUAACCCUAGUGAUCCCACUAGAAAGCCAAUCAACUGUAGAAGCAAUCAAUCUUUUCCAAAUAAAACCUAUUUUAGUAACAAUUAUGUUUGCCUACUGGGAAAAAAAAAAGUCAAUGCAGAGCUUAAGACUAUUGAGAAUCAAGCUUUAUGAUUCCUCUAUUGACUAUACAGGAGCAUUACCAGUAUCGAGUGACAAUGGAAAAUCUGUCCAACAACCAGGUUUCGUCGAGAUUUUAACAGCGAAAUCGACUACUUCUUCAGAGAUUCCAGGAACUUGAUCGUUCAACGGAGAUCUUCUACUACUUUCUCUAUCUCUUAGAUUACUAGGAAAUUGGAGUAAAUUAGAUGCGAAAUUGGAGAAAUUUCCACGAAUCUCGGCUAGAUCGUUGCGGAUCCCGAGAAGACCUAGCUGAGUUGGUGAAUUAUCAGAGGAGAGUCGGCGUUCGUUUACAGGUGGAGAAGGAGGCGGUGCCAGGAAAGCUGCGACGCCACGGAGUAAGGAAGAUAAAUCUUCUUUGACACCGCCAUGAGUUGUGGAAGGAUCGGGAUCGGGAUCGUGAUCGUCAUCGCCGCGAGAUUUGAAGAGCCAAGACAUGGUUUUUGAGUGAGAGAGGUUGGAUUUGGGGUUUUCAGUUUUUUUUGCACGGGGUUACGAAUAGCAAGAGAGAAGAAACGGUACGUUUUAAUACCUUUCCAAAACGCACCGUUUGUUGUUUGUUCGUUUUGAUACCUUCCCAAACGUGAAAUAAACGAACAAUAAUUAUACAAAAUAAACGGAAACAAAACCUACUUUUUAAAACGGGAAAAUAUCGUUUUAUACGUGAUGUUUUUAAGAAUGGUCAUUUUAUAUGUAAACUUUUAGAUCGAUCAAAUAAAAUAUGAUAAAAAUGUUGAUCCGCUAUUUAAACAAAACAUAAAGUUUGCCUGGCCAAAAUUUCCGAAAUGUUAACUUGUAUUAACGGAUCUGAUAACCCUCGUUAGCAGACGUUAGUCGUCUUCCGUUAAUACCAAACGAUUUUUUGUGAUGAGUACAAACCUUAAAAUUCCCAAAUCGAUUUUUCAUUCCCUAAUUCUUCAUAAUCCCCAAAAUUUGAACUAUUCUCGAUAUAUUUUUUUUGAGCUCAAAAUCUCCAUUUUGUGUAGAUAUGAGUUUAAAAAAUUUGAGUGUUCAAGAAGGAGGAAGUGGGAACCUUGGGUUUCCUUCAAAGUGUCAUUGGGGGAGAGAUUUCAUCAUCUAUAUAUCAAGCUCGACGAAGAACCCAAGAAGAUCCUUCUUCUGUUGUCCAACAUAUCAAGAUGUAAGUAGAUUUGAAUUUGUUUUUUUUGGUGUUUGAUCGGUAAAAAGUUGUCGUUGUAAAUGCAGGACCAUUUGUUUAAGUGAGUCGAAGAUUGUGUGUAUGAAGAGGUUGUAGAUGCAAUACUGAUAAUCUCUAUGAUUGAUAGCUAGAUAAACAAUGUCAAAUUUCAGGUUGUAGUCGAGAUUGCAGAAUUAAAGGUUUUGAUCCAAGAAUUGAAGGAAGAUGAAAUGUGGAGCAAAAUGGAAUUGAAGAUAUGGAAAUCGAUGACCAAAUUGUGCUUGGUGUGCCUUUGUAUAACAGUCAUUGCAAUUAUGAUCAUAAUGUUCUAUAAGACCAAAAACCAUAAGCUUGUUCUUGGUUACUAGUGUUUUGUGUUUGUAAUAAAAUGUUUUUAUGGUACUGAAAUGUUUGUUUGGCAAUGAUAAUCAGUCCUAGUGUUUUGUCUUAGUGUUGUGAUUGUAAUGAAAUGCUACUAGAUGCUUGUUUAACAAUGAGAAUCACCAAAAUGAAACUCAUUCAUACAUUAUAAAACUUGUGUCACAAAGACAAGUCGAAACCACAAAAUGAAAUCGAUACUAAGCUUAUGUCAUAAAGACAAAUCCAUUAUGUCAACCACCAAAAAUAAACUUAUGAGAAAGCUUAAGUUCAAACAACAACAAAAAGAAACUUGUGACUAAUCUUGUCUUGAACACUCAAACCAUGAUGCAAAUCCACCAAGUCCUUGUGGUUGAGCAUGUGGCUCAGUUUGUGCUUGUGCUUGUGGUUCUGUUUGGGAUUGUACUUGUGAUGCUCCACCUGUCUCCCUUGGUCUUUCUGAUGUUCCGCCUGUUGCCCUUGGUCCUUGUGAUCGAAUAUGAGAUUGUGAUCCUUGAUGAGGUUGUGAUCCGUGUAUUUGCUCUUGCGAUUCGAGCACUUGAGAUCGUGAUCCUUAAUGAGAUUGUGAACUUUGAUGAGGUUGUGAUCUUAGCACUUGUGAUUCCUCCUAAGUUAAAUAUGACAGUCUGAACAGUUGCAUGAUUAAGUGAGUUGUAAAACAUAUAAAAAAAAACAAGAAUACAAACCUGAUUUAUUCGUGGAUGACCUCUUGGUCUCUUUGGUGGAAUCAGAAUAGUGGCAUUUUUGCAGCUUUGCUUGUUUGCCCUUGUUGAAGGCAGUUAGAGCAUGUCAUGAUUCUCUUUUGCAGUGGCAUCUUGUUCUUAUUUGAAGAAGAAGAAGUCUCAUUUCUUCCUUUUCUCCUAACAUAAUUACUCGGUCUUCCAACAUUUCCUUUUGUCCAUGGUGGUGGCAAAACAGGGAGCCUAUUGGUUUUAGGCCACAAUGGCAUACCUUGGACAAGGCUAAUACCAUCUUUAUAAGUUUUUCGCCAGAUUACCUUUGUGUAAAACUUGCUCACAUAGUCUGCAACUGUUUCUCUUCUUCCUAUUAUCACAGGUGUCGCAUAAAUACAUGGGAUCCCCACCAUCUACCACUUCCUGCGACCACAAGUUCUCUUCUCCGUAUCAACAUAGUAGCUAACACCAUUCACAUCAAUUUGAUACAAAUUGUUUCUGGACAUAUAUCUCUCGCAAUUUCUAACCCCAACUAUCAUUUUCUCAAUCUCAAGAUGGGCUCUCUUUGUGAACCUUGUCUUCAAUUUGUCAGCAAUGAUAUACGUCUUCGUAGUUAUGACCAUGCAUUACCUCUGGAUGUACUCUAGCUAAUCCAACAAAGGCUUUCUCCUAGCCUGUUUAAUAGUCUUAUUAAAAGACUCACACUGAUUAUUGAGGCUGUCAUUGCAACGUGUCCAAUUCUAAAGAAGGCUCUCGACCAUGUCAUUGGACUAGUAAGUUGCGAGUGGCAUGCGCAUGAGGAUUGUAUCUCUUUAGCUCUUCCAUAUUAUUCAUGAACACUUCUUCAGUGUAGCUUCAAAUUGUUUUUCAAAGAGACAUUGUAGUUCUAUCUCAUGGUUGUCUCUCUUCCAAUUGUCCAUUAUAUGCCUUGAAUAUUGUCGAUGCUCAACUUCUGGAAGUAUGGUAUUGAUAGCUUUGACUAGACCCUGUAAAAUAACACAAAAACAUAAGCGUAAACCCUUCAUAAAAGACAUUAAACUGAAGCAAAAGAUGAUAAAAUUAACUGAUUAUUUAUCUGAAAUGAUAACUAGAUGUUGCAUUUCACAGUCCCAAACUAGUAGAGAGCUGUCUCAAAAACCAGUCCCAAUUAUCAUUGUUUUCUAUCUCAACAACUGCCCAAGCUAUAGGAACAAUCCUCUUAUCUCCAUCUCUUCCAACUACAGCUAAAAGGUGACCUUUUACAUCCCAUUUUAGAAAACCCAUCUAUUCCUAUCACAGGUCUACAAGUUCGCUUCCAAGAAUCCUUUUGAGAUUUAAAGCAGAUAUAGCACCAGAGAAAAGAAUCCUUUUGUGAUAUAAAGCAGCUAUAGCAUCAGAGAAACCUUUGCUUGCUUCCAAUAAAAAGCCCUACUGUUGUCUCUAUCUCAAACUCUGUCUCUGGGUUCUACUUUAAAACCUCCGCUUGAUAAUCUCAUAUUCUUGAAAAGUGAUCAUUAUGAGUAGCAUGUCAUGCUUUCAACACUUUGGUCUUGGCCUUUGCACAUUGGUCUGGAGUCACAUCCAAAUUGAAUUCUCUCUGAAUCUCAACAACCAUCUCGUUCUUUGAAAUAUUUGGAUUCACUCUCAGCCUUUCAUCAAACAAAAGUGCAAUGGAAGACCGCUUCAACAUCUUUGAAUAUCCUGACCUAACACAAGUAUGCAUAUAAAAUCUUACUUGCAUCUUAUGUUUUGUCUUCUCAUACGAACAAUAUACUUUCCAACCACAUUUAACACCAUCAACACCAAUUUAUGACCACUUCGCAGCAACAACCAUAGAUUCAGACCCAUAAAGAGAAAUGGUAUACCAUGUCUUUAAAGAGUACAUCAAAAGAACACGCUUGAAGUCGUGUUUAUAUCCUCUUCACCGCGUAAACCACCAUUAUAAUCGUUAUCUCCACCACCAACCACAUCAUCAACGACAUUGCAGUCUUCAUCACCAUACACGGCGCAGUCUUCUUCAUUUUUCAGGGUCAGGCUCAAAUGUAGGUUCUUCAUCCUCCUCUUUUUAAUGUCUGACUCUUCUUCGUUUUUGUUUUCAAAGCCGCUUUGAAACUCGAGCUUUAACUACGAUAGAAGACUCUACUACGCCUACAGCCGGCAGAGCUAGAACUCCGUUAUCAAACUCUAAAACUGCUUCCGCUGGUGGAGCUCGAACAACAUCUUUGGUGUCAUCUUCGCCUCGUGGUGGAGCUUCAUCAUUGUCUAAUUUGCCUUCCAUUGAUACAAUCUAGGACUCCAAGGAUACAAAUUCAAGAUGAAAUCAAAUCAAAAUCGCGAUUUCGCCAAAGUAAGAAUUAGGGAUUUGGUUUUUGGAAAUUAGGGAUUUUGAAAUCAAAAUGGGAAUUUCUGUUUCAGUUUAUGAAACGACAUUGUUUUAGGCAUUAACAGAAAAAAUUAACGUCUGCUUACAGGGGUUAUCGGAUCUGUUAAUGCAAGUUAACGUCUCGGGGAUUUUGGUCAGGUCAACUUUAUGUUUUGUGUUAAAUGGCGGGUCAACGUCUUUAUCAUGUUUUAUUUGGCCGACCUAAAAGUUCACGUAUAAAAUGGCCACUUUUGAAAGUUCACGUAUAAAACGACAUUUUUCCCUUUUCAAAAACCUAAUUUAUUUCGCAUAAUUAUUGUUCGUUUUGAAAAGUAGGUUUUGAUUUAAUAUUAAAUUUAUUCGGGGAAAAAGAAUUAUACAUUUACAAGUAGGAAAAAUGGGUAAAAAAAACCUCACCUUUCCCAAAUACAUUUAAAAAAACCUCAACUUUUUGUAGGUUUUUAAACCCUCACCUUUUCAAAAAUGGUAAAAUAACAAUUAGCAUUAUUAAACCAAAUAAAUACAAAUUAAAUACUAAAUAAACUAUUAUAUUAAGACAUAAAAAACAACAUAAUUUAUAAUCUAUCUUUUCCAAAUUUGAGUUUAGGAUUUUUUUUCUUCUAGAAUUUAGUUGUUUUUUGUGAUAUAAAAAAUAAGUUUCAUUGCCAUUAGAAAUUGGUAUGUAAACUAAAACAAUUUAUAACAUAGCACAUUUUAUUUUAUUUGUGUUCAACUAUGUUCUAACCUUUGAAGUUUUGGAUUUAAAAUGGAUAAAAUUUAUUAACACAAAUUUGAUCUAAACUUGAGUGACCUAAUAUUUGUUCUAAACUUGUGUGAUCAAAACUUUAUUCUAAACUUAAGUGUCCAAACCAAAUAAAAUUUUAUUAAAUAUAUUUUAUAUUUAGUUAUUACAAAAUUAGUUUAGUUUUACGUUGAUGAAUUUCUUGAACUCAACCAAAUUAAUCUUGUUUCAGUUCACUGCAUAUGUAGAAGAAUAUAUAUCUAUAUAUAUAUACAUAUAUCAUACCUAAAAUAAAAUAAUUAUUUUUAUCCAAAAUUUAAUUAAACUUACACUCGAAACAAAAUAAAUAAACUUUGAAUAGACUUUGGAUAUGUUAUCUUCAGUAUGAAACCAAUUGUCUGAACCAAAUUUAAAUUGUUUUCACAUAAAACAUUUUACUAGAAGAAAAUAUUUAAGAGCUAUGUCUUUGGUUAGAUUAGAAUCGACAUAUUUCGUUUUCAAGAUUGUUUAGUGGUAGUUUGUUGUUUUGCGUCAAGUUUUUUUUAAUGUUUUCUUUUCCUAUUUUUGUCGGGUUCAUCUCUUGCUUUUGGACCGGUCAAUCUAUAACUUUUCACCUUUAUAAUAAUAGGUAAAGCGGUUGUGUGACUCUUUCAUUUUCCUCUACUCAAGUUUAAGACUAAAUCUGGUCAAAUUUUUAUUAGACUAGUUAUGAUGGUUUGUUAUAAACCAUUUCACAACUGUUGAAAAAAUUAUUUCCACUACAAUGGUUUAUUGUAAUCGAAAAGUAAGUGAGAUGGCAAAUUUAUCAACACUCAUGAGAGUAGAAGAAAGAAGAUAAGUGUGACAAGUGUUAUAUUUUGAUUGGUUGCUUUUUUUUUUUGGACAAAAGCUUGUUUUUAUUCAAUUAAGAGAGAAACAAGUACAAAGGAACAAGGAUUCUAAGAUCCCAAAGUUUAAAGGACAACAAAGGUAGGCAUUCCCAACACCAUAAGAAGAAAAGCUAACACACAAAUAAGGUACAUCAACAAUGGUUCCAUGAGAGCUAUAAUCCAAACACUUGAAGGGAAUUUGUUACUUUUAAGAUCAAGGAUUGUUGACAAAUCUUCCACGAACAAAGUAGUGGAUGAGAGUAUGGUUACUGUCAAAAGACUUAGUAACGUUAACAAGGGCGCCAAAGACAUGAAUCUCGUCGGGACGAGAAGUACUACACCAAGUAGUGCUUUUGCAAAGGUUCGAACAAGGUUUUGGUAAAGGAAGGAGGAUCGUCGAGGCUUAGAAAGAUUGAUGCGAGACCGUAACAGAACAGGUGGGUCCUCUCUCCCAAGAAGACCAAGGAGAUUAAGGAAUUCCACACAAAGCUUGUAGUCGGUUUGCCACAUGAAGAAAAGGCCAGACAUGAGGAAAUUGAGUAGAUAUCACUUUGAGGCACUAGUCAAUAGGGAGGGAUCUCUCACAAGAGAAUUGAGAAGUUCAUGUUGAAGCUUGAUCCAAACCCGGGGAGUAAUGGUGAAUGGGAGGUUCUUGAAGUUGGUCGAUAUAGUUGUCAGUAUGAAAUACUUUGAUAGAGAGUUUUGGUGACUAGCGUCACAUCUCCGACAGAUUGGACUAAGAAACACUAGACCAUGAAUCUUCAAAACGGAAUCAUAAAACAUUGCCCUAGCUAAACCUAGCACCAAGGUUCUCAGAUAAUAUUUGUAGGAGCAUAUCAACGAGGGUGAUUCGUCAUUCAAGUGGUGUCCCUAACCCCUCAAAAUAAAGAAACGAUGUCUACAUUGGGAUAGACUCGGCAAAUUGCAGAUGGAGGAAUACCUGGAUUUUUGUGAUAAUAGGUUUGGGUCGCAAUUUAUGGGCUUGGGCCGCGAGGGAAAUGGGCCAACAUUGGAGACAGGGCCCAUCAAAGAAAACCCUCGAUUCCAGAUUGUUGGGCAAGGAGCGUUGGGAGUGCGGCGGCUACGGUAGAGAGGUACGAAUUGCACAAUUGAAGCAGACGUCUCUGAUGUAAAUAGAGUUAGGGUGAACAAGCUGCAUGACGGGUCCGGCGCUGAGGCUAUAACAACGGCUAAUGGUUUGGCAAAAGAACGUCGGAGAAGCCUUAGGGAGCCGAAAGGUCCCGCAGAUCUAGUAACGAUGAGGAGGCGGAGACAAGGCUCAGGUUGGAAGGAUUGGUCGCCUAUGAAAUUGAAAGCUUCACAAACUGUUUUCUUUGAUUCGCAAGGUUUGGACAGAGAGUGUAGCUUGCUCGGAGGCCACAUUUUGCCUAUGUCGGAGAAUACUGCUUCAAAGAAGAUUCAACAGCAAAGAAGAACUCGAUAGAUUUGGAUUAAAAGGUUUGCAACAGAAGAAAACUAAAUUACAACGAAGAAGUAGAUGAAAGAUUGAGGAAAUAGCUCGAGAGAUGAGAGGGAGGUUCCGAUGCCGGCGAGCAUUUGCUCCACCGACGUCGGAAAGAUGAAGGGAGAUAGUUUCCUCGAUAUUAGUGUCUAUUAGCUCCACCGACGUUGAAAAGAUGAAGGGAGAUAGUUUCCUCGAUAUUAGUGUCUGGGAGAGAAACUCUUUAAAAUCUUAGUCUCGCAAAAAAUUUGAUUGGUUGCUUUGAUUUCUAUAUUUUUUUUCUUAAUUACAUAACUUUAAUUAUUUCAUAAUAUUUAUAAAUAAACAUAUCAAAAUUUACAAUUUUUCAUUCUCUAUAAAUAAACACUAUCUUCAUUUGAUUUGGACAAAACAAAAAUAAUCUUUCUUUAGAAAAAAAAAAGUUUAGUCUCCAAUAAACUUUUGUUUUAGCUUUAAAUAUACUUUUAUCUAAAUGGAUCCAAACAAUAACCUUUCAACACCCAAAACUUUUCUAAUUACUUUUAAACUAUCCAAAUCCCAACAAUUAUUAGUUGCAGGUGUGUCAGAAGGACAUUGAACGAGCAUUUGGAGUGUUGCAGGCUCUAUUUAAAAUUAUUCGCGAACCAGCUCGACUGUGGGACAUAGCCGAUUUGACUAUCAUCAUGAGGUCGUGUAUCAUAUUGCAUAAUAUGAUUGUUGAUGAUGAACGACAGACGUAUACUCAACAUUGGACUGAUUAUGAUCAAUCUAAGGCAAGUGGGCCGAGUACAUAACAACCAUUCUCGACCAAAGUGCUACUUGUAUUUGCAAAUCAUCUGCGUGGUAGAUCCAAGUUGCGUGAUUCAAAUGUACACCGCAAAUUGCAAGCAAAUCUAGUCAAACAUAUAUGGGCACAAUUUGGAAUUUUCCAUGGUGAAUGAGAUUUUUAAGUUUGUGAGUUGAGAUUAAUAUACUAAUUAAGUUACAAAUGUUUCCUUACUUGUUGUGUGCGUAUUGUAUUGCAUUUUAAAUCUAUGUUCAUUGUAUGUGUUUUAGUAAUGAUUAUUUUUAUUUCUAGUUUUUAUUAUUUAUAAAGUUUUUUUAAAAAAUAUAUACAAAUAUUAAAACAAAAACUAUUUUAUAAAAUUUAUUUAAUAUUUAAUUAUUUAAAUUUAAUUUAAUAUUAACGGUGAUUAAUAAUAUUUAAUCACAAAAAACAUAAACAUAAAUAAAAUGAAAAAUAUAAAAUAAAAAUUGUGGGAUAAGGUGUUGUAAUUUUAUCAAACAAAACUAUUGUAGAGGGAAAAAAUUAUGUAGGUGUGGAAUAACGAUGUGGAAGAGAGAGAAAACGAUGUGAAGUGUUAAAAGGGAAAAAAAGGGUGUUGUAAAUGGGUAACCAUUGUAGAUAGUCUUAGGAAGUGAAUGGUGACUUUAAGAUUUGCAGAUUUCGAAAGAAAAAGAAAAAAAUGCACUAAUGUCACCAAUCAGACAUAUGUGUGUAAUUUGUUUUUUUUUACAGAUAAUUUGGCACACACAUUUCAAAGCAUGUUAAUACACUAGGGAUAAAAGAAACACACUCUACUAUCGUCCAAGGGAUAUUUGGCAGCGCUUAACUAAAAACUUGCAUUACACAGUAAGUAAUAAAUCAAUUAUUUAAUUAAUAAUAAAAUGUACCUAUAAAUCAGAUCAUGUACUCUAAAACUAUUCACACAUUACAACCAAAAACAACAUCCUCUCAUAUUUCGCUCCAAUCCAAAAGAAAAAAAAAACAAUCUCCCACCCUUUCGUCAUAUAUUACAACAUUUAAAUGUAAAUUACUUUUACUAUACUAGUAUAAUAAUUACUUAUAACAAAAUAUUUCUAUGUAAUUAAGGUCUCUUUAUAAAUAAAUAGGACUGAAAUUAAGUAUAUAAAAUUGUUCAAAAUUUAGUAAAUCAUAAAAUGUUAUAUUUAUGUACAUAUUUAUAUGACUAUGUUUUAUUUUUAUAUUCAUAACAUCAGUAUUAAAUUUUAAUCAAAUCAUAGAAAUUUUUAAAUAUGUAUAAUAAAUGGUUGUGAUAGUAUUUACUAAUCAAGAUGUAUAUAUAUUUAUUAAAAAGAGAAAGGAAAAUUUUGAAGAUAUACAAAAUUACUAUUUUUUUAAAUUAUAGUUUAGUAUAUUUAUAUUAGAUGGUAAUAUGAUAUUAUGAAUUUUUUCAAAACUUAAUUAAAUCAAUUAAUUUAAUCAUAUCAAAAGUUACUUAAAUCAAUUCAUUUCCAUCAUUAUUAAAUUUUAAACAAAUCAUAGAAAAUUAAAAUAUGAAAAGAAAUGGUUGUGAUAGUACAAUAAAGUGAUUCCGAGUUCCCUUUGCCUCCGUCGGAGAAGUAUUAUCUAGUUGAUUAUGACUACCCAAACAAAUAAGGAUUUCUAGUUCCUUAUAGAUCGUCAGGAAAUCGAGUUGUGAGAUAUCAUAUGUCUCAAUUUUAUUUUGGUCCUCCUCCUAGAAACAAACAUGAACUAUUUAAUAUGUCAUGCAUCUUUACGUUCUGUUAUCGAGAGAACUUUUAGAGUUUCGGAAAAGAAAUGGAGGAAUCUUUUUCAUUUUCCUAGAUAUAAUAUUCAUAUUCAAAAAAGAGUGGUAAUGGUUAUAGUGUGAUUACAUAAUUUUAUCAGAAUUUCAAACUUCUCAGAUGUAGAUUUUCUUGAUGUAAUGACAGAGACAAAUAUAAACUACAGAGAUUAUGAUCAUCAUUUAGAUGACAUAGAAGCAACAGAGAUAACAAAUGGAGAACAUAUGAUGCCAAUAAAAGACAAUAUUGCAAAUAUGUUAUGGCAAAAUCAAAAUAAUAUAAAAUAUUUUUUAAUGUUUUUUAUGAUGAAAUUAGUUAAGGCAUGUAACAAUAUGUAUGUUACAAAAUUAAAUUUAUAUUUUGAUCAAUUUUUGUAUUAGUGGUUUAUAAAUAUCUGUUAUUGUUUAUUUAUUAACACAAAAAAUUAAUUAAUUAUUAAUAUAUAUAUAUAUAUAUAUAUAAUUUAUAAUUCGCACCGCAUGUAGUUUUUUCACCAAUCAAACAUUAUUUUGUACCGCUUAUUUUGAAUAAACCGUACUUAUCCCGCAAAUAUAUUUCUCCUACACGAACCGCAGUUUAACCGUACUACACUUCAAUAACGCUUUCCCCGCACUAUAAAAACCACGGUUACCAUUCGGACCCUUAGAGCUUGUUUAAAAAAUUGCUAGGCGUUAACCGGGCAUUCGGGGACUUAUCGAUAUUAGUUUUUAACAUUUUAAUAUUGAUAUAUACAUAUAAAUUAAAUAUCGGAAUAUAUGACAAUGGAAUUAAUUUGGUUGAGUGUCAUCUUUUUUUAUUUGGAAAUUGCACAAUCUAUACUCUGAGGAGUCGUUAUUUAGGUUCCCAAAAAAGCAACUGUUUGGCUGGUACUGUGGAUGUGGAAAUUGCGCAUGUAUGAAAAUAUAUUGUGUGAGACGGCUUCAUUAAAAUCUUAUUAGAUUAUUAUUGUUCUUCGCAUGUGGUUUUUGUUUUCUAUAUGUUUUUUAUUUAUUGAUUUAUGGGGAAACCAAUCAUCAUCAUCAUUUCCCUUCCAAUACGGAGAGCUUGGCAAUGCGAAAGAUUUGGAUGGCAAAUGUUUGGUAUAAAUUUUUCGACCCGUUAAUAUUAUAAUCUUGAUAUUAUUUUUGUUAACGUCAUUAAUCUUUUGCAGACGUAUGUGGAGCCUAUCAUUUUCCCUGACGUGGAGAUGAACCCGAAAGAAGAUUUAACCUGGUCUGACGAUGAGGAAGAUGUGAUGGGUUGAUAAUAUCGUCAUGUUAGUUGGUAAAGGGAUUACUUUUCAGCUCCCUCCAUUCUGAUUUGCCAACUCCUACAAAUGCUAAGGUUAGUUAACUGAUAUUUAUUUUAUAAUCGUUGUGUUUAGUAGUUUAGCAACUAAGUAUUAUAUGUGAGUAGCUAUAUUUUUUCUUUAUUUUUGUAGCUUUUUUGCCUCUGUUUCAGAGUUUUCAAUUAUCUCCAAGAUGUUGCAGGUAAACAAAUCUGUUGAGGUCCUUGAUCAUCGAGAUGAAGAACCGGUUUAUUUAUUUACACUCCAUUUUUGUUUAACUUUACUGUACAUUUUUGUUAACCCCCUCCAUAUUUUAUUAGCCGGUAAGAUUGUUAUCAUUCAUUUUCUUUUUAAUUAUUUUAUUCUGUCUUGCAGACCAAAAUCAAUCCUUCAAAAUUAACCACUACAGUCGAGGAAGAAAAGGAUUCUAAGGAGGUUAGAUAAUUCUUCCUUGUUUUUAACUUUCAUUUGGUUAAAUCCUUAACCGGUGAUAUAUUGCAUGUUUCAAUUUUAGGAUUUUACCACUCCACCCCUGUCAACCCAGUCUCGCUCUAACGUGAAGGUUAUCUUCUAACUAUGAUGUUAUCGCUUAUUGUUUAUAUUCAUCUUCCACGUUUGUAGGAUGUGGUGUGCCCUGCAAGUGUGUAUGCGGAUUAGCUGUUAAAAAAAAUAUUUCCAAGACGCAAGAAAAUUCGGGCUGCCCCUUCUUCCGCUGUGUAAGCAAAAGAGACGUGAGUUAUUUCCUCUCUAAAAACGAUGUUAUUAGCUUUUCUGGUAGCUACACGUUUUGCUAGUUAACCUAUCAUUCUUUUUGUAGGGACAUUUGUUUAAGUGGGUUGAGGAUGUUGUAUAUGAAGAAGUGGAAGAUGCAUUGGUUAGACUUGUAUCGAUUUAAAAUGAGGUAAAUGAUUAAAAGCGCAGGUCAUCCAGUUUUGUGUUGCUAUAAAAGAGUUGAAGGCAGAUUCAGUGUCCGACCAGUUGGUGAUGCUUAUGUUGAAAGUGGGCUUGCUUUUCAGAUUUGUCUUCUCUCUUUUUGUAGCUUUUGUUAUCGCAACACUUCUUAAAAUAGUCGAUAUUAAGUUCAUUAGUAGUUUUUAAUGUCUAUCUUUGUAAUGUUUCAUAGUUUCUAUAAUUCCCUAUGUUUAAGAUAUUAUAUUUGUUAGUCGUUAACCAUGUAAUAUAUACCUUGUAUCAAUCUUCUGUCUAUAUAAUAUUUUAUAACUUCUCAUUUAUUUCUUUAUUUUUGUACCAUUUGCACAUUCUUUAGGCGAUAUUUAUAACCAUUUUAAAACUUAUCUUUUAUUUUAAUUUUUUGGUAGCAUUUUCACAUUUAUUAAGCGAUAAUCUAAUUCUUAGCCAUCCAGCUGUGGUCCUAUCUUCUUAUUUUAGGACGCUAGUUAUCUUUUUUCUUAGUAUUGCAAAUUUUAAGAAGAGGGUCUAUAUCUUGGUACAUAUUUUGUUACAGAAUAUCAUUCAACAUAAACAUAUAUUUAACAUUCAGAAGGAAGGUUUGUUGGGAUCGUCCCUGAUUGCAGAUAAUACACAUUUUUUGGAUCAGUAAUUGUACGUAUAUACAUUGAAAAUUUUCUGAUCUCCGAAUUCUUGUUAUUUAUAAAACAUGACUUCUCGCGAGUCUUCUAAGCACGGAACCAUCCGUUCAAACCCUCCCAUAGUCCAAAAAAACAGUCCUCUCCUUCCAUCUUCAUCCGCAAAAAAAAAAUUUUCCUCGUCGCUUACUUGCCUCCAUGUACCACAUUAAUUUUUUGAUUAGCAGUCAUUUUUCUUUUUAAUCAGAUAACACCUACUUUAUCGACACUAGUUUCUUCAUACACCAUGGUAAAAGUUUUGUUAUCGGCUGCUUUUUCAAAAAAUGAUAAGGAGCUAUAUAUAUAGAUAGCAAACCAAAGAAAGUUGCCCUAACUACACACCUGAGACUUAAAUGCUCUAUGUUUCUAUCUUCUUUCAAUAUUUAUCGUUUGCAGUGGUUUAUAUGUUAGUUGUUUCAGUUCUUGUUGUUGCAGUAAUGUCGAUAUGGAGAUAAUAAAUAGGCAAACAUCUAUCUUCCAUAUCUGCACAAUCGAUUAUGUAUCAUAUGUAAUCAUUACUUUUUACAUUUUUUUAUUAGUUUGACCAGGGGGCGCAAUAUCUUCGAAGAUUACAGAGCAUUUAAUGCUCGUGAUCUUGCGGAAGGAGACUAGUGAUCCUCUGCUUGUAUAGGAACAAUUAUGUCAUAUUUAAUUUGCAAGAAAAUUUUCACCUAAAUAACGAAAUGAUAUGUAUAGAUCCUUAAUUAUUUUCUCCUGUAGGUAUAUAUAUUUCAUUCACUCUUUUUAGUUUAAUGAAAUAGUAAAUGACAAUAUUAUCCUCAUCUUAUUCUUUAGAUCUUAGCGACUGCAACCCUAAUUUUUGUCGUAUCGUUUUUCACAAUUCUUAUCAUUUUUUCUUACCCUUUAAUGAUUUAUACCCAAAUAUAAUAGAUCUACAACCUAAAGACCGAUUUAAAACUUGUAUUUCUUUUUAAAAAAUGAGUUUUUCUAAGAGUUUUCAAUUUUUUUUGGCGAUUUCAACAAAUCGAGGCGGUGGUGGUCUGAAGAGCGCUUAGUUGGACGAGUAAUCGGUUAGACGACCAAUUUUUAGAACAAGGGUCUUGACAAUCCACAAUGCAAGUGUUGAAUUAUUUAUUCAAUUGUUGAACCUUCACAUUGCACAUGUUGAAUAGUUUAAAAAAUCUUACGUGGAUUCAACUUGGUUGAAAGUAUUCAAUAUGUUAUAAAGAAAAAAUUUGGGCCCGCGCAUGCCACAUGUCAAUAAAUGAGUAAAGGAUGUGUUUCAAACUCGGAGAAAGGAGAGCGUAUUGUCCAAACCUUUUUCUUUUUACUUUUAUUUUUUUUUGCAAAAAGAAGAGAUUAUUGAGAUGCUCACACUUGCUAUAUUUUCAUUAGAUAUUAAGAUUUUGGAGAUUUUAUUUCUAUCUUAUUUAUUUACAAUCAAUUAUUACAUACCAAACAAUUUUUUUUUAAAAACUUAUAUUUAUAUGAAAAUUUAUAAAUUUUUAAACUCUAGAAAUAGAGACUUAGUUCAUUUUAUUUGGACACAUAAAAAAUAUUAUUUCUACCAUAAUUUUCUUAUUCUUCUCCCAUAAACUCUUGGUUAUAUCCUUUUUUUUUAUGGAUUCUAAUAAAAUCCCUAUGCAAAAUUAUACUAAUUUUUCCUUUCCCUAUCCUAAUUCCAACAAUAAUCCUACGCAAAAUUCGACUAAUUACGUUUUUCCUUAUCAAAAUCCCAACAAUUAUCAAUUUCAAAAUCUAUCUUUCAACCAACCUCAAAAUUUCCCAAAUUAUGAUUUUCUACCAAAUUUUUCUAUGCUCUCAUCUGUUCCAAACUAUAAUUCAUAUUAUAGAUCGAUUCCAAAUUCAUCUCAACCACCUCUUUAUGAUUUGAGGUUGUGAUUUUCAUUGACAUCAAAAAGAAAAAAAAAAAAAAUAUCACAGAAAGGAGACAAUGAAUAUGAUUAAUAUUUAAUUGGUAAACUAUUAGAUUAGGCGGGGGUUUUCUCAAAAAUUGUCUCUUUUGUAGGACUGUUGUCACCAAUAUUUUCAGUAUCUUUUACUUUUAUUAAUUUUUAAUAAAAUUUAUGAUAAUAAAAAAAAUGAAAAUAAUCGUAAAUAAAAGAAAAAAAGAGAGUUGUGGGUUCUUUCUUUUUAGUUACCCACGCAUCGCUGUCGAAAGAUUAAUUAUGAAAUCAGAUGUUUGGUUGAGUAUAAUAGUAAUGCAUGUCAUUAGUUUAAAUUUAUAAUAUUAAACAAAAUUAUAAAUAAGAUAUUUGAACAAAACAAAAUUAAGUUAGUUUAAACGUUAAUUGGAAACCAAAUAAGAGAUCUGUUAGGAAAAAAGAAAAUAUAUACCAAAUAAGAGAUACAGGAAAUCAGAAAUUUUAAUAUUAUGUGUUUGAAUCUUCUCACCAAAAAAAAUUAUGUGUUUGAAUCUUCUCACCAAAAAAAAUUAUGUGUUUGAAUCUAAUUGAUUAAUGGACACGGUCUAGUAAAUUAUAAUUUUUUUGACCCGCGAAAUAUAGUGAAACAGAGUUUAUCUCUAUACAACAAGACAAAAAAGAAGUUCUAAGAUCAAACUCUGUUUGAUAUACAAAAAUUAUAUUGUAAAUGAAAAUGGAACUUUGAGAUUGAUCUACAACAAGUCUGCUACACUCAUCACAAACGUAAUGUGAUUAUACACAUCCACGUUGGCCGCAAAAACUAAGGAUCUUGUAUCAUCUGGAUCAACAGACAAAAUCAUAUUGCAAUAGUCAGCAGCAUCACGUGCGAGACUAAGGUCGUCAUCAGUCUCAUCAACAUCACCAUUGCCCAUUGACCGCUGUGCCUUCAUUAGCCCCUCGACAACAGAAUCUUUAUAGUUCUCCAUACAACUCUUGAAACAUGGCUUCUUAGGAGAACCAAUGAGAAACUGUGUGUGCUCUGCCUUCUCCAUGGCUAGAGAAAGAGCCGCCUUAGCCAACUCUAAUACAGUCGAUGCGGAUUUCGUGCGAUGAUCUAACGUUAGGGAUUUGAUACAUUCUUCUUCUAGGGACGAGAAUGACGCGGUGCCUUUACAAGCCUUUGAUAUCAGUAAUGAUGGAUAUGGACAUGUCUUUGGUUUGGUUGAUAAAUGGGUAGCAAUGUUGGAUUUUGCAUUGGUAUAUGGCCACCGCGAGAGGAGAAGGAAGGUUAGGAUAUGGAUUGAUAGGUAUGCAUGAGAAGCAUAUAAACAAACCAUCGUUUUAUAUGUUCAACAAAGCUUGUUCUUUGACUAUAGGUUUAAAUGAAAUAGUAGAUUGAAGUUUGUACAUAUAUUAACUUUUGUUGUGUCAAUGGUUUAAAUUGUCCAUUGUUUAGUUCCACAAGUUUUAAACAUGAUAUGUUAUUUAUAGGUUUGGAAUGAACGAUAGAGGAAAAAUAAACUUGUCAACGCUAAUAAUAAAAGAGUGUAUCGAAAAAGAGAGAAAAAAACAAAAAUUCAUUGUGAUUCUUUUGUUAUUUUGUUUUUCAAUGAUUCAAUUCAAUGUCUUAAUUUCUCUCCUAACAUAAAAGUUAGUUAUGGGCAUUCGGUUAUCCAGUUUCGGUUCGUUUCCAUUCCGUUAUCGUUCUUUCGGUUCUAGAGUUUAGUAUCCAUUCAGUUAUUUUGAUAUUUCGGUUCGUUUCAGUUCUUACAGUUCUAAAAUUUAAUAUACAUUCGGUUAUUUUGCUUUGAGUAUUUUUGGAUAUUUCUGUUAUUUUUAUAUUUUUGAGUAUUUUUACUAUUUAUAUAUACUUUUUAGUAUUUUUAAUUAUUUAGUCUAGAAAUGACUAGUAUUUUUGAAAAUAUAAUUAUAUUUCGGAUACUUUUGGUUAUCCAAAAUAUUUCAGUUUGUAUCCACUCGAUUUCGGUUCUUUUGGUUAUAGAAUUUUAAUAUCCGUUAGGUUAUUUUCAAAUUUUCGGUUUUGCUCCGUUUUUUUACAUCGGUUGCGGUUCGGUACAUUAGGUUCGUUUUAUAUGCCCAAGCCUAAUAAAAAUCAUGUUCAUUUUGGUAUUUAUAGCUUUAGUAGACACAUGUUUAGUAAAACAAAUUCUCAAACAAGAAGAUUUAUGGAAUACCUUGUAAGACUACUUAGACUAGUUACAAUGGUUUGGUGGUGAAAAAAACAUUUCCACUACGAUGGUGUGCUGUAAUCAAAGCUAGGUGAUGUGGCAAAUUUAGUAUUGAUAAAUAUCAAUACCCGUGAAAGUAGAACAGAGAAGAUAAGUGUGACAAGUGUUAUAUUUUGAUUGGUUGCUUUGAUUUUUAUUUUUUUUGUUUCAUCUCAACUAUAUAACUUCAAUUAUUUUAUAAUAUUUGUACAUAAAAAUAUCAAAAUUUAUAUCAAAAUUUCUAAUUUUACAUUCUCUAUAAAUAGAGACUAUUUUCAUUUGAUUUGGAUACAGAAAAAAAAACUAUUUUUAGACCCAAAAAAGGUAUAAUCGCCAAAAAAAAAACUUUUGUUUUACCUUUAAAUAUCUUUUUAUCUAAGUGGAUCCAAACAAUAACCCUUUCAACACCCAAAACUCUUCUAAUUACCCUUUUAACUAUGCAAAUCCCAACAAUUAUCAGUUUCAAAAUCAAUCUCCUAACCAACCCCAACAAUUAUCAGUUUCAAAAUCAAUCUCCUAACCAACCCCAACAUAUAUCAAAUUAUGGUUAUCCACUAAAUUUCUUCAUGCCGUAAGCUGUUCCAAACUAUCGUCCAUUUCAUGGAUCGAUGAUGUCUUAUCCAUCUUAAACACCUCCUUAUUUUCCUACUCCAACAGGUAAUGAAACUGAUUCGAAUCUUGGAGCAACUGAUUUUCCCGAGUUUUCUACCCAAAUGGCUCUUGGUGGUAUUAGGGUAUUCAUGAAGCCAUUCCAGAUGCAAAGGAUUCAACUCCUUCUCGUCGGAGAAGUCCCAAAUGGACCACUGAUCAAAAUUUGGUUCUCCUGAGUGGGUGGAUUAAAUUUGGAAGAGACAGUAUUAUUGGCAAAAACUAAAAAUGUGAGUCAACUGGGGUAAAAUUGCUGAAUAUUGUAAUGAACAUUGCUCAUUUGAUCCUCCCCGUGAUGGAGAAGCAUUCAGAAAUCACUAUAAUUAUGUGAACAAAAGCGUGAACAAAUGGGCUGGCGCUUAUGAUAACGCUAAAUGUAUGCAACAAAGCGGGUGGUUGGAGGAUGAUGUAUUGGUAAAAGCGCAUGAAUUAUAUUCAAGUGCUGGUAAAAGAAGUUUCAAAUAGGAGGAAAUACUUAUUCUGGAAGCAGUGGAUCUAAAAGAGCCCACGAGAGUGAUGCUAGUGACUCAAACUCUGUAGGAUCUAGUGCUCGUCCAAUGGAAAGAGAUGCUGCUAAGAAAAAGCUAAAAAAAAAGGUAAAGGCGCAGCGUUGAAAGUGGUCAACGAAGAGUCGAACGAAUUUUAACAAUUCAAGGCACAAGAGUUGGAUAGGUUGGAGAAAAUAACUAUGAUGCACAGUGAAACAAACCAAUUGAUUAAGGAAAAGACUCAUGCUAAAAAGAUGAAGAUGUUUAUAGAGCUAACUGAAAAAGAGAAUCUCGAUGACAAGAGCAAAAAGCUAUUGCAACAAUUGAGCCACGAUCUAUUUGGAAAUUAAUUAUUGUCAAGUGGUUAUCUGUAUUUUGUCACUUCAUGCUUUAACGUGUGUUUGUCACUUUCUCCUUUAAUAAUUUGUAUUGUCAUGUUAUGCUUUAAUAAUGUGUGUUUGUCACUUUCUCCGUAAUUUGUAUUGUCUUCUAUGCUUUUUUUUUUUGUGCGAAAUAUUGUCUUAUAUGCUUUAUUAAUAUUAUCCAUGAUUUUAAAUAGAGAAUCUUAUCUUAUCCAUGACUUUUGGUUUGAAGCACUCAAUUCGAAUCCAAGGCACCAACAAUUUAAUUCGUUGUUUCCAUUUUUUUUAUAAAUUAGAACUCAUUCUUCCAUUGAUGUACAAACCAUAAAUCUUACCUUACUAAAAAUCUCAAUGGAUCCAUCAGAAUAUCCUUUUGACAUCAAAGCUUACAAGAGGCAGUCUGAAAUUGAAGAGAUGUAUAUCAUCAAUCGGUUUAGGGAGCGUCGAAACAAAAUAGGGGAAGACUAUCCACCUCGUAGCAAGAGAAAAUACUUUAAAAGAGACCAUGCAUCAGCAAAAUUAAAGAAUAUUGACGACUACUUUGCCAAUGAACCUAUAUAUGACGAUGCAAUGUUUCGUCGGUGAUUCCGGAUGAGAAAACAUAUUUUCUUUCGGAUCGUUGAAGACUUAUCAAACAGCGACAACUAUUUCACCCAACGAUAUGACGCAGCCAAGAAAGAAGGUAUAUCUCCAUUACCAAAAUAUACUACGACCAUGCGAAUGUUUGCAUAUGGUGUGGCAGCUGACGCGGUGGAUGAAUACAGUAAAAUUGGAGGUACUACUACUUUAGAGUGCUUGCGAAGAUUCUGUAAAGGAAUCAUAAAGCUGUAUGAGACAGAGUAUCUCAGAGCCCCAACUCAAGAUGACCUCCAAAGAAUUUUACGUGUUAGUGAGAUGCGAGGGUUUCCCGGGAUUAUUGGGAGUAUUAAUUGCAUGCAGUGGGAAUGGAAAACUUGUCCUACAGUGUGGGAAGGUCAAUUUACUCGAGGAGAUAAGGGAACCACCACUGUUAUUUCUGAAGCAGUUGCAUCUCAUGAUCUAUGGAUCUGGCAUGUUUUUUUGGAUGUCCGGGCACACUAAACGAUAUAAAUAUCCGUUCACCGGUGUUCGAUGAUGUUGAACAAGGAAAUACUACAAGAGUGAAUUUUUUUGUGAGCCAACAUCCGUAUAAUAUCGCUUACUAUCUAGCUGAUGGUAUUUAUCCUUCUUAUCCUACUUUCGUCAAAUCGAUUAGGCUACCUCAAAGUGAACCAGACAAGUUAUUUGUACAACGUCAAGAGGCGUGUCAUAAGGACAUCGAACGUGCAUUUGGAGUGCUGCAAGCUCGAUUUAAAAUCAUUCGUAAACCAGCUGGCCUGUGGGACAUAUUCGAGUUGGCUAUCAUCAUGAGAUCGUGUAUCAUAUUGCAUAAUAUGAUUGUUGAGGAUGAACGAGAGACAUAUGCUCAACACUGGACGGAUUAUGAUCAAUUUGAGGCAAGUGGGUCGAGUACACAACAACCAUUCUCGACCCAAGUGCUACUCCUAUUUGCAAAUCAUGUGCGUGAUAGAUCCAAAUUGCGUGAUUCAAAUGUACAUCACGAAUUGCAAGCAUAUCUAGUCAAACACAUAUGGGCACAAUUUAGAAUGUUCUUGUUGUCUGCUUAUUGUAUUUUUGUAUUUUAAAUUUGUGUUCAUUGUAUGUGUUUUAGUAAUAAUAAUUUUUUCUUCUCGUUUUAAUUAUUUGUAAAAGUUUUUAAAAAUAUUAUAUAAAAUAAAAACAAAUAUAAACACAACAAUACUUUAUAAAACUAUUUAAUGUUUAAUUCUUUUAAAUUUAAUUUGAUAUUAACGAUGGUUAAUAAUAUGUAAUCACAAAAAACAUAAACAUAAAUAAAAUGAAAAAUAUGGAAUAAAAAUGGUGGGGUAAGAUGUUGUAAUUUUACUAAACAAAAACUAUUGUAAAGAUAAAAAUUGGGUAGGUGUUGAAUAAUGAUGUGGAAGAAAGAGAAGAUGAUGUGGAGUGUUAAAAGUAAAAAAGUGGGUGUUGUAAAUGAGUAACCAUUGUGGAUAGUCUAAGGAUAAAAAUUGUAUAGGUGUUGAAUAAUGAUGUGGAAGAAAGAGGAGAUGAUGUGGAGUGUUAAAAGUAAAAAAGUGGGUGUUGUAAAUUAGUAACCAUUGUGGAUAGUCUUACAAUGGACACGUUGAAAAAAAUAUUUGAAUAUGGUGCAAUGGUUGUUUUAAUAAAUGUUGUAGAGGAUGUGGCAAAUUUGGUGAGUAGGGAAAAAUAUCGUUUAAUAUUCCAACUUUCAAAUUAUGGCCAUUUUAUACCUCAACUUUAUAUGUGACCAUUUUAAAUAUGAAGAUAUCGUUGACCAACCGUUUAAACCAUAAACAUUAGUUGACCAGGCUAAAAAAACUAACCGUUAUCACUCGUUAACAGAUUAUCUAACGUCCGUUAACAUCUCCAUUAGCUACCCCUAAACGACGUCGUUUUCAUAUUUUAAAAAUAAAUAACGAACGUAGGAUUCAAACUUGUAACCUAGAGAAAAACUAGAGACUUACUUAACACCCUCACCAACAGUAUUUUAUUGGUGAACUUUGAGAAACAUAUAUUUAUUAAAGUUUUCUCCUUCAACUUUAACCUACAAAACAAAACCAUCUCCAUAGCCGCCGCCUCCAAAUCCGUGUUCUCUCUCCAUUGAUUUUUUUAAUCUUAAUCAUAUAUUGUUUUUUGUUGAUUGAAAAAAAUUUGUAUUUGCUAAUUCAAUUCAUCUGGAACCUAUUUCUAUGAACACCAUUGAUGGAUUAGUCAAUUGAUAUGAAAUCAGUUACACAAACAGCACUAGUUCUUCGUCGUCUCACAUGCACCUUCGUUGUCUCACGUACACCUUGUGUAUAUGAUCUGUGAUUGCUCUUAAGCGGAUCUGAUGUAUUUAACGGCAUAAUAUAUAAUUAUGUGUUUCCGAAUAAUAAUUAUUAAACACUUUAUCUUAGUUGGUGUGGACAAGCAUAGGGAGCACUCGAAAGUUACGGGUUCGAAUCUUGAGUAAGUUAUUUCUUUUUAAAAUAUAAAAAUGACGUCGUUUAAGGGUAGCUAAUAGAUGUUAACGGACGUUAGAUAAUCUGUUAACGACUGAUAACAGAUAGUUUAUUUGGCCUGGUUAACGAAUGUUUAUGGUUUAAACGGUUGGUUAACGAUAUCUUCAUGUUUAAAAUGGCCACAUAUAAAAUUGUGGUAUAAAAUGGCCAUAAUUUGAAAGUUGGAGUAUUAAACGACAUUUUUCCUGUUGUAAUUUGUCAACACCGUGAAUUUUACUGGGUGGGGUUAUCUUUGUCUUGUGUUGUGUUUUCAUUGGUCACUAAAAUUUGACUUUUUCGUCCAAUAAUUUUUGAACUCAAUUAAAUUAUAAUAAACUUUUUUUUUUGUCAUCUGAUAAUUUAUUAAAGAAAAAAAUAAUAAAGUACAUAGUUAGAUCCAAAAGCCAAGUAGAACAGAAAGAGAAACAAAAUAAAAGAGAAACAACGAGAGAUACAAAAUGAAAUUUAAACUUUACUCUCCUCAAACACUUGAUUGUGAAACCAUGAAGGCUCUCCAAGUGCUAUGUAAGACUGAAACCUUCUUUCUUGAAUCACACUUCGAGAAAUGGAUCGCGCGAUCAGAUUUGCGUUUGUGGCAAUAUGACGGAAUGUACAAGAUUCAAAUGCACCAGCAAUCUCAUGGAUUUGUGCUAACCAAUUCCUGUAGAAAGGCCAUUUGGACGGCUGCAAAACGGCGUUAACUGCGGCUGGAUAUUCCAACUCUAUUAUCACCUUGGAGACGUGAAUAUCUUGAAAUGCUUUCAACGACCGUAGAAUGCAGCACAGCUCAGCCCCUGUUCGAUCUUGAAUUGGCGUAAACGCAUCUCGUGCAUGGUGUUUAGCUUGCCCUAUAUCUCUUACAAUUCAAGCUCCUCCACACAUCGAUUGUUUAUUUAUCCAAAAAGAAUUCAAAAUGCAUUUAAGAAUACCUUCUUGGGGUUUCCUCCAUUUGUUUCCAUCCAAAUUGGAGGUGAUUGCCGAGAGAAUACUGUUGAAGGCUACGUGUUCACCAUUUUCCAAUGCAUUGUGUCUUCAUACGCUUUUUGAACUAAAACAUGAAAAUUCCAUACCUUUACUUUGAAAACGGUAUGAUUACGAUUCUUCCAAAUUGCCCAUAGAACCCAUGGAAUUGAUAGUCGAGUUUGCUUUGGUAUGUGCUUGUCUUCGAUAACAUUCAAUAGAUGAGAGAAGUUUGCUAGUAAGGUUGUUGAAGAAAAACCUUGAUCCGAAGCUUGCACAAAAUGCUGAGAUUAAUAUGCUUAAAAGGAGAAUAUGGAAUCUAAAAUCUGAGCCACAAAUCAAGCUUUUCUGUUGGCGUGCUCUUUCUGGUGCUUUGGCUGUGGCAGAACGUUUAAGCUCACAGGGAAUACAACAUGACACAAAGUGCCAAAUUUGUGGUAUAGCUACAAAAACAAUAUGUCAUACUCUAUUCUCUUGUGACGUAUAGAAUAAGAAAAUGAUGAAUUUUGGUGUAAAUUAUUUAUGUAUCUAAUAGUAGUUAUUAAAAAAACCAUUGUAGUAUAUGAAAGUAAACUGAAUGUUGAAUGAUGAUGUGUAAGAGAGAGAAGAUGAUGUGUAGGUUGUUGUAAUUUUAAACCAAUGUAAAUAGUCUAAUAAAAAAAUAUUUGGGUUCACCCCACUCUUGUUCACCCUCUCUUAAUAAGCCAAUCAAAAUACAACAAAAUGCCAUGUCGUUUAAUAUUUAACAAUUAAAAUAUUUGGGUUCACCUCUAGGGUGGUUAAAGUUUAGAUUUUAUAAAUAAUUGAAAAUAUAUUUUGGUUGAGUUUAUAAAAUAGUGGUUAGAGUUUAAAUUUUAUAAAUAAACAAAAUUAUAUUUCGGUUUGGAUUGAUAAAAUAGUGGUUAGGUUUAGAUUUUGUAAUUAAACGAAAUUAUAUUUCGGUUUGGGUUGAUAAAAUAGUGAUUAGGUGUUAGAUUUUGUGAUUAAACUAAAUUAUAUUUUGGUUUUGGUUGAUAAAAUAGUGGUUAAAGUUUAGAUUUUGUGAUUAAACGAAAUUAUAUUUUAGUUUGGGCUGAUAAAAUAGUGGCUAGACUUUAGAUUUUGUAAUUUAAUUAAUUUAUUUUUUCAAUAUAUGAUAUGUCAAAUUCUAAUUGGUCAUUAAAAAAUGGUGAACCCAAGAAUUGUUCUUGUAAUAAUUAAACUUCUUAGAACAACAAAAAUUUACAAUAAAUUUAUAAAAGGAACAAUUAAAAAAAAAAAAAGGAGCAAAAAGCAUGAUAAAAGCUGAGAGAGGAAACUUAAAAAGCACACUUGUUUCCAAAACUAAAUAGGGUCAGUCCCAAAAUUGGAUUUGUAUAGUAACAAAUGAAUAACGGAAAAGAGAGUUUCAAGAUCUACGAACAACAGCAGUAGCGAAAUAAGGAUGAUGGGUGAACUCAAACGAUACCUUAAGCGAACGGUCUUGACAGAAAAGGUUCACAGCAACAAUAUUGCGUUCCGCGACUUUCUCUAAUCCCGUGACUUCAGCCAGCUUAUCAGGAUCGUUGGCGUAACCGACCUUUAUGUCCUUAGCGAUCUUUUGAGCAUCGUGAAAGUACUCAUACAUAGGAAGAUACUGCAGCAAAAGUAAAUAGAUACAACUUUACUUGCAUGUUCAAAACUCUUUCUAAUCGAACAUAGUAGAUUUAUACGUGUACACAUUCAUCACUAAAACAUUGUAAACAUUACCUAUGUUAUUAUUUGCUCAAUGAAGAUUGGGAUCUCAAUUUUCAUGUGUUUAUAUUUAUUAAUCAAGUUAUUGCUUUUAAGCAAAUAGUUAACUAAUAAAUCCUACAUAGAUAUAUUUUAAAUAAACUGUGAAUCCUAAAUUUUUCCGUAUUUUCCGAAUUACCUGAACCGAACUCAAGAUUUUGCGAUUUAUGGUAUUAAAGCAGAUAGUGAUUGUAGGUACCCGGACUACCUUUACAGUACUCGAUUCCCUAUCACCCAACCAAUUUUUUUAAGUGUAUGCUUCGGGUAGUAGAUUUAGAUAUACCUGAAAUAACCAUAUCCAACCCUUACCAGCUAUUACCUGACUCUAUACCCUAAAUGCACAUGCCUACUUCUACAAUUCAUUUGACCAAGUAAACAGGAUUAAGCACAAAAACAAAGUUGAAUAAAGCACACUUACGUCGAGACGAGCAUGGGAUGUGGAUUUUGAGAACGAUUCAUAUGCGUCAUAUUCUGGAAGGGAUGCCUUCUGAAGGAGUUCAAAAUGCUGUAUAAAUUUCUGCAUGUCAAGGAAAAUGGGUAGUUGAAGUCAUACACAGGAAGGGAUAAAACCACUCACCCAUUACUAAGGCUGAGGAUUUUUAUCUUACACAUUAAUUCAAUAACUAUGCAACAGAUAAAGAGACUUAUGCUUACCUCAUUUUCGGUAUUAAAAGGUCCUUGACUCUUUAAAGACAUUCCUUCAUUUCUCAAAGCUGCAAUCAUCUACGGGUAAAUACACAAGGUUUGGUCAGGUUUAGAGUACUUGAUAUCAGCAAUAGAAGGAGCUGGAAACCAAGAGAUUGAAGACAAAAUUACCACUGUGAGGCCUUGUGCAAGACAGGUCUGACAUUUGAGAAACAAUACCCAUAGACUAAUCCGAUCUUCCCGAGCCAUGUCCCUAGAAUACUCCUUAUUCCUCUUUGCUUUUCUUUCCUCUGAUCCAGAUGAAGGUAAAUGCAUUAUAAAAAGCUACAAAUACACACUAUGCAGUUAUGCCAAACCAAUUACUGUACAGAUGGUUCAUCUCCGAAACACUAGGACACAAAAUAAAAACAAAUGGAUAUAUGAAUGCUUACCAGUGUUCACAACGAUUAAGACCCUGAAACGUGCUCUUUCGGCAAGCUUCCAGAGUAUAAUAUACAUGUACCAGUAUACCAUGCAAUAUUCACUUGGCGAGUAGAGGUCUAGGUCAAAUCCCAGCAUGAGAAAGCGAAUUGCCACCCAAUUAAUUUGCUCUUCUAAUCCACCAUAUAUAUGGUUUAAAAUGAGUAGAGACUUAUCCUGAAAGGUACAUAAAUGCAAGUUAACACAAAAUUCAAUAUCUGCUUAUCAAUAGAGCCAAAAUUUUCCGAAAGAGAAAACAGAAGUUGUAGGAAUUUUGACUACUGGUUUGUUCAUGCUAACAAUGAAUAGACAGCCGUCAACUAGAUUCAGAUAGAGGUUUGAUUAAAUGGACCCAUAGUGAUGGUAGUAAACCUACCCCAUUUUUCGAACUGCGUGAUGUAUCUUGCUGCAUCAUUUGACCAACAGCAAUCCCCAUCUGCCAAAUACAGGAAAAUGUAUGAAUGAGAUCUUGACACAAAAACCCAAAUCAAUAUGCAAACAAUUUUAGGGUAAGCGAGCUUACAUAUAGUUAAGUAAAGAAUAAUACAGUUCCAACAAAGGCACAAAUGGUAUAACCUGCACAUGGAAUACGCUCCAGUCAUUUAAGAUUUUCCCAAGCUUACGCCUCUGCCAUGGGGUAUUAGCGCAUAGUAUUUUAAGUAGAUUAACCAUCAACUGCACCACAAAAUGAGAAUAGAGAUCAAACAGAGAUUUCUAAGAAAGGAGCCAGUUGAAUAAUUAUCUAACUUUUUCAGGAUCCAGAGGCUACCAAAACCACAAAACAUAGACAAGGCAUUCUCAUCAAAGUCCCCAUUAAAACAAAUAAUUUUUUGUUGUUUCAAUCUUCUUGAUGAUUGCAAAUUAGUUACAUCCACACAUGCUGAAAUUCUCUGAGAUUGGGGCUUAUACGCCAGACACCGAAUAUUGAACAAAACCAAUGAAAGAUUAUUCUUUUCAAGGUUUUACCAAGUUCCAAACUCUUUUCAAGGAAGAAUAAAGAGCUACCUCAUACACGUUUGUAGAAAAAAAUGUACCCAACGUAUUCUUUUAAUAUACUGUGUUUACCUGAUUAAGUUGAAGAAUGUACUCAUUCGUAUGGAGGCCAUGGUUCUUGGAGACAUCUAAUGCAAGAGAUCUGGCGCAAAUUGUCAAAAAGGUAUCACGGCCGUAAAGUUUCCCAUCUUGCACAAGGAGAAGCUGUAGAACAAGAUUAUUUAUUGAGUAUAAAAGGUAAAAGCAUUUUGCUAGCUUAAUACAUAAUUUAUUCACAAAUAUUGCUAAUAUCAUAACAAAAAUGGACAACCAUAUCAAUGCUUAACAGAAAUUUACAAUCAGAAUCAACCUCAACUACAAAUAUUGGAUCUAUAUUCUUAUAAGUCUUCAUAAGAAAGAAAAAUGAGAGUGUCAGCCACUACAUAUUCCAGUGUCAUCAUAAAUAAUAUCUAGAUAACAAUAAUAGUAAAGAGUCAACAAGAAGAAUAAGCAGAGCAUUCAACAGGCCUGUUGGCGAAAUGGGGCUUGAGGUGGUUCACGAGAGUUGGAUAUUCUCUAGUCCAUUGGUUCUAAGUUUAUGCAACUGUUCUUACAGAAAUAAAGGAGAUUUCUACUAUAGUCAUAUGGCUGAAUCACUCAACUCUAAGUGACAAUGAAUUGAAAAUGAGUGCUAAUGAACACAAAACUGCAAAGCAAGGAAGCGGGUAAAAGAAGAAGCCAUAUUAUCCACUAUACAAACACACCCUAGUGGAUGUAUGCGAACAUCAGUGCAACUACAGCCAAAAUAGUUACUCAAAACAAGAAAACAAAAUGAUAAAUGGGUAUCUGAAAGCACAGAGCUGCAUGAUAUUGAUGCGUUAAGUUAAAGUAACGCACCUGAAGAUGAGCCCUAGCAACCAAAUCAGGACGAGAUUUUUGAAACUGAAUCACAAACUCCAAGACGGCCUCUAAAUCUGGUUCCAAUGAAAAUGCACAGAUCUUAUCCAGAUUGUGAAGAAGUUUCACAUAAUAGUCAAUAGCCUGGAGAAUCAAAAAUUGAAAAAAGUUACUAAAAAGUUAUAUACACACAAACUAAAUUACGUAUACAGAGAAUUUAGAAGUCCCAACCUUUUUCCAAGAAAGAAGUUUAAUGGCACGUGGCGGCGUUGGAGCUGAUAAUCUUUUGUUUAAAGUAGGAUCAAAUCCAAUGGGGGACCGACCAGAAGCAGUUGUACUUUCUUCUAUCUCGUUUACGCCAUUCUCGAAAAUAUCUAAUCUUAGAAAUUCUGCUGAAUCCAGAACAGAAUCUAGCUCUGAUAUGCAAUAGCCUAUAUGUUUCCUUGCCAAUUCGAGGCCACGUCCUUGUGGUCGUCUCAUACAAUUAAGAGCAUGUAGAAAAUGCUGAAAGUUAUUGAGGAUAUGUUAAAACAACUAGCAGUGCAAAAGUAUAUAACAGCUACUAUUUUUUUUUUUAAAAUGGCUUACGAAACAAAAUAAUAAUAACAUCAUGAAUCACAUGUCUGGCGAGAAUUUUUAACCAAAAAUAAGGGUAAACAGGUAAUAAAAGCUGCCAUAUACUCAAAAUUUAGUCUCUGCUAAGCUUGUUCAUUCUUGUAAGUUGCAUAACAUGGAAAAUUUAACACAAUAAAACAUAUAUUAACUUUGUCUACCACUCCCCAUUGUGAGGUUAGGUUGAAGAAAAGCAACUCAUCAUACUCUUGUUACGUGUAGUUUAUCAAAGAAAGAAUAAAUAAAGCAUGAGACCUUACGGAACACUGGAUAAAAGACCAAAUGCAAAUUUUAAGUACUAAUUGUAGUUUUUCUUUUUCAAAGCAAGCAAUAAAAAAUUCUAUUCAUCGAUGGCCACCAGAAUACUAAUAAAAGGAACAGACUUGGGACUAUAUUAUACACUAGUUAACAUGACUUAAGUUGGGAAAACCUGUAAUUAACAACAUUUAUCAAAGAAAGAAUAAAUAAAGCAUGAGACCUUACGGAAACGUAUCCGGCAUAACAGAGAUUUGCAAAAACUCUCUUCCAGAUGGGGAUUACUUUGUAGAGGUUCCAAUUCUGCAUCUUUAACAAACAAAAGGAAAGAAAGUUAUUGUUCUCAGUUCGUGCUGCUGUGCACCAUUGUUACAAAUAAACAAUAGACCAUAUCACUCAAAGAGAUGGUAAAUUUUUAAAAAGAAAAAAUCAAUUGUAAUAAUCAGCGGACUUCACAUAUAAAUCAUUACUCAAUAGAAGACUCAAAGUUAUCGUAUAUAGGCCAGAGAGGCUAAUUUCAAGUUGGUAUAUGCUUAGAGAGCACUUGCAAAAUAUCUAAUUCCAAUGCAUUAUACUGUCUCCAAAUCACAAAUCACCAUUAAAUGUGUAAACAACAUAUCAUAAGAAAAGAAGCAACAGAAGACUCUUCGAUCCCCUCAUAUGAAUACGCUCUUCAUAUUUCAAUUCUGCAAGUGUGUGUAUGUAAAAUAAAAAAGGAAGAUAUGCAAAGCAAAAAAAGUACCUUCCAACAUUCUCCUUCUUGUGGCCUUACAAGCACGCAGCUGACGACAGAUAGUUUCUUCAACCGCAUUCAAGAGUAACAAGCCCUUGGCAUCUUCUUCUCCACUAAAAGGAAGACCAUAUGUCAUCGUAAAAAGAUCCUCUUCCUGUUAAUGAGCAGGUAUCAGGUGAAUCAUUCAGAGUAAACUAUCCAUGAAGCAGGGGCAUCUGUCUAGUUAAGAGAAACUUCUAUCCAAAAUAUCACAACAAAUCUUCUCAAGUAUUUUAUCUUCAUUUAGCUGCAUAAUGGUGGAAAUUUCUACAGAAAUAAGUUAUACGCUCUGCUAAUCAUCUCAAGAUUAAAUAACAACUGCUUAGGCUAGAUGAGAACGGAUGCCAAGACUUCAUUAGAAGAGUAAAGUCAAGUGAAUCCAGUUUUCGUCUCUGAUGUCAUAAGCUUAAGGUUAAUGACAACUAUGAAAUGUCAAAAUGGGUUAGCAACUGUUUUUCUUUACGCCAUAAAAGAAUGUUGGACAUAGCAAAAGAUUUUAGGAGCAAACAUUGAACACAAACUAAACCUUUAAUGAAAAGCCAAAAAACAUACAGAAACAUUUGCUUAGCCCCACAAGAAUAAAAGAGGACCAAAAAUUGUAAAAGUUAAUUACUUCAUUUGUACGCGCAUCUGAAACAACAGAAACAACUGCCCUGCAAGUUGCUCGGAUGACCCUACAAUAAGAAUGUAAUAGAGCCUGUGAAGAUGUCCUCUCAGGCCUCAGAACAUAGAUGCAUGAAAACACAGUUUGGGCCAAUGAAUGACCCAUGUGCCAUGUUGCCUGCAAAAGAGUAGAGACACAAAAUGUGGAUAAAUCAACUCCAAGGCUGACAUGUUAGCUACAUACAUAUCUCUUUAUCACAAUUAUACCUUGCAAACUCACACAGUAUUAUAUGAGCACAUGUAAAGAAGAGAUUACCUCACACGCCAGGAGAUGGUCCAUAAUGUCAAUGAUGGAUUGCACAUUAACAGUACUAUCCGAACUUAUAGGGACGGGCGCAAAACCACUUUCGAUGGCUUCAUCUAUAGAAUAAAACGUAGACACCAUACCAGAAUCCAUCUUUGGGUCCAUUAUCUAGUACAAAGCAAGGACACCACACCAUGUUUGUUAUACACACUUAUAGCAACCUCACAAUCUAAGUUUACAGCUAAGAACAGUCCAAACAUAUUUUGUUACAAAAUAGAAACCUCUAAAGCAGACAUGGCAGCAAAAAGAUUGAAAUUAUCUCCAUUUAUGAGUUCACCUUCUUGAAGAUCUGCAAACAGAACGACUCAUGAAACUAAAACAAGUGGGGAAUACAAGCAAAAUAGGCAAUUGCGAUCAGUACCAGAGCAGGCGGCGGAGAGGAGAGGUGAUACAUCGGCCCAGACGGAGUUAUUAUCACCGGAAGGGAUAGAAGAAGAGGUUUUAGAGUCGUGAUGAAUCGGAGAAGACGAAUCUUCAUCUUCCCUAACUGAUUGCAUCGUUUGUUGUUGUUGUUGCUCAGGAAACUUGAAAAUCGCUUUAAUCUCUCGUAAUUGGUUUUUUUUGCUACUUAUGGUAUAAGUUUCGUCUUGCUCGAUGGAACACUUUGCCUGGGCUGUUUAGGGUAAUUUUCGGGUCGGAUCCUCAGCGGAUACCCAACCCCCAAUCACCCGAGCCUCCUGCCGUCUUUUUUUUAUAAAUCAACCUUUAAAACCAACAAAAAGAUUUUCAAAAUUUUAAAUCUAUAGUUUUAUGGGUGAAUUUGCGGUAUAAUCAAAAUCUAAUGUAAAAUAAAAAAUAUAAAAUCUUAUUGAAAAAUAUUAAGAAAGUAAUUAGAUUAGUGAAAAGAUAAAAUUGUAUAGUGAAAGACACGCACAAUAAAAAAAAAGAAGAGGUUUUGAAUGUUUUGUAGAUUUUGUAAGAGUUUUUGGUUUUUGUUUUUUAAAAACUUAUUUUUAUACCAAUUAAGAUUUUAAAAUUUUGGUUUCCCUACAAUUUAGUAAAUUUAUUUUAUUGUAGUUUUCCAUUCAUGAUUUUAGUUUUUUAGUUUUCCUAAAAUUUAGGAAAUCUAGUUUUUAUUCAAUCAACGUUAUUUUUCUCAAAAACCAAAAACCGAUUUUUUGGGGUUUUUAAAACAAAAAUAUAAUAACAAAAAUCUAAAACUAAAAUCUAAAAUCUAUAAACUAAAAUCUAAACUCAAAAACUGAAUCAAAAAUCAGCAUCCAUUCAGAGCUAGAGUAUAUGAUGAUAUAUGUAAAAAAGUAGAGAGAAUAAUAAAGAGGAAUUGCAAAACUAACACAUUUUUACUAAAAUAUUAAGAAUAUAACAUUAUAUAUGUAUCAGUUAACUAACUAACCUAAAUGGUAGAUUAAAUGAUCAUAGGUGGUGGUUUGGAUCCGGCGACGGCGGUGGCUCCGGCGGCGGCGGUGGCUCCGGCGACGGCAGUGGCUCCGGCGACGGCGGUGGCUCCGGCGACGGCGGUGGCUCCAGGGACAGCGAUGGCUCCGGUGACAGUUCUGGUGGUGGCUCCGGCGAUAGCGGUGGCUUCGGCGAUAAUUCCGACAAUAACAGUGUCUCCAGCGAUAGUUCCGGCGGUGGUUCCAGGGACGGUGGAGGCUCCGGUGACAAUGGGAACACCGACGAUGGGGUGGUUGCUCUGGUGAUGUCAUUCGUUCUCGUAACGGGGGUAGCUCCGACGGCGACGGUGGUGUUGAUGACGGUGGCUGUGGCGGCGGUAGUGGGUGUAGUGAUGAUUGUUGUGGUGGUGGUUAAUGGUGAUUAUUGUGAUGGCGAAAUUAUAAUAUAAUAUAUUAUACAGUUAUUAUAGUGUAAAUUUUUUCUAAUAGGCUAGUUUCUUAAUUUGUAAUUUUUUUUAAGUUAUACAUGCAAAUUCCCAAAAUACUAAUGACAUGGCUAAAUUAAUAUCACCCCAAAUAAUUUUGCUUGUUGAUUUAGUCUUAUAAAUUUUGCAAUAAUUUUAUAAGAACAUAGAUUUUUUUGAGUAUAACAUGAUUUAAAUUUUUAAAAUCUAAUACAAAUUAUUUAAAUUAGGGAACAAUGUUUGUCUAAACCACACAAAUAAAAUAGUAUAGAACAAAACGUAGAUAAUUCAAAAGGCCGAGUUAAACCGCUCUAAUAAAAAAAAUACUAUCCCUAUGAGAUACAAUAUUGGCAAUCCAAGUAACUAAGGUAAACUAUAGCGGUGAGCCGGUGACGUUGACGAUGGUAAUAGUGGUGGUGGCAACGAUGAUGGUAGUGGUGGCAGUGGCACUAAAAAUGACAUUGAUGGUGGUAAUAUUAAUUGUUAGUGGUGACAUGAUGAUGGUAGCGGCAAUGACGGUAGUGGCGGUGGGAUGGUAGUGUAGUAAUAAUUGUUACUUGUUAGUAAUGGUAAUUAUAAACUAGUUUUUUAUUUUAUUUUAUUUUAAUAUAAAAAUAUAUAUAGAAGAUGAGAUUACUAGCUAGAGAGAAAGGGAGAAAGAAAAAUCCACAUGUAUUGAUAAAUAAAUAACCAGAGCAAAAUACUAAUAAUUUACAAACUCCCAAAUAUUGUGUUAUAAAUAGGUUUAGUGUUUUCAAUGGGUUGCAAAUAAAAGAGUCAAAUAGGUAGAAGAGACCUUUGGGGAAACUAUAAAAUUUAGCAUUCGUGGUAGAUGAAGAAGGGAGAAUCUAAUGAAAGAAUCAGCAUGAAAUGCAACAGAGGAGGGGAAAAAAGAAGGUGUAUGUAGUGUAGAGGGCAAAGUUAUCAUUAAUACAAAAAAUACAUAAUAUAUCAACCUUUUUUUUGUUUGAUGUUAGUUUUUUAAUUUAUAAUUUUUUGUUGGUUAUUUAUGCAAAUUUCCCUAGUUUUAUUUAAUCACCAUCUUAUUAUAUAAAGUACCAUUUUGAAAGUUACUAACUCACAUAAUGGUGUCACGUGUCAAGUCUAAUAAUCAGAUAUUUACAUAUGUCAUUAAAGAUUUACCUUUUUAUUCUCUUAUAAAAAUAAAAAAACCUAAAAAAGUAAACAAAUUUACAUAUACUAAUUUUUAUAUCUAUAUAUAUGUAUAUAAUAUUUUGAUUAACCAAUAGGAAAAUUAACAAAAAAAAAUUUUGGUAGGGUGAGGGGGACCAACCCUUCAUUUAUUAUAGAAAAAAAAAUAGAAAAUUACAUACGAACAUUAACAAAUUUGCUUUUACAUGUGAUAUUGGUCAAUUAAAUAAAUCUAGCAUGCAUUAACUAAUUAAAAAGACCAUCGAAAUAUUGAUUUUUCCCGCCUAAAAUAUUACAAAAAUAAAUUUCCCGCAAAAAACAUUUCAAAAAAAAAGUCCGCCCAAAGUUUUUUUCCAAAAAUAUUUUUCCUACAAAAACCUUUUUGGCGGGAAAAAGAUUUACAAUGGGUUUUAAAAGAUUUUUAAAGGCUUUACAAGAGUUUUAAAUGAUUUACAAGUGUUUUUGAAAGAUUUUUAUAUGGUUAACAAGGGUUUUAAAGGAUUUUAAAAAAGAUUUAAAACCCUUUAAAAACUUUUGUAAAUCUUUUUAAAAUAUUUUGUAAGGGUUCAAAAGAUUUUUAAAAUGGUUCAAAAUUAUGAAAGGGUUUACAAGGGUUUUUGAAAAGAUUUUUAAAUGGUUUACAAGGGUUUUAAAGGAUUUACAAGGUGUUUUAAAAGAUUUUUAAAAGAUUUACAAGGGUUUUAAAAUCCGUUAAAAACACUUGUAAAUCUUUUUAAACCCUUUUAUAAGGGUUCAUAAGAGUUUUAAAAUGGUUCAGAAAGAGUUACAAAUGUUUUAAAAUAAUUACAAAUUAUUUUAAAUCUUUAACAAAAUGAUUUAAAGACUUUAUAAGAGGUUUAAAAAGAUUUUAAAAAGAUUUACAAAGGUUUUAAAAAUCCUUGUAAAUUGUUUGAAAACCAUUGUAAAAGGUUUUAAAAUGAUUUAAAAAAGGGUUUAAAAGGGGUUUAAAAGUAUUAACAUAUGUAUUUAAAGACUUUAUAAAGAUUUUAAUAGGUUUAAAAAUGAUUCACAAGAGUUUUUUUAACAACUUUACAGAGCUUUUUAAAAACUUUACAAGGUUUUCUUAAGAGUUUUUAAAGGGUUCUUAAAAAUUUUACAAGGAUUUUUAAAUUCUUUUUUUUGUAGGGAAACAAUUUUGAGGAGAAUAUUUUUUUUGGCAAGGAAAAAGUUUACAAGGAUUUUUGACGAGAAUAUCUUUUUGGCGGGGAAAAUAAAUUUUGGUGCAAAACAUUUUUGGCGGAAAAAUUUCAGUUUCUAAUUAUAUGUUCUUACUAGAUUUUAACCCGCGGUGUACCGCGGGACUAUUUAUUUUAUUAAAAAUAACUAAAAAUAUAUUAUUUUAUAAAUUAUCUGUAUGUAACAUAUUGUUUGUAUUUUAUAAAUAUAUAAUCCUAAUUUCUAUAUAUUGUACAAUCCCUUGAUUUUAUCAUGGAGUACACCGUAAGUCGAUUUUUAAAAUUUAAAAUUUAAAAUUAUAUAUGAUUUUUGUUAAGAUUGUUUCUUUUGUCAUAUAUUUUAAAUUAUAUCAUUGUAUUUUAAUUGUUAGUUAUAGGAUUUCACCCGUUGUAUAACGUGUCGUAUUACUAUAAACUCAAACCCGUCUUACCAUCUAAUUCCGUUCAAUGAAAUUAAACAUAUUUAAUGGAUUUCAUCCUAGGUAUAUUGUCUCAUAUUACUAUCGACCCAAACCCGUCCUACCAACUAACCCCGUUCAAUAAAAUGAAAUAUUAUUUUAUUAUUUUUGUUUUAAUAAUACUUUAAUUUGAAAUAUAUAUAAUUCAAAUCAAUUUCAAACUUUUUAUUUUAAAUGGUUAUUUAAUUGUUAUAAUUUAUAAAGUUCAUAUAUUUUAAUAUUCUAAACUCGUCAUACCAUCUAAUCCCGUUCGGUGAAAUUAAACAUUAUUUUUUAAUUUUUUUGCUUAAAUAAUAUUUUUAUUAACAGAUUUAUAAUUCAAAUAAAUUUAAAAGGUGUCGUUCAAAUAGUUAUUUGAUUUUUUAUAGAUUUCACAUCUAAAAUAUUUCUCUAUAUGUAACAUAUAGUUUUGUAUUUUAGAAAUAUUAUAAACGUUUUUUCCUUAAAUAUUAUAAACGUUUUAAAAACUUUAAAUAAUUACAAUAUUUACCUUUUAAUAAAGUAUAAUAUUAAUAAUCAUUUAAAUAAUUAUGUGUAGCUAAUUUUAAGGGAUUUGAUUUAAAGCUUGUUGUUUGGAUUAAAUUUGAAUGAAUAAUGUGAUUGAUAUAUUAAAUCAAGAAUUAAAAAUCAAAUCAAAUAAUUAAGGAAAAAAGAAUUAAUGCCAAUGGCAUGCCAUUGUAAAUAAGUGUCAAGUAGAGGAUUUAUUUGCUAAAAUAUAAUUUUAGUUUUUUAAAAAUUAACUGAAAAUAUAUUAUAUUAAUUUGUAUUUUUAAAUAUAGAUAUCAAUCUCUGUAUUAUUUAGUAUAUGAUUACUAUUAUUUAGGUUUCAAUUUUUGAAGUAUAGAUACGAAAAUACAUAUUUUUUUAAGUAACGAUGUAUGGUGAAUUUUAAAUUUUUAAUAUUUUAUCCAUAAUAUACCGUGGGUCGAUUUUUUAUAGCUAAAUUUUUAAAUUUCAAGUUAUAAUCGUUUUGUUAAUAUUGUAUGAUUUUUUGUGUUUAAGGUUGUAUAAUUGUAUUUUAAUUGUAAAUUUUAAGAUUUCAUCAAUGAUAUACCUUUCUUUAUUAAUAUCGAUCAAAACCCGUCAUCCAAUAUAAACCCGUCUAUAUUAUCUCGUUAGCUAAAUAUUAGUAUUAUAAAAUCCAAGAAAAUAAAUUAUUAUUGUUAGAAAUACAAUAAUUUUAGGAUCUCACCCGUGUUAUACUGUUUUUGAAUGAUUUUAAAUUUCUACUACUAAUAUAGAUUUUAAAUUUGUCAUAUAAAGUAUAUGAUUUUAACUUUUUGUAUUUUUUUAUUUAAAUAAAGCAACGGCUUAAAUGAUGAUAGAUAUAGUUCUUUUUUUGUAUGUGUAUAUGAUUUUUAUGUGAAUAUUUUCAUUAUUAUAAAUUAGUAUUUUUAUUGUUAUGCAAAAUGUUAAUAUAAAUAUUUUCUAUAAAUCGGAUUUAUGCAUAUUUUAUGGAGUAAAAUUCACAGAAUUUUGUUUUUGAAGAUAUAUGGAAAGAUUGUGUAGAGAUUUUUAGAAAUAAAUUAGGCAAGAUAUCGUUUGGUUAAUAUCUUUUAAAAUUUUGUAAAACUAAAUAAUAAAUGCUAGUGACAGCCGUUGUAAAUAAGUCUGAACUCCAGGAUUUAUUUCACAAAAUGGUUGCAAAAAUGUAUAUGUAGAUUAGAUGAGGAUAAUUUGUUCAUUUUGUUCAAAAAAAAAAGGGAGAUUUGCAAAACUACCAUUUUUUACUACCCUUUUGCAACAAUACCCUUUUAUAUUGUUCAUUUUUAAAAAUAUCCCUUCUCUUGAACAGAAUGACCAAAUUACCCUCAUCUAAUAAGAACAUGUAAUUGGAAACUGAAAAUUUCCCGCCAAUAUUUAUUUUUCCCGCCAAAAAAAAAUUUCCGCCAAACUUUAUUUCCCGCCAAAAUUUUUUCUCGUAAAAUUUUUUUCCCAGCCAAAAUAAUGCUUUUAAAAAUCCUUAUAAAUUUUCUUAAAACUCUUUUAAAAAACCUUGUAAAGUUUUUUAAAAGCUUUGGUAGUUGCUAAAAACCCUUGUAAAUCAUUUUAAAACCUCUUAAAAUCUUUAUAAAGUCUUUAAAAACAUAGGUAAAUACUUUAAAACACCUUUUUAAACCUUUGUAAAUCAUUUCAAAAUUUCCACAAUAGUUUUACAAGAUUUACAAUCAUUUUUUAGCAUAAGUAAGUGGCAUUGAAUGAUUUACAAGGGAUUUUAAAAGCUUAUAAAAGGGUAAAACAUGAUUUACAAUCGUUUUUAAAGCAUAAGUAAGUGGCAUAUAAUGAUUUACAAGGAUUUUUAAAAAGGGUUAGCAUGGUUUACAAUAUUUUUUUAAGCAUAAGUAAGUGGCAUUGGAAUUAUUUACAAGGGAUUUUAAAAGCUUAUAAAAGGGUAAAACAUGAUUUACAAUCGUUUUUAAAGCAUAACUAAGUGGCAUAGAAUGAUUUACAAGGAAUUUUAAAAGUGUUUGUAUGGUUUACAAUCGUUUUAAAGCAUAAGUAAAUGGCAUUGAUUGAUUUACAAGAGAUUUUAAAAGGGGUUAACAUGAUUUACAAUCGUUUUAAAGCAUAAAUAAGUGUCAAAGAAUGAUUUACAAGGGAUUUUAAAAAAGGUUUGCAUGGUUUACAAUCGUUUUUAAAGGAUAAGUAAGUGUUAUAGAAUGAUUUACAAGGAUUUUAAAAGCUUAUAAAAGGGUAAAACAUAAUUUACAAGAGUUUUUUUAAAGAGUUUUAAAAGGAUUUACAAGGAUUUUAAACCUUUGUAAAUCCUUUUAAAACUCUUAUAAAGUCUUUACAAGUAUUUUUUAACUCUUAGAAAAAGAAUUGUAAGUAUUUAAAACAUUUACAACUCUUUUAAACCAUUUUAAAACUCUUGUGAAUCUUUACAAAAGGUUUUAAAAAGACUAGAUGAAUUCCUACGCUAUGCGAGGGUUUGUUUUGAAAAUUGUUUAGAUAAAAAUAUGUUAAUUAUUUUUGUUGCUAAUUUCUGUUUAUUUUUUGUUUGUUAUUUUAUAAUUAGUAAAAUUAGACUCAUCUUAUGUACUUGCAUUUUUUAUUGUUAGGUUCAUUUUUGACUCUAAAAUAUCAAUUUCUAUAUGUUUUCAUGUAUAAUCUGAUUAUUUUUAUAACCAAGAUUCUAAAAUUUGUUUAUUAUCAUGAAUAUACACAACAAGAAUAAAAGAUGUUUUUAUUUCAAGAGUUUUCAUAUGAAAAAAAAGAAGCAAAAAUUAAAGAGUUAUUUUAGUAACACUUUUUAGAUUUAUGCUAUUGCAUAUAGCCAUAUAAGACAAAUGGAUUUGUUUUGAAUUUCGUGGUAUGUCUAACGUCUCAAAAAUCUAUUACUUGAAAAUGUUUAAUGUCAAUGUUACGAACUUACCAUAAGAUACAAAAAUAAAAAGACAGAAUUUCAUAUGAUAAGAUAUGAACCAUAACGUAAUAAUAAUAAAAAAAUCAAGGUAAAAUAAUUAAACUAAUAUUAGGUAGCAAACAACUAAAGUACAACACAAAUAACUAUUUAGUCAUUAUAGAGUGAUGACCAUUGACCAUUAAGUUUUUUUAAAAAUAUGAAAUAAUAAAGUAAAAUAAAAGUAGUAAUUGAUUUAUUUAAAUAAAUAAUUUUAUAAAUUUUUUAUUUUGAAUAAAAUUAUUUAAGAAAUGAACUAAUGGAGGAUUUAACACAAUAUGAGACUUUUGAUUUUCUCUCAAUUAAUUUUGCUGAUUUUUAAUUUAAUCAAUGUUAAUUGACACAUGUCAUUUUCUUGUGUGAUGAUGUGUCACCCAUAUGGAGAAAGUUGGCCAACUUUCAUAUAUAUGAUUUACAAGAGUUUUUAAACGGUUUCUUAUAAUUUCUUUUAAAAUCUUUUAAAAACUCUUGUACAUCUUUUAAAACCCUUUAAAAAUCCCUUGUAAAUCUUUUAAAACACUUUUAAAUCCUUUAAAAAUCUUUAAAAAACUCUUGUAAGUCUUUUAAAGCCCUUUAAAAUCCCUUGUAAAUCUUUUAAAACCCUUUUAAAAUCCCUUGUAAAUCUUUUAAACCCUUUUAAAAUCUUUUGUAAAUCUUUUAAAACCCUUUUAAAAUCCCUUGUAAAUAUAUUUCCCGCCAAAAAACAAUUGUUUACGGGAAAAAUGUUUUCGAAAUUUUUUUUUGGCGGGAAAAUUUUGGCGGGAAAUUUUAUUUUGGAAUAUUUUAGGCAAAAAAUAUUAAUAUUUCAUUUUGUUAACCUAAAUCAAUUUACAAAUAGGAAUAAAAGGGUCAUUAAAAAUUUAAAUAGGGUAUAAAUGAAAAUGGUAAAUAGAAAAGGGUAGAAUUGAAAAGGGGUAGUGUGAAAAGGGCAUUAGAAAGAAUUUUUCAUUUUUAAUUAUACUUUCUUCUAAUUUUUAGUGAUCAUUUUAACCCUAUUUGAAAAUGUUUUAGGUUAACAAAAUGAAAUAUUGAUUUUUUCCACCAAAACGGCUUUUUGCCUAAAGAAACUUUCACGCCAAAAAAUUUCCCGCCAAAUUGGUUUUUUCAAAAACAAUUUUCCCCAUAUAACAAAAAAAAUGGCGGAAAAUAUAUUUUUAAAACCUUUGUAAUUCUUUUUAAAACUCUUGUAAAACUUUUUGAAACCUUUUGUAAGGGUUCACAAGAGUUUUAAAAUAUUUCAAAUUUUUUUACAAAUGUUUUAAAAUAUUAAAACAAAACUUUUUAAGAGUUGAAAAAUGAUUUAAUAAUAAGAAUUUUAAAAGGCCUUACAAAAGUUUCUAAAAUCCUUGUAAAUCGGUUUAAAACUAUUUGAAAACUUUUGUAAAUAAUUUUAAAACCUUUUACAAUGGUUUUAAAAGAAUUAUAAGUAUCUUUAAAUAUUUAUUAAGGUUUUGAAGUAUUUACAUGUGUAUUUAAAGACUUUAUAAAGAUUUUAAAAGAUUUCAAAAUGAUUUACAAGUGUUUUUAAGAACCGUACAAAGCUUUUAAAAAACUUUACAAGGAAUUUUAAGAGUUUUUAAAGGAUGUACAAGAGUUUUCAAAAAAUAUUUUGCGGGAAAAAAACAAUUUGGUGGGAAAACUAAAUUUUGGAGCCAAAACUUUAUUUGGCGAGUAAACUAAAUUUUGGCGGACAAAUUUCAGUUUCUUAUUAAAUAUUCUAAUUAAAUGGAGGGUAAUUUGGUUAUUUUGUUCAUGAAAAAGGAUAUUUUAAAAAAUAGACAAUGGUAAAGGGUAUUUUUGCAAAAGAGCAUUGGAAAAGAGUAUUUUUACAAAUCUUCCAAAUACAUUUGGGUAUAUUUGGUACCUACCUAUUUAUUAAAUUUUAUUCAUUAAAGCUUUGAUGGAUUUUGAAACCUCUUACAUUGGAUAGUUCCAUAUUUAACAAUAUAGACUAGGUCAGUACUCGUGUUUCGCAAGGGGUUCAUGAUUUAAUUAGUUUAUAAAUUUUGUUUCUGUAUAUAUUACUAAUAUAGUUUUAUUUUUAUUCAAAAUAGAUUUUUAGAUUAUCAAUUCCCAAAACACUAUCCUGUCGUUGUAGUAUUUUAGGUUGUCAAUCCAAUCUGCUGGUGUGAUGCAAACAGAUAAGAUAUUAUUAGAAUGCACUAAGUCAAACCAAGCAGAGAGUUUUUGGUUUCUAACAGUCCUCAUAUGAAAUAAAAGAACUGAAAUAAAACUGAAAUGCAAAAUGGCAGUAACAUGCAAAUGAAUGACAAAGCAGAUAAGAUAACAGGCAAUCAAAUGGAUAAGAGAUUCCUAAGGAUGGAGUAAUCGAAUAGCGUGGUCUCCUUAAUCUAUUUAGACGGUUGACAAAACUUCACAGAAGAUAUCUCUAGAAAACAAGUUCAAUGAAAGAUUAAUUCACUACCGUGUAAGAAAUCCUAAAGUGACGUUAUCUCCAUUAGCGAUCUCUAACUAAGCAGACAAUAUCGAAUCAACUUGUUAAAGCCAAUACCCGUUCUAAACGGCCAAUACCUUGGGAUAGAGACGAAUAUCACUGGAAUUAAUAGAUCCGACAUUCCAUCGAACGCCUUCUGAGCGCGGGAAUGUCUGGAUUCAUAUUCCAGUUGAUCAUAAAGGAACAAGCAAUAAGCGCAACUAAUCUAGAAGGGAUUCCAAUAUUCUAAACUCAACCAUCUAGACGACUAAGGUUACCACAACUACUCUAUCCCAUCCUCAGAAAUACAAUUCACUACUCAGACAUAAGCAAAGACAAUAUCAUAGAAACGAAUGAAAACAUGAUAAGGGAUCGAGAAAUGACAAAAGAUAAACGAAAUGAUACUAAGACUGAAAUAUUUAAUACUUGAAAGUGAAUACAAAAUCGCAGGAGAGCGUUGCGGCUACAAAAGUUUUAGAAAAAAGGAUCAUGCCCUAGGGAAAACCCCUAGAGGCUAUUUAUAAAAGCAAGACAAGUUAAGUAAGGAAAGUCUUUGAUAGUAGUCUUCACAUCGGGAGAUUGCGAUUGGGCAUAUGAUGGGCUGAAAUGGGACUCACUGCGAUGGAGUAUGUCAUGGAUCAAACUUGGCUUCAGGGACUCCACCUUGCAAUCGUGUGGUCUGGAGUGAAGACGAGAUAAAAUUGUCCAGCGACCCUGCGAUCGAGUAGAUGUCAUGAGGUGGUGAUCGAGUGGUUUCUUCAGCUUCUCUUCUCUUCCGUAUGCUCAGUGUUGGUGUCGGAUCCCGCACCAAAAGUCCGAAGUCGUCUCAGCCUGUAAUAAGCCCAAUCGCUGACUUAAUAAUGAUUUUACAAAUAUUUUUAAAAGGGGUUUAAAACGUUAAUAAUGAUUUUACAAGGAUUUUUAAAAGGAUUAGUACCUGAGCAGUAGGAAAAGAAUGAGAAACAAAAGGAUUUGAAGUCGUCUCAACCUAUAAUUAACACAAUCACUGACUUACUAAAUCUAUAUAUAAACCAUUUUUAAAAUUAUAACACAAGAAAGUUAUUGAAAAACCUACUCCACUGUCACAGAAAUUUGCUCUACUCUGUGAGAAUUUGUGCAUAAAAGUUGCAAGUUGUCUAUCGUUUCUAAUAUAAAGAGGAUGAGAUUGUAUUGUUCUAGAAGUGGAGACUUGCUUAUAACUAAGCUUCAAAGAAUUGGUUGAACUAUCUAUUCGAAAAUUCUCUACAAGAAUAUCAACCAAUGCGUGAUAGGUAAUGUGCUCAUCAAUGAGCACUAAAGAAGCUCCCAUUUCAAUGUCUAAUUCAAAUUCCCAAGUCAUAUUGUUUGUCAACUUCCACAAACCACAAACAGAAUACUAUUCUAUCAUUAUAACCUGAUAAGAUAAAUAACAACAAAAUCAAUACCCACAAACAUUGUCACUACAGAGAGAAGCAUGGUUUACAAUUAUUUUUAAAGCAUAAGUAAGUGGCAUAUAAUGAUUUACAAGGAAUUUUAAAAGCUUUGAAAAUGGGUUAACAUGAUUUACAAUCAUUUUUAAAGCAUAAGUAAGUGGCAUAGAAUGAUUUACAAGGAAUUUUAAAAGCUUUGAAAAGGGGUUAACAUGGUUUACAAUCGUUUUUAAAGCAUAAGUAAGUGGCAUAUAAUGAUUUACAAGGAAUUUUAAAAGCUUUGAAAAGUGGUUAACAUGGUUUACAAUCGUUUUAAAGCAUAAGUAAAUGGCAUAGACCUAUCACGAAAGCGUAAGUAAAGGGGUAAACACUAAAUCAAAACCAAAAUUUAUCACGGAACAAUAUAACGAAUUCAAAUCUAUCACAAAACAGUAUAACGAAUUCAAAAGGAAUUAACGAAUUCACAUAAUCAACCCCAAAAUCGAAAGCAAAAUAGUAGAAUUUACAAGGAUUUUAAAAACAAUUCAAUCAUUAAAUCUCAAACAAAAUUCAAAUUCGAAGCAUCAACAAAUGUCAAAUUGUCGAUUGAAUCAAUAUCACGAAUCACAUAAGCAACAACAAAAUCGAAAACGAGACAUUUAGGCUAAAAUUACAAAUUCGAAAUCGAUUCCAUGAGAGAAAAACAAACAUGGGGAAAACAAGAGAUUGAAAUGAAGACUGAGACGGUGAAAUCGAUAACACGAAUCCGACAAUCUCCGACGGCCACGACGCAAUGCGACAGCGACAAUUAAAACAAUCUCCGACGGCGAUGACAGACGAAGAAUACAUAUGACAUCAAUUGAAAUUAGAUCGAUUAGUCUCUGUAGUUCACUAAGGGUAUUUUGGGGAUAAAAUAAUUAGGUGGGGUAGAAAUAAAAAUGGCUAAAAAAUGGGUAAAGUUUAAAAGGAGCAUCAUGAAAAGGGCAUUAGAAAGAAUUUUACAUAAUUAUAUAAUAAAAUAUGUUUUCCUUAUAAAAAUGGUUUCUAUCACUAACUCUUUAACCAUCAACAACCUACUAUUUUAUUAAAUGACAUUGUUUUUUCCUUAGAUUCUUAUUGGAUAUCUCUUCUAAGUCGUUAAUAUUCAUUUUCUUUAUUUUUGAAUUAGUAUUUAUUUUGCAUUUUUCUCUAAACUACAAUAUGUUGUUGUAUGUUUGUCUUUGUUUGAGGUUAGUAUAUUUUUUACUCAUCGCUAUUUGCCAAUUUUCAUAAUUAUUUUGAAUCAAUGGUGGAGUAUUUAUUAAGAUAUUAGUUUGUUUAGUGACAAAGUAUGAGAUAAUAUAUUUUUUUACAAAUGUGAGUACUUACAAUUUGUUUUCUUAUAGGAUUAACAACUGAUUGUAUAAUUUUUUUAAUCCUUUUUCUAUUUUUCAUAUUUUUCUUGUUUAGUUAGUAACUUAUAAUUAAAACAUUUAGAUUAAUUUUCUAAAUUCUAUAGUUUUAGAAAAUAAACAUAUAAUUUUAUUAUAUAUAAGUAUAGUUUCCUUAUAAUAAUCUUUUUAUAUUCUUCAAACUGUUUAAAUUGUAUAAUUUUGUUGUAAUUAUUUUUUUAUAAUUUUUUAAUUGUUAAAUACAAAACUUUUGUUUGCGACAUAACAAAAAUCUCCUAUGAAAAUAUAGGUAUUAAAAUUGCAUUGAUAGAUUUGAAAUUUCGUGUUUUUUUUAGUUGAAAUUUAUCCUCUUAAUUAUAUGAUUUUAAUUUUUACUUAUUUUGAAAAUCUGUACUUUUCAUUUUUUAUGCAUAUAUCAAAAUAGAGAAGCAUUUCCAUAUGUACAUGUGUGAAAUCUCAUUAAUAAAUGGACAUAACUUUAUACUUUUAUUUUUUAUAAUAUUUUUUAUUUUUUAUAAUGCAUAGUUUCAUUAUAAUUAUCCUCUAUCUUUUAUAAUAUUGUUCUAAAAAAUUUAUUUUUUAUACAUGUCAAAAUCUAAGAUCUCUAAAAUUGACCCGUGUUAUAAUCUCCUGAGUUACUAUCAAAACCGUACUUUGUAUAAUAAGAUCCCUUUAGGUAGACAAAUAUUUGUACUUUUUUAUGUUAGUAUCCAACAUUAUAUUUUGUUGCCUAAACUGAACAUUAUUAAAUUGUUAAUUAUAAGAUUUCACCUAUAGUAUACCUUCCCGUAUUAAUAUCGAUCCAAACUCGUCCCACCAUAUAACUAUACAACACUGGUUAUUUAGAAUUUCGAUUGCCCUUUAAGGAUAACAAAAGAAAGAAACAACAAAUGUUGUUUUCAAAUAGAUAUUCCAAAACCUUGUCUAGAUUAAUUAAAAUGGUAUGAAUUUUUUAUUUAUUUAAUUACUUUUACAUAUUAAUUAUUCUACACAAUUUAUGAAAUACUAAUUGUUUUUUCUUUAGUAUGUGCAGGUUGACCCAUUAACGAUCCGAUCCAACGCUUCUUCACCUGAAAAUUUGCUUGGAUUCUCUUCGUUUAAAAACAAUACCAAAUAAACAAACUUUUGCCUGAUGAAAUCAAUGACCGAUCUUGGAUGCAAGUUUAAAGAGUCUUUCCUCAUCGUUCGUUCAGUUUCUUAAUCGCUUCUUUGUAUUUUCAAAUUCGAUUGAUAUUCUGUAAAUUCCCUCAUUUUGGUCAAUUGCUUUAAUGUAACUUCAAAUUUGAGUUUUUUCAUUCUCUUCAAACUCUGUUUUUAAUGGAUUUGAUAUGGUGAAGGAGAAUACACUAAACAUGGAUGGGAAGAAGAAGGAGAAGCCAGCAGCUCAGUUUCACUCAAUCGCAUAGCCGGAGGAAUCACCCACUCUAUAUCGUUCACGUGGCAAUCUUUGGUUGGUCCCGGACUUUCGGUGCGGGAUUCGACACCAACAAUUAGCCCUCCAAGUCUUUCGAAGUGUUAUCCUAAUUCGGAAGACUUUAAUGCUUUAAUGUACAAAGAUUGCGCUAGAUGAUUGUAUGAUUUCCCACCAAAAUCUUGUUACUCCCUUGAUUCCGGCACUGUCCAUAUUUACCCGUAUGACAUCUGUCACCAUUAUGACCACAUCUUAAUUAUUUACCAUUAAAGCGGGAAAAUCCUUCACCUUCCCCCACGACUCCCAAGGCGGUUCCAUCAUCAUCACCAGCUUGCGUGAGGUAAAUUUAUUUUAUAUCUUUCUUUUUUUUUACGCUUUUCUCUCUUAGAACAAAGAUCCUCUCUGUUUUACUCUACCAAUUUUUUCUUCGAACACCGGAUUUUUUUAUUCUCUACGAUGAAUCCUGAUACUGAAAGACCCGAAUCCCCAUCUUUCAACGAGUGUGGUUAUAGCAAUGAUAUAUGCACUCGCCCGAACGACAUCGCCGGUCCACACUAUAUGUCUACUUGUACCCUUCAAUGCCUUGAGCGACUGAAGGAGCUUUGCCGGAUUCCGCCGGAGAUUAUGACGGAAUCAAAGAUGCAUGGUCCCAUGGAGUCCCCGGAGGACCAUCGCUCCGGUUAUUUUUGCGUUUACGAGAUCUAUUUCAAGGGCUGCGGGUUGACCUUUCCUUUUCCUGAAGCCUUGGUCUGUUACUUGGAAACUCUUGGAAUUGCCCUGUCCCAACUAACCCCCAACCUUCUCUGAACUAUCUUGGGGAACAUAACUGUUACGGCGGAAGCCGGAUACGUUAUCGAGGUUCCUGAACUAAACAAGCUUCUUAGCGUGAGAAGUUCAUCGAAGAAAACUGGGUACUUUUCGGCGUACCCGAAUGCCAACAGGAACCUCAUCUCGCACCUCCCGAACAAGGAUGAGAACUGGCAUCAACCUUGGUUUUUGAUUAAGAAAACCCUUGCUUCAAUCGGAAAUCUUUCCGAUGUGCUUCCAUCGAAGUGGUCUACGAAACCCGGUAGAAAUUAGGUCGCAUAUACCUUCUCUGUUUACCUUUACUGUUUAUUGACCAAAUCUGUUGUUUCACUUCGCAGCUUUCAUCGCUCGGACUCUCUCGACCGAGGAAUUCAUCGAACUCUUCAAAAUCGUCUUCGAAGGGGAAACCCUCUGGAAUUCCUUCACCCGUGACCGGUUUAUAGAGGCCAAUCACAAACUCAGAAUGAGCCCUCCCGGACAGCUUCAUCAACUUCCGCCACCUCCUUCCCUAUCUCAAGGAACAUUAGCCCGUGAUCUUGCUUCUCGGUGGAAGGUGAUAUCAAAGCCGAUGGCUGAGGCUUGCGAGGUAAACAAGACGUUCCUUGCUAGUUGACAAUGGUAGCGCCGAAGGGGCCAGAUCGGCCGAUGCGUUUAGGUCAACACUCCGUCCUGAACGCCAUGGUGGUCGUUCUCCUCGGAGAAAAAGAUAUCCCCGUCGUGACUCUCCUCGCUCUUCUCCCCGAGGUGGACUGAGCAGCGAACCCAUUGGUAAUUUAGUUUGCAAAAAGAGAGACAGACCGGCUCGUGGCAGCUCUUCUCCCCGAAGGGACAAAUCAAAGGCCCGGACUUUUGACAGAUAGCGUCCCGGAAUUUGAGAACGCUUCUUACUCCAUGCUUACUAUUCAUCGCGGGGUAGUUUCAUUUCCCUUUUUCUAAUCUUGCUAUUCCUUUACGUACUAACUUACUUUCUCGGGCUUAUACUCAGUGCCAGGCAAACAGCAAACUUAACGACAUGGUUGAGCACUAUGAAGGAUUGCUGCUUAGUAGGGAGCAAGACAUCGACACUUGGAAGGGCAAGUUUUCUUCCCUCGAGGCUGACCUCCGUCCCUCUCCGGUUCCAAGCAAAAAUUGGAGGACCAAGUCGACCAUCUCUCUUCUGAACUCAUGGAAUCAAACGGCGAGUUGCAAGAUCAGUACCGUAGACAUGACAAACUCCAAGAUGAACUCUCAGUUGCCCAAGAUAGGCUUUCUGAAUCUGAAUCGGUUGCUUACACCUUGAACAACCAGUUCACCGAACUUAAGGCAAAGUACAAGGCAAUCGCCAAGCUUCGAGAUGCUGAGUUAGCUAAGUCGGCGUUAAAAGCCAGAAAAGAAGUGAAAGGUCGCAGGAUAGAGCUGAUUCAGGGGGCCAUUCUUUUCAUUCAAACCGAAAAGGCAAGAUCAGAGCUGGAAUCUAAUAUUAAGGAGCACGAAAGCAACCUACUCUUGUUGGACCAGGUCCACGAGGAGGAUUUCAGCGAGGAGUAAGAGAGGUCCGAUUUGACAGCCGUUUUAUCCGAGAAACAUAGCCGCCUUCUUGCUCUCCCCGCUUCAUCCUUCAACCCUCAGCACUUCAAAGAGUUCUUCAUCGAAUCACCCCCUUUGGGUGAAUCGGGUUUAGAUUGGGCUGGUAAACUUUCAUACUUAAAGUUUUAUCACUUACAGUUUUUUUAUAUAUACUCUUUACUGAUUUGAACUGUUCUCCUCAGGUUCAAGUGAAUCGGAUGAUACUGCUGCACCUAAGGUGCCUGCCAUACUGGUAGAGAUUGUUGAACCUGACCCUAUUUUGCCCAAAGCUCCUCCGUUGUGAACAGCGAGACGGAGAUCAUCCCGGAUGAUGAGUGUGAUGCUAGGCACGAGCCGGGAACCUCUUUCGAGACACUCCCUGGCGUUGAACCGAAUGAAACCGAGACGACUGAUGUCGAGCCCGAGAUAGCUACGGAUUAAUAGUGGUUGCGUCCACUUGAAAUUGGAGGUUGUCCCAAAUAUUUAAGAACUUGAAAUUAAUUAUUGGAUAAGUAUUUACCUAAGGAGGCUUUUAAACUUUUUUUAAACUAUGAUCCCAAGAGGGUUUGACUAAAGUAGAAUGCGGGUUUGCAAAGUCCGCCUUUAAAUAUUUUGACCAUGUGGUUAAGUUUCGAGAUUCUAAGGUUGAUCAGACCUUUCUAAUAGAACGCGAGAAAUGAGCUCAUCUUAACGCGAAUUUCCCAUCUCGGGUUGAGUUAAUUCAUUACAUUUAUUGGGCUUGGGCCUUAACUGUUAUACCUUGUAUUUAAUGGGCUCUUUGUCUUAAAUGCGACGGUUGCCAUUUCCCAUCCUAUUUCUCGAGAAACCGGAAAAAACCUCACGCCUUUGAGGCAAUAAUUGCCUUUUAUCGAUUUCCAAAUAUGGCUUAAACCAUUCGGACACGCCAUCAUUAUUGAAUUUUUGGUUUCAAGACAAGAUCUAAACCUCUAUAAAUAAAAGUUUAUCUAUCACCGAAUUUCCCCCAAGUAUGAUUUUAGAAAUUUACUUGAUAAACACCACGAGAAUGGAAAACGAAGGAGCCUCCACUGUCUGUCCUCUCGACCCUGGCAGUCCAUUGUUUCUGUCCGGCGAUGAUUUCGAACCUGCCGGCGUUCUCUUUCCACACACCGCUUUCCACUUUCCUCCGAAAGAUAAAAAGGAGGCGUACGACUAUAUGGACAAGGUCGGGAUUCAUUCUUCUUCCCUCUAUUACGAUUCUUCAUCUUUUUUUUAUAUAUUUACCGGUUUCCAUGUUAGGUUGUCGACAAACAUCGCCGCUUGUGCGAUGAGAGGCAACGUCUGGGCCUCAAAAGGCAAACGCUCGAGGCCCGAAUCGCUCGAGUGGAGAGGAAGGUGAGGGAAAUGGAGAGUGAUCCCUUUCAAUGGGAGUUGAGGAACUUCGACUGCGUUGCCAAGAUCCCGACUAUGCUUUGGAUGUACCUCCGCGCUCGUGGUCAAGUUCUCGGUCUCGUGAAUGCUCAUGUUGAGGUGGUCCCAUCCGAUAGCGAGGAGGACGACGAAGAAGAGGACAUCGACCCCUCGAAUUGUGUCAAGAAUGAACCCAAGGUAGACGACAAAAAUGAAGCGUCCACUUCGAAUGCUGAAUCGGCGAUGAAGGAGCAUGUUCCUAAACCUCUUCCAUAAAUGUCCCCGAACUUGCUACUUACUUUUUUUUAUUUUUUUUUUAACUCGUUAUGGGCUCCGGCUCAUUUUUAAUUUAUGGAAACUUUUUUAUUUCCUUGAUCUCAAAAUACUCGUUUUGGAGAUAUGUUUUAAAUGCAGGGCCAACUGGAAGGCGUAGGUCUUUCCGCGAAUCACUCCGGCCUCAAAUAGAAUUGCAAUCUUCAAAGGUGCCAAGUCCCUAUAAAUUGCGACUCCAAGUUUUCUUUAUUUUUUAUUACAACUUUCUUUUCCUUUUGCAGCUAUGGAGUUUAACCUUCGAUGUUCGGAGUCCAUGCCAGACUUUUCUAGGGUCGGAAUGAUGGAUGAGGACAUCCCAAACGUGCGGGGAAGAGGGCCUUCUCAACCUCGUGGCUUCUUAAGGUCCCAAAUCCGAGCUCCAUGUGCAUUGAUGAAGGGACUUUCUGACAUAGACCAAGAAAUCACGAUGGCAUUCAUCAAGGCUCUUGCGGUUCAGCACCAGAAGCGUUCGUUGGAAAGGAGGAAAAUCCGAAAAAAGAUUAACCGAAUAUUACGUAGGGUUAUUGCGAUAUCGAGGGAACUUCACACCCUCAACUCUCACCCCGGGGACUGGAUUGAGCUUGGAAUUUCCGAAUUUGAUCGCAUACCGGAUUGUAUGAUGCCGAUUCUUGAACUCGCUGGUCAAGGAGUCCAACUGUUCUACAAGUCGAGAAGAGUUUCUUAAUUUGAAGUGCUAGCGUGACGAAACUUCGUCUUCUUUGCUUACUGCUUGAAUACUUUCGUUUUGUUUCCUGUAUUUGCAUGUUCGCGUAGUCGAACUUUUCUUGCUUUGUUCGUUCGCACAGUCUGAACUCGUUCCCAAGCUGCGUACGUACCUAUUUCAAGAUCAAGCGACACCGUAGUUCAUGUACAUAACAAAAAACGCGUGUUUACUUAAACAUAAAACUUCUUUAAAAUGACCACAUUCCAAAGACCCUAGACAGGCAUGUCUUCUUAAUCUUUUAACCUAUAAACACCAUUCUGAUCCACUUCGGUAAUAAUAUAAGGUCCUUCCCAAUUAAUAUCGAGCUUGCUUGCUCAUUCUUCCUUUUUAUUGUUGAAAACGCGCUUUAGAACGUAAUCACGUACAAAGAAAGGUCUGAUUUUGAUUUUGGAAUUGUAAUAUCGAGCUGCUGCCUGCUGGUAAUUCUGAAUCCGGAUCAAAGCUUGGUCUCGCCUUUCGUUGAUAGUAUCUAACGAAUCAUCGAGCAUUGCUGAGUUUUCUUCUUCGGUUAGGGGAGCCUCUGUUCAGCAAAGUCCAUACACGUUGAGCUCGGCCGGGACCACUGUUUCCAUCCCAUAAACUAAAAAAAACGGAUUUUCCCCAGUAGACCGCCUAGGAGUUGUGCGGUAAGCCCAUAAAACCUGUUGAAGCUCGUCGUACCAACCUCCCUUCAAAUGAUUCAGGCACUUUUUUAGAUUGGUUAGGAUUGUCUUAUUUGCGGCUUCGGCUUGACCAUUUCCUUGUGGAUAACGUGGAGUGGAGUAACUGACUUUGAUUCCCCAAUCUGUACAGAAAGUUUCGAAUUCGUGCGAAAUGAAUUGUGGUCCGUUGUCUGUGACUAUCUCGUAUGGGACACCAUGCCGACAUCUGGUAUUUUUCCAAAUGAAAGUUUUUACUGCCAAAUCUUACGUAUGCUUCAGCCUCAAUCCAUUUUGAAAAAUAAUCAGUUAAGACAAAAGAUAUUGUACGCCUCGAGUUGAUCUGUGCAAUGGUCCAAUGAUAUCCAUCGACCACCUCAUAAACGGGUAUUGGGCAGAGAUAGAAAAGAAUAACUCCAAAGAUUGAUGGAUUAGAGGUGCAUGAAGUUGGCAACGCUUACACAGCUGGGCGUACUUAACACAAUCUGUUAUCAUAGUGGGCCAAUAAUAUCCCAUUCUUUUAAUUUUGAAAGCCAUUGCCCUUCAUGAUGAAUGACUACCACACAGACCUUCAUGCACUUCGCUCAUGACAAUUUUGACUUCGAGCCCAAAGAUGCAUAGUAGGUAAGGGUCGCUGACACCUCGCUUAUAUAAUGCGUCCUUUGACAAACAAAAUUUUGCGCUAACGAUUCUCAUUUUCCUGGCCUGCCACUUAUUUUUUGGGAGCUUGCCUGUCACAAUGUAAUGUUUUAUUGUCUCCCUCCAAUCAGUCUCCCAAUCUUUAGCCUGAAUUUGGUCAACCUCGUGAAAUAUUCUUGGUUCCGGUUUGGGAUGCUCGUUUAGCUCAAGUAUAUCCUCCUCGAUAAGUGGCUCGGUCUCUAUAACCGUUUCUGGAACUGCGUCUUCUGUCAGGUCAAUAGGCUCCUCGCUACUAUUUUCUUUAGAUGUGCCAGACUCAAAUAUGGUUGAACCUUUUGACUUCCUCCACUUUAUGGAAGUAAUUCUAUUCUCAGGCUCACCAAGCUCACGCGCCGCAGCUCGAGACCUUGUAAUGACGAGGGUCCUUUUUUCCUCCUUAAUGUUCUAUUCUGAAAUGCAUUCUACUGGAGUGACUCUUUUUACCAAAGGAUCUGACGUUGACGCCAGCGUGGCAAGUGCGUCCGCGGUUGUAUUUUCUCCUCGAGGUAUGCGAAUGAGUUCAAAUUUGAGAUAUGCUUCCAUUCUUGAAUCUUUGGUUUUGUAAUAUCCAUUGAACUGGUUAACAACCAGUUGUGAAUCACAAUAAGCGAUCAAUUCUUUAGCUCCAACUCCUUGUGCCAACCUAAGUCCAGCGAUUAGAGCUUCAUAUUCUGCCUCAUUGUUAGAAGCAUUGAAUAGCAAACAGAAUGAUUGCUCAAGAAUUUCCGAUGUGGGAGAUUCCAACUUGAUUCCCACUCCUGUUUUGAUGAACAUCUAUCUACAUGCAACUUCCAAGUUUCAUUUUGUGGUUGCUCCGGCGCGCCAAGUACUGGUAGUUUGGUCAGGAUAUCUGCCAAAACUUGGGCCUUCAUGCUGACUCGGCUUUUGUACUCUAUAUCAUACUCACUUAGCUCCACUACCCACUUCGCCAAUCUUCCGGACUGACUUGGACUAUGAAGAAUUGUUCGAAGUGAAUGAUUGGUUAAUACUUCGAUCGGAUGAGAUUGGAAAUAUGGACGCAACUUUCGGGCAGAAGUUACAACCGCAAGUGCGAGUUUUUCCAUCAUUGUAUAUCUAGUUUCUGGAUUUGUCAUGGACUUACUUACGUAGUAAAUCGGCUUCUGUUCUCCGCGAUCCUCCCGUAUCAAGACUCCACUAACUGCAAGGUUCAACACUGAAACGUACAAAUAGAGCUUUUCAUCCACUUCGCGCUUGGACAGUACGGGUAGAGUUGUUAGGUAUGCCUUAAGCUGUCCAAAUGCCUCUUCACAUUUCUCAUCCCAAAGGAAUCCUUUGUUUCCUUUUAGAAUUUGAUAAAAGGGUAUAGAUUUAUCUGUUGAUAUUGAAAUAAAACGGUUUAGAGCUGCAAUCCGACCCGUUAACCGUUGCACUUCUUUGAAAUUUUUUGGAGACGGCAUGUUGAGAAAAACAUUGAUUUGGUUCGUAUUGGCUUCAAUUCCCCUUUUUGUCACAAUAUAACCAAGGAAUUCCCAGGAUGGAACUCCGAACGUGCAUUUUGUCGGGUUCAGCUUCAUUUGGUAUUGAUUGAGAAUUUCAAAACAUUCUUCUAAAUGCUUAAUGUGGUCCUUUUUCUUUAACAACUUGACCAACAUAUCAUCUUUGUAAACUUCCAUAGUCUUCCCAAGAUGUUCGUGGAACAUUUUGUUGACCAAUCGUUGGUAAGUAGCUCCUGCAUUUUUUAAACCAAAAAGCAUUACUUUAUAACAUUAAAUACCUCUAUCCGUGAUAAACGAUGUUUACUCCUGAUCUUCGGGAUUCAUCAUUAUUUGAUUAUAACCCGAGAAGGCAUCCUAAAAGUUAGUAACUCGUUCCCAGCGGUAGAUUCCACAAGACUCUAUAUGCAGAAGCGGGAAACUAUCCUUCGGGCAGGCUUUAUUGAGGUCUGUGAAGUCGAUGCACACUCUGUCUUUUCCAUUCUUCUUCUUGACCACAAUAGAGUUUGCUACCCAAUCUGGGUAUGGCACCUCCCUUAUAGACCCUAUCUUUAAAAGUUUAUCUACUUCGUCAUUUACCGCCUUUGCUCGUUCCACUCCGAGUUUUCUUCUUUUUGGUUUUACAGGCUUGAAUCUCUGAUCCACGUUUAGCUCGUGGCAGAUUAUGCUUGGAUCUAUGCCACGCAUAUCCGCUGCUGACCACGCAAACGAUGCUUUAUUUUUGUUCAAAAGUUCUAUUAUGGCUUCUUUUAAUUUGUCGGUUGAUAUGAUUCAAACUACCUAGAACUACUCUCUCAAAUAAGAGAUCAAUUGCAGUAUUUUAGGAUCGAUUUCACGGAGUUCUUUUGUUCAAACAGUGAGUUAAAUGUCGAGAUUAAGCUAGCAGGGUGUGAGUGAAAUAGUAAGAAAACAAAAUAAGAAAAUAGAAGAUUGAUUGUGUUGUAAACGAUUUAAUAAAAGAGGUAGGAACAGGGUAUUCUCAGGAAACUAUUGGUUAGUAGAUCUAAUUAAAGCUAGGUUGUUAUCGAACCAUUCUUAAACUCAAACUCUAAUUAUGGAAUAACCGGUGGGCGUGCCGCAAAACUCCCUAUAUCUAUAGCUAAUAGUGACCGGAGAAGCCGAGAGACUAUCAACUUAAAUAUGCAUUCUUAACGAGUUCAAUUGUUCAUCUUAGUAAAUAGGCCGAUUCUUAUUACACACCUAGACCAGACUCAUCAAAUAAUAGAUCCAACUACAGAUUCCUAUGGCGGGCAUAUCUAUUGUCUGGAUUCAAGAUCUAGUUAAUUACUCUAGAUCUAGCAUUAGGUAUAAUUAGAGAUGAAGAAUUCUAAAGAUAACCUAGCAAAGGGGGCAAUCUACUAAACCAUAUGAAUCCCUAAUGAGAAACCCUAUUCCUAACAAGCAGACUACUCAGACAUAUUGAAUGAAACAAACAACAUAAUUGAGAUAGAAAGCAUGAACACAGUGAAUAGAGAAGGGGAAAGAAGGGAUCUCUUCACUGUAUAUAGAUCUGAAUGAAACUCUGAAUAACAAUGGAUGAAUAGCUUAUGUCUCUUACAAUAGGGUUUGCAAAGAACUUGAUAAAAGACUUGAUAAAAGAAACUUAGGUCUAAAAACAAUAUAUAUAGACCCUAAAAACGUCUAGGGACUAAUAAUGCAAAUAGAGAAAUCUUCUGGGGCAAACUUGAGCUUCUGGAAACUCGAAAGCGGCUAGGGUUUUUGCUGGGCCAGAACUGGUGUCGAUCGACACCAAGAGUGUGUCGGUCGACACUCCUCGCUGAUUCCUGAACCAAAAUUGUCCUUAGCUUCCUUUUCAUUAGGUUUUGCUCCAAAAUGUCUCCUUAUCUCCAAUGUUGUCCCAUUGCAUAGAAUACCUGAAAAGACACAAAAAAGACUCGAGAAAUAACAUAAAGACUCAAAAUCCUAUACCUAAAACAAAGAUAAAUCGGUGAAUAUUGGGUUAUAUCAUCGGUUAGAGUAGCUCCAAUUCGAACUUUCCGAUUUGGCUUGUCCUCUUCUAACAUUAUUUCUUUCUUCGCGGGCUUCGUUAAUUGCUAUUGGAUCUUCAGACGGUGGCUAGCUAGAUAACAUGUCCGAGAAGCUUUAAAGUGAUACAAAACCAAAAAAAAAUAGUAAUAUUAGAAGUUGUUUCUCAAGGCAAAUCAUUUGUGAAUGUAAAAACAACUUAAAAACAACUCUGUUCCUGGGUGAUUUUUUCUUCUCGAGUAGAUAGUGGUGUUUGUAUAACAUCUUCAUCAUCUUUCUUGGUCUCUUUUGGAACAUGUAAACCAAAACAUCAAAGCAAAUUUUUUCUUUUUUUAAACAAUUUUAUCAUGUCUUUUUCAAAAGUUAAGGAAUGCAUACCUCUGUUAUUUCUUAUUUUUGUUGUUGUGAUUCUUUCUCUGUGGGUGCAGUAUCAUUAUCUUCAUCAUCUAACAAAAUUACAUACGCUUCUUGAUCUGCAAAAUCAUUAUGUUCAUCAUGUUCUUCUACUUUUUCUUCUUCCUCUUCUCUUCCUUCUUCCUCUUCCUUUUUUUCAUCUCCUUGUUUGGGAUUCUCUUGUUUUUCUGUUUCUUCAUCAUUGCAAGUAGAAUGAUGACCUCUGUAUUCAACCUAUAUAAAUAAUUACAAGUUUUAUAAGUACAAACCAUGACACAUUUGUUUGUUCCUUAAAAUCGGAAAAUUAGUCAUGUAAAUCACUUUUCAAAAGCAUUUAAAAUCCCUUGUAAAUACUUAUCGAACACUGUCUAUCCUUUAAAAACGGCUUAAAAUCUUUAAAAUAGAAGCUUUAAAAAUCCCUUGUAAAAACGAUAAUCACAAAGAUUUAUAAUUUCAAUAACUAUAAGCCAUUAUAAAACUUUAUUAAAACUCAUACAGAUUAACAUAUACCUUUUCUUCUUCUUCUUCAUCUUCUUCAUCGUUUUCUUCUUCCUCUUCUUUUCCUUCUUCCUCAUGUUUUUCUUCUUCUCCUUGUUUGGGAAUUUCUUUCUUUUUUGUUUCUUCAGAAUGAUGACCUCUUUAUUCAACCUGUAUAAAUAAUUACAAAUUUUAUAAUAACCCAAACUUUUAAAAUUCCUCGUAAAUACGUAUCAAACACUGCCUAUCCUUUAAAAACGACUUUAAAUCUUUAAAACUCCAUUUAGAAGCUUUUAAAAUCCCUUUGUAAAAACGAUGAUCAAAAAGAAUUAUAAUUUCAAUAACUAUAAGCCUUUAUUAAACUUUAUGAAACCUCAUACCGAUUAACACAUACCUUUUCUUUUUCCUCUUCUUUUCCUUCUUCCUUUUCCUUUUCUUCAUCUCCUUGUUUGGGAUUCUCUUGUUUUUCUGUUUCUUCAUCAUUGUUAGUAGAAUGAUGACCUCUGUAUUCGACCUAUACAAAAAAUUACAAGUUUUAUAAGUACAAGCCAGGACACACUUGGUUGUUUUUUAAAAUCAAAUAAUUAGUCAUGUAAAUCACUUUUAAAAGGCUUUUAAAAUCCCUUGUAAAUACUUAUCGAACACUGCUUAUCCUUUAAAAACGGCUUAAAAUCUUUAAAACUCCAUUUAGAAGCUUUUAAAAUCCCUUAUAAAAACGAUAAUCACAAAGAAUUAUAAUUUCAAUAAUUAUAAUAAGCCUUUUUAAAACUUUAUUAAAACUCAUACAUAUUAACACAUACCUUUUCUUCUUCCUCUUCUUUUCCUUCUUCCUCUUCCAUUUCUUCAUCUCCUUGUUUGGGAUUCUCUUGUUUUUUCUGUUUUUCAAUCAUUGUUAGUAGAAUGAUGAUCUCUGUAUUCGACCUGUAUAAAAAAUUACAACUUUUAUAAGUACAAGCCAGAACACACUUGUUUGUUCUUUAAAAUCGAAUAAUUAGUCAUGUAAAUCACUUUUAAAAAGCUUUUAAAAUCCCUUGUAAAUAUGUAUCGAACACUGCCUAUCCUUUAAAAACGGCUUAAAAUCUUUAAAACACCAUUUAUAAGCUUUUAAAAUCUCUUGUAAAAACGAUAAUCACAAAGAAUUAUAAUUUCAACAGCACAUACCUUUUCUUCUUCCUCUUCUUUUCCUUCUUCCUCUUCCUUUUCUUCUUCCUCUUCUUUUUUUUCUUCUCUAGUAGAACUGGCAGAAACUCUUUCGAUCCCUAAAUAGCCCUCCACCCUUCCAACUUUUUUCUUAAGAACUUCACAGUUUUCAUAGACCAGUGCUACUUUCUCACCAAAGGACAUUAAUUUCCUUUUUCUGCUGUGAUGCACAAUUGUUUCAAUUGUAAGUUUCAUUACAUGAUCAAUUCUACUUUCAUGUCCUUGUUCCACUUGAACCAACCCUGACACCAAUCCUUUUUGCUCAUUCUAUACCCUUUGAUCACAAGAUCAAAAACAUCUAACAGAUCAUUGUCUUCAAUAUCCUUCUGUGAAACCAAGUGGUCAUAUUCAUGAGAAUUAACACCAACUAUUGGUGUACUUCAAACUGCAAAGAUAAACUAAAUUCCAAACUAUGUAAAAAUCAUGUACAAUGCUUAAUUAACCUUUAAAAAUCCCUUAUAAAUUGUUUAAAUUGCCUUUAAUCCUUUUUAAAUCCUUAAAACUUGAUUGUAAAAACUAUUGUAAAACAUACUCUUUAUUUAUAAACAGUGUUUAAAAAAAAAAAAGUCAUAGGUAAGAAAAAUGUACCUUGUCACCAUCUGCAAUUAUUGUUACAGCUUUUGCACUUGGAGACGAUGUUGAUCUCCAUUGGAGAAUUAAUGGAAUAUUUCCACUAGAUGAUUCAUCUCUAAGCCAAACUUUUCUCCCAACUUCAGAACCGAUGAUAAUGCCCAUAUGUGAAUUGUAGAAACAAAUCGACUAUAUUGUUUCCUUAACAAAGUGUCAAUAUUGAAUUUCUUCACUUCAGUUACCAAAUAUGAGUAAACAAUCUGCGCCCAUCGAUACUUGCAGAACUUUUCGAAAUCACUAGCUCUCUGCAGAUUCUCAAUUGGCAGCAAGGUAGUCGGAUUUUGAGCUAGCAAUAUCCCCUCCACUAGUAACAAACCCCCCAAUCUCAUUCUCUCCUUCUGGCAGCAUUUUUUUGGAUGUAAGAUCGACAAAUCACAUUUUAUCAUUAAUCCACAAAUCUUUUUUCUGCUUUUCUUCAAAGUCUGAUUAUCUUCUAUCUACCACUUUUCUAUCUUCUUCUCUUCACAUUUGGACUGCUUCCUGAUGCAUCAUCUAUUGGAAGUUAUGUUGUUAUGAUAAACUCUUUCAGGGAGAAUCACAUAGGUUGAUCAGCAAAUAAAAACCACAAUUCGUCAUUGCUGGUUAGUAUCCUUCUUUUGAGUAAAUGAUGGACGAUAUGGCUUGAAAAGGCUAUGUCAUUGCAUUCAACGAAUUCCACUACAGGACCCAAGAACGUGUCCAUUAAUGUCUUGUACUCUAUCGGCUUUAAUGCUUCCCUGGCCUUCAAGACAAUUUUGUUUGAUGAAUGCUUUGAUACCCUUGUAACAUUAUCUAUUUCUCUGCCUAGUUGAAAUAGUCUUGUAGGGAAGUACAGUUUCUUUGUACUCAUUUUCUCAAAACCUGAUGAAAUACAUUAACACAGUCUUUAAAUUAACACAAUUUUGAAUAUCGUUUUAAAAACCAUUGUAAAUCUAUUGUGCUUGUGUAGUUUCGAAACAUAAACACAGUCAUUACAAGUCAUUUUAAGGAAGUACAGUUUCUUCGUACUCAUUUUCUCAAAACCUGAUGAAAUACAUUAACUCAGUCUUUAAAUUAACACAAUUUUGAAUAUCGUUUUAAAAACCAUUGUAAAUCUAUUAUGCAUGUGUAGUUUCGAAACAUAAACACAGUCAUUACAAGUCGUUUUAAGGACUUUAAAACCCCUUGUAAAACCAUUUUUAAAAAUCCUUCAUAAUCCUUUUCAAAGACCUUUUUGAAAUUUUAAAUCUUUGAAAAGCACACAGCCGCCAAAAAUAGAAACCAAUAAACCCUUUUUCAAACCAACUCUAAUCAACUGGUAACCCAUCAAUUAAGUGAGGAUCUAUAAAUUAAACCACAAACCCAAACAUCAAUCUAUUUAUUGGUGUAGUUUCAAAACAAAAACCCUUGAAAACGGUUGUAAAUCCUUUUAAAAACGGUUGUAAAUCUUUUCAUAAUAACAGCUAUUGCAUCUUUUUCAACACUUUUAAAAUUCUUUUAAACAGCUAGUAAAUCAUUAAAAAAACCUGCUAAAAAGCAUGUUUAACAUUUUAAAGCCCUUUCCAUUCAAAUCAAAGCACCUGUUAACCCAAACAACCAUUAUACAAUAAUUGUGUUAACCAAGAGUUGUACUAAAUAAACUUCAUAAAAUUUGUUCCAUACAGAUGUUCAUAAAAUAUUCAAAUGACAAAGUUUUAUGAAAUAAGAAACAAAAGCUGCUAAAUCUAUCUUAUACUCCACUACUUUUUGAUUAGGAAUCUGCUACUCCUGCAUAGUGACUGACCCUAAUUCUGUGAUGAUGUCAACAGCCAAUUUCUUCCUUGAGUUUCCGAUAAUGUUUCCUUCAAGGUUUGAAUGGUUGGUAUACAUUGAGUAACACUCCAUAAACUUCAACAUAUAUAUACCGGAAUCUUCAUUUCUAGGAGCCUACCACGAAAAACCAAAAGAAUUACUUGAGCAAAGAGGUCAAGACUUAAGGAAUCUUCAUUUCUAGGACUAUGAUAUAUUAAAGAAGUUACCUGAGGAAAAGUGGUCAGGACUUUGAUGCUAAAUGGAGAGACAUCGAUGUCUUUUUUUUUGAGGAUGUUCCGAACAAUGUAUGGCAUAGCUAUAGAGGAGGCACCAACAUAUUUUUUCUUGACUUCUUCUGUUAAAUAAGAAGCUGCAUAUUCCCAUAUACAAAUUGUAUUCUGUUCCAAGUAUAUUAGCAAGGCAACCCAACAUUUUCCUUUGAUACAGAAAGGAGCCAAUAUGCACUUGGUAUCUUCCUCUAUUAUCAGCUUACAGAUUUCUUCAGAUGGAAACUGAAAUCCCUCUUUAAAAUCCAAAAACUCCAUGUAUGACUCAUCAAUCGCAUUUACGAAAAACGAUCCAACAAAUACAACUGUUUUGUUUUUGAAGAUUUUUGGAUUGCUUUCCUUCCUCGUUUUCAAUAACUCCAAAGCUGCAUCAACAUGCUAAACACAACAAAAAUAAAAAAAUUAUCAUAUUAGAAAAUCUCUUUAAAAACGAUUGUAAACCAUGCAAACCCUUUUUAAAAUACCUUGUAAAUCAUUCUAUGCCACUUACAUAUGUUUUUAACGAUUGUAAAUCAAGUUAAACACUUUUAAAAGCUUUUAAAAUUCCUUGUAAAUCAUUUUAUGCCACUAACUUAUGUUUCUUAAACGAUUGUUAAUCAAGUAAACCCCUUUUAAAAAUUUUUAAAAUCUCUUGUUAAUCAUUCUUUACCACUUUCUAAUCCUUUAAAAACGAUUGUAAACCAUGUAAACACUUUUUAAAUUCCCUUGUGAAUCAUUCUUUACCACUUUCUAAUCUCUUAAAACCGUUUAUAAACCAUGUAACCCCCUUUUAAAAUCCCUUAUAAAUCAUUCGAUGCCACUUACUGAUGCUUUAAAAGCGAUUGUAAAUCAUGUUUUACCCUUUUAAAAGCUUUUAAAAUCCCUUCGAAAACCAAUUUUACAAGGAUUUUUAGACAUACCGUUGUUGUUAUUGCUUUCCCUGGCGUCUCUAGGCUUGUAAACCACUUUGUAUUUAUAAUAUUUUCUGCGAUUGAUAGUGGCCUACAACAACAAAACUGUCACCAAUGACUGUUAUAUUUUUAAAAAAACUCACUAUCUUACUAACAAAAACUCACUUGUUUUUUCUUGACUUCUUCCACUCAGCCGAUUUCUCAAAUCUUGUUGCAUCAACUUUCGCAAAUGGAUGCAAUAUUGGGGGCUUCUUCUUUAGCUUUGAAAGGUGCUUUUUAGGAAUAGAAGGAAACGUACCUCGCUUACUCUUUCUUUGUGUAGCGGGAUGAUCAUCAUUACUGUCGUCAACAUUAUCAGCGUUAUCACCAUCACUGCCAAUAGUUUUCCUCUUCUUACUAUGUGCCUAUCAAAAAGAAAAAAAAUAGAUUUUUUAAAUACCUUGUAAACAAAAUUUUCAAUCUUGCAAGCAUUCUUUUAACAGAAAUUUCUCGCAAUCUCAUAAUAAAUUAGAUACUAACCUCUUUCCUUGUUGGAACAUCAACAUCAGCACUAUCAACUUGUUUCUGCCUCUUUCUCGGCACCUAAAAUAGUAAAAAACACCGUUUAAAAGUACUUUUAAAAUCCCUUAUAAACAUCAUUACAAGACAAUUGACAAUUUUUUAAAACAGUACCGUUGCAAACACUAACCUGUUUUCUUGUUUUAACAUUAUCCUCAGCAUGAACACUUGGUUUAACUCUCUUGUUUUGAAGUUGCAAGAAAGAUAAACUUUUUAAAGAUUUGAAAAAAACAUAAUAUAUAAACACUUGGUGAGAUAAUACAAAUUUUUUAAAAUGUUAACCUCAUUUCUUCCUCUGCUAACUCUCUUCUUAUCCUUUUGAACAUCUAGACUUUCUUCUAGAAAAUAUUGAAAUUUGGUGUAGAGGAUCGUGGAGUAGGAGACUGAUCCUUCAAAAGAUAAUAGAAUGUAAAGUUAUAAAAAGGAUACUAAUCAUUUUUGUAAGACUUUUAGAGAAAUAAGAUUACUGCACUUUUGAUGAUUCUUCAGCUAUUUCAUCACUAACAUCACGUUGGGUGUUUUCAUCAUCACCCAGAUAGCUCUCAUACUGUGUGUUUGGCUCUUGGAUUGAAUCUUCAAAUGUGUCAUUUUCAUUCUACAACAAAAUAAAACAAUAAGUCAAUCGAUAAUAUACGUAGUAAACCUUUAAAAUACCUAUAUGAUACAUUGUAAACCUUUCUAAAAACCUUUUAAAUAACUUUCUAAAUACCUAUUUAACCUCUAAAAUACAUUGUAAAACCUUUGUAAGACCUUUUGAAUAACUUGUAAAGAUUUUCAAUUACCUCUGCUUUUCUUUCUAGUCUUCGUUCUUCUUUAGACUGCGGAAAAAGAGUACAUUGUAAAGGUUUACUACGUAUUUAACCUCUGCUAUUCUUUCUAGUCCUUCAUCUUCCUCAGAUUGCGAAAAAAAAGAGUACACCUUUUUAAUUAACUUUUGUAAAUUGAUUUAAGUACAUAAAAUCUUUAAAACUUUUCUCUUACCUUUUGUUUUCUUUCUUCAUCUUCAUCAGAUCUCUGAUUAUUCUUUUCCUCCAUUUUAGUGUUCUAAAAUCCUCUCAAUCAGCUCGACUCUCUUGUUAAGAUCUUAAAGGAUUGUCAAAAUCCUGUCAAGCUUCUCGCUAUCAAAUAUUUUGUUAUUCAUUUUCUGUUGACCUACUUCUUCAAGGGCAACAAGAACAUCAACGCAUCUUGUAUUCUAUUCAGUUUUCUUCAUUUUGUAGCCCAUCUUAAGAAGUUCCAAAACUUGUUGGAAUUCUAUGUCGUCUGUGCGGAAAUCAGGAACUAAAGACUUGAAGUCUUCUAGGUUUCCAAUAAUUGUAUUCACUUCAAUCUACAAAGAUACAAUAACAUUAAAAAUCUUGAGAAAGCAGAACUUCAAAUCUCAAAACCAUUCUAAACACCUUUUAAGAGCUCUUCAAAUUCUGUAAAUAGACAAAAGCUUACCUCAGAAACAUCAUUUACAAGGUUUACAACCUUGAAAAACUCUGGCGUGGUAGUGCUUUUCCACUUCAAUAUCAAUGGAUAUUCAGAUUGGCAUUCCUUAUCUCUAACUCCAUAUGCUGCACCAAAUGCUGGAACUGCGCUCAACACCCAUAUGGUCCGCACGAGUCCAAUUCCUCUCAGAUCAUAUUUCAUCUUUUGCCCAAGUUUUCUCGUCCAUUCUCAGAAUUGAAUUUGAUAGAACACUGAAUGCUUCUUUACCCCAUGGUUGGGCUGUGUACAUCUCAAAAUCAGAAGCAUGCUGCAAUCUUAACAAAGGUAUCUUCUCUCUUUCAAAUGGUGUGAAUAGAAUUCCUUCAGUCAACAAUACUGCACCAAGACACAGCUUUUCUUCAUUUUCAACAGCAGGUUCACCUUCCUUAGUUUUUGGAAACAAUCGAUCUUCGAGAUCACCAAGAGUAUAUACUCCUUCCCUCGCCCAAAAGUAUGGUUCUUUUACAUGAUCUUUGCCCUUUCGUCGAAGUUCCCUAUUAACAGGUUCACAUUGAAUUCAUGUAAGAAUAAAAGACAAUGUAGAGACUAUUAUUACACGUUUUAUAGUAAACACUUUAAAAACGAUUGUAAAUCAUGUUUAACCCUUUAAAAAGCUUUUAAAAUCCCUUGUAAAUCAUUCUAUGUCACUUACUUAUGCUUUGAAAACGAUUGUAAAUCAUGUUUUACCCUCUUGUAAGGUUUUAAAAUCCCUUGUAAAUCAUUCUAGACCACUUACAGACCAGUUGAUAUUCAAGACCCACCUAAUGUUGAUCAACCAAAAAACAUUGGUGCUGGUGAUGCCCCAAGAAAUCAUCACCAAAGACAAGGGAUAGUGCCACCACAAGUUCAGAACAACAACUUUGAGAUCAAGAGUGGUCUCAUCUCCAUGAUCCAAGGAAACAAGUUUUAUGGUCUACUUAUGGAAGACCCCCUAGACCAUCUUGACAGCAUUGAUAGGCUUUGUGGCCUUACCAAGAUUAAUGGUGUCACUGAAGAUAUGUUUAAGCUCAGACUAUUUCCCUUCUCUUUGGGAGACAAGGCACACCACUGGGAGAAGACUCUACCCCCAGACUCCAUCACCUCAUGGGACGAUUGUAAGAAAGCUUUUCUUGCCAAGUUUUUCUCUAACGCUCGCACCGCUAGAUUGAGGAACGAGAUCUCAGGUUUCAACCAGAAAAACAAUAAAACUUUCUGUGAAGCUUGGGAGAGGUUUAAAAGCUACAACACUCAGUGCCCCCAUCACGGUUUCAAAAAGGCUGCAUUAUUGAGCACACUCUACAGAGGAGCUUUACGAAAGAUCAGAAUGCUACUUGACACUGCCUCCAAUGAAAACUUCCUGAACAAGGAUGUGUAGAAGGUUGGGAGUUGGUCAAAAAUCUAGCACAAUCUGAUGGGUGCUACAAUGAAGACUAUGAUCACUCAAUGAGAGGAACUAGAGGAACUGAGGAUAAACAAAGCAAAGAUAUCAAGGCUCUGAAUGAAAACUUAGACAAGCUGUUGCUGGCUCAAUAGAUGCAGAUACACUACAUCACUGAUGAAGAGCACUUCCAAAUGCAAAAAGGGGGGAAUGAUUAAACUGAAGAGCUGUACUACAUUCAGAACCAAGGAGGAUUUAACAAGGGCUACAACAACUACAAGCCCACUCCUACAGAAGCACUAAUGUUGCUAACCCCCAAGAUCAAGUGUAUCCACCUCAACAUAAUCAGUCUAAGCAUUUGUUCAGUACAACCAAGGUUAUGUCCCUAAACAACAAUUUAAUGGAGGCUACCAACAGCAGAAUCCACCACCAGGGUUCACUCAACAACCACAACAAGCCCCAGCAACUCAAGAUCCUAAAAUUAAGCAACUCAUUCAACAAAUCAUCCAAGGACAAGCUACUGGAGCCAUGGCUUUUGAAAAGAAGAUAGCUGAAUUACACAACAAGAUCGAUUGUUCCUACAACGAUCUGAAUCUCAAGUUUGAAACUCUGAAUUCAAAAAUCAAGUAUGUGGAGAGUCAAUUUGCAUCAACUUCUGCUCCGAAGCAUCCUUAGCAACUUCCACGGAAAGCAGUCCAGAAUCCAAAGGACUAUGGUACUGCUAAUUCUAUCACCAUCCACCAAGAAGAUGAAUCUCCACCAAGUCAUCAGACUCCCAAUACUGAGGACAGUAUGAUUCAAGAAGGGGGGGGAUUCAACUCAAAUUGAUGCACCUGCCACCCAGCAAUUCUUCUGGACAAUAGAGCACACACCUUUGCUGAAUACUCAACAUUCUGGAAAAAAGUUCAAAAUUGAAAAACUCAAGCAAGAGCAGAAUCAAGAGAUGAUUAGCAGUGCCAGCACUCAAGAAACAUACAAGAAGAAAGUCAUCCAAGAAAAGCUUGAUGAUCCCGGUUCAUUCACCCUGCCAUGCUCUCUAGGACCAUUGACAUUUAAUAGGUGCAUUUGUGAUUUGCGAGCAUCUGUUAGCCUUAUGCCUCUCUCUACAGCUAAAAUGCUAGGGAUCAUGGAAUUCAAGUUCUGCAACUUAGCCUUACUCUUAGCUGACGGUUCUGUUGCACAUCCUCAUGGUCUAAUAGAAAAUCUGCCUGUCAAGAUUGGAAAUGUUGAGAUACCUACAGACUUUGUGGUAUUGGACAUAGAUGAAGAAGGCAAGGAUCCCCUGAUCCUAGGCAGACCAUUCUUAGCUUUAGCUGGAGCAGUCAUAGAUGUCAGGAAUGGAAAAAUUAAUCUGAACCUUGAAAAAGGCAUCAAGAUGAAGUUUGACAUCAGAGAAGCUUCAAAGAAAUCAACAACAGGAGGUCAGAGUUUUGGAAUUCAAGAUAUGGAUGUUGAUGAAGAAACAGAAGCUGAAACUUCACCAAAAGUCAACUAUACUUCUCAACUUAGCAAGCUGAAGAGAACUUUUGACCACAAGAAGAGAGCAACAGAAAGGCUAUCUCAGACUGAAUAUCCUACAGAAGAUAACUGGUAUGAGAUGAGAAAAAAAAAUAAAUGGCAAAGAAGAGUCAUAGAAGGAUUAUCUUCAAGGGUGAUGAAGCUGAAAGAUCAACUAUGGAUCUUUGAAAAAAGAGUUAAAAAAUUUUCAAAUGGUAUUGACCUUGAGAAGAUGGAAAAUGCACUAGCUAUCAAGGAGGACGAAAAUUUCACAACAGAACGGUUUGCACCAGAAGAUCAGAAAGGAGUUCACUUAGAGGAAAGAAGUCUAGAGAGCAAGUUGUUGAGUGUGGAGGAAACUCCUAUUGUGACUUAUUCUCCAGGAGUGCCUAAACAGCCCACCAACCCCUCUGCUGAAGAUGAAGACUUGACACUUGAUUCUGUUACUGAAGAACUUCUGGAACUCAGGAUAGAAUACAAAGCUCAAAAGGAUACCAUUGGGGAGCUAACUUACAAGAUGGAAGGACUGAACCAUGCAAUCUUGGAACUUCAAGAAAUGGUUAAAGGCUACCCCAGUUUUGAAUUUGAGGAUUGGUCAAAAGAGCCUGGUUCAGAAGAAGAAGACUACUCUGCUGAUCAGAAAGAAGCUUACUUUGAAGAAAAAUCAAAUGAGUACUCAUCCUACCAUAUCUCAAGAGAGGAUGCAGAGUAUGAUUCAAGCACCAAAAAUUCAACCACUGAAGAUGAGGAUUUCUCUGUUCCUCUCUUCAACCUCUUUUCUGACUAAGCUCUGUAAGAGUCAAGUUUAGUGACUUAAAACAAGCUCACUUGGGAGAAAGUCCCAUAUCUAUCCAUGUAAAUAACUUUCUAUUUUUCUUGUUAUUUUUGAUGUUUUUGUUUAAGUGUUUCAGGUUUGUUUUAGUGACCCUAAGGUAGUCAACGGUCAAGUAAAUUCAAACCAAGUCAAGAAAAAUCUAAACCGUUGAUCGAGCAAAAUGAGGAGGAGUAUUUUUAACCAUUGAUUUGGAUGACCAAAUGAGAGGAGAAUCACCACCGUUUGAUCGAGUGAUUUUUUGCGAUUCAUUCUGGUCCGUUUGAUCGAGUGAUUGAGGAUGGAGGAUUUCUCACCGUCCGAUCAAGUUAAGAAACCAAAGAGAUCCUCUUCGUAGACACCGACGCCUCGUGACCCGCCUCCAUUGAAACGUUGUUGUCCCUUUGUCUUCUUGUCCCCCCAUAAUCACUUUGGUCCCCCCAUUGCAAUUCUCGAACUCAACAACCUCAUAUCUCCACCUCCCAUACCAAAGCAUUCUCGAAUCCUUACAAUUCCCUCUUUAUCUCCUUCACUUCCCUUUCUUAUCAAAAACUUUUCACAAAUUCAUUGUUUCCUCCAUCAUUCAAUCUCCUAAUCUACUGAAUUUUGGUUUUGAGUUUCUCCCACCUUUGUUCUUGAUGAUGAAUAGGCGCUCGCUUUUGUCAAGGAUUCAGAACAAAGCUCUCUCCCCAUCGAAGAGGUACCCAACACCUUCUUCGCAUGCAGCUGCUCGAGGACCUUCUGAAUCAUCACCCUUGGGGUCGAGCAUGAGAGAACAAGCAAGUUUCAAGCUCGAUCAUAGUGAAUCGAGCCAAGAGGAGGAAGUGAUGCAAGAAGAGACCUUCAGCUCUCCAGCUGGAAAUACUCGAUCCCGAAGGUCGAGUAAGACCUCUACAAGAGAAUUCUUAAGGAACAAAGCAGAUAUCACUCAAGGGAAGAAGCCCGUGGGGAGGAGGUUGGAGCUGGUAGAUGAAGACUCCAAGGAAGAAAUGGGUUCACCAGAGGAAGAUGAUCAAACAGAGAAAAGAGGCGAUGAUGAUUUGGAAUCAGAAAAGUGUGCAACUCGAAACGAGUACUACAAGCUGCUGAAGCGCAAUGAGUUUUUAGGAACUCGGUACUCUCAUCCUGAGACCAUGGAGAGACUCGGCAUCUAUGAUGAUGUAGACUACAUGUUUAAACAGUGCAGCCUGAAUAUUCACAUGUUUUCGGCCAAUGGAGGAAGAGACUUUUCAGUUUCUUUCAUCUGUGGAAUAGCUCUUAUAUGGAGAGUUAGAGGACGAUGAAAUCAGGCCAGACGGGAGUUUGGGGUACUUGGAGUUCUGUGUUUAUGACGUAGAGUAUCGACUUCCAAUAGAGCAUCUCGAGCUGAUGUAUGGAUUUCCAAGCGGAAAAGACACGAGUCAUCGUUUUGACAAGAAAGAGCUUCAGUCAUUCUGGGCCACGCUUGGAUCUAAGCAUGGAUUUUCAUCCUCUAGGACCAAGAGCAACGAGAUAAGGAGUCCGGUGGUUAGAUACUUUCAUAGGUCCUUGGCAAGUGCGCUAUUUGCAAGAGAGCGGAAUGGAACCUUUGUCAAUGGAGAACUAGAGUUGAUGGAGACAGCACUGCAAGAGUUGCUUGGUUUAGCAUCGGAUGGUACAAUUCUAGCUGGAGAUCAGACAAACACUUCGGUCUCAUUCUACCUAAUCGAGCACCUGCUGAGUUACAGAGGAUGGGCUAAGGGACUUAAGAAACUAGGAAGAAUGGUUGUGGGAGGAGUUAUGACACCAAUUCUGAGAGCUUGCAAUGUACCUUUACAUUCAACGCCGAUUCCUCCGAGAUGGAUUGAUAUGCAGCACCUUAUCAAUUUCAAGAGUUUUUGGUCGCACCAGAAGAAUGGCAUAUAUAAGUAUAGGUUCGAUCACCCCACAACAGGACAAUCCAUUUUUCUCCUCCCAAACCCCGCUUCCACUUCGAUCAGAGAUGGUGGCAACAUUGAGUUUUGCCCACCAAUGGAGAACCUCUAUAUUUCAGGUGAUGAAGUUGUGCCGGUGGAAGGAGUGAAUGAUGAUGAGGCCCCAAUCCAUCAUUCUGAUAAUGAGGCAGAACCUACACAACAAUUUUACUUUGAGGAGUACUCAGCACCAAGGCAAAGUAAAGACUCAAAGGAGAUUCACAAGCGCCUUGGUUUCCUCCAAAGCUGGUGUAAGUUCCAAGACAAGGCUCUCGCGGCACUCAAUAAGAAGUUUAACAAUCUCCAACUCAAGAUCAGCUGUUCUUCCUCAACCACAGCAAUGCUACAGAACAUGCCUUUUGGGAGAAGCGGAUCCACUCGUCACGAACCUAUGCAUUUCGAUCCGCCUUCGCCACCAAGACAGUCUUCAUAUGAGCCAAGGGAACACCAUGCUGCACCUUCACCACCAAGGCAAUCAUCCUUCGAACCUAGAGAAAAGGAAAAGAGGAGCAAGUUGAAAAAGCGAAGAAGAACAAGGAAAUCAGACGCUGGAGCAAGCCACUCUACUGCACCACUUGAGGAGCCACUCGGUCAACAACCCGAGCAAAGGGUUGAGCAUCCAGCUAAUCCAAGUUCAGCACAACGCAUUCCUUGGAGUUACACAAAGGAGAGUAUGGACGAUUUCGUCUCCUCCUACUUCACCUGAUAACUGACGUAACACCACCUCUCCAUUGUAUAUACCAUAACAUCAUUUUAUUUUUCUUUGUGUGCUUUGUGCUUUGGUCUUGAAUUCUCUUUCAGAUUUUUAUUACACAAGGGAUUAUGAAAUUUAAGUUUGGGGGAGGGUUCAAGACAUGUUUAACAUUGUGUUCUCUUUUCUUAUUUCAAUUUUUGCAUCAUCUAAGGCAUAGAAAAACCCAUACAAAUUUGAAACAUUUUCAGAAAAUGAUUUCAUAAGAAAAAGAGUGUCAUGAGAUUGCAUAUCAUUUUAGGAUUGUAUAUAGAGUGUUUGCAUUUAGGAUUGCUCAUUUGCAUUGGGGAUGAUGAUGAUUUCAAACCGAUAAGCAUGUUUUGAUCCAAUGAAGUAAGUUCAAUGCCCAGGUUGUUAGUUCUCUGUUGCAUAACCGAUUGUAUCUUUGAAGUAAGACCGCACCCUGCUAUGAAUUUCACUACAACAAAUAUCAACAUUAUUAGCCAGUGAAAAGCGCUAUAAUAUGUCAUUAAUAGCGUUUUCAUAAAAGCUAUCUUAUGCCCCUAUUAUUGUAGACCCCCACAUACGAUAGCGUCAGAAUUGUAUGCUAUGUUAUAGUUUUCUACGAUAGCUCUAAUGAAACGCUUUAUUAGAGAACACCAAUAUUUUUGCUAAAUUAUUUAAUAAUCCAUAUUCUUCUCUAUGUUAGGUGUUUCAACCAUAGCAUUACGAAAACAUUACAUUACAUUUGAAGUUUUUAAUAGUAGGAUUUGUGUCUGCGAUAAUAUAUGUUUUUCAUAAGAAUGAUAACCUGUAAUGAUUGAACUCACCGAAAGUUUUUAACAAAAGCAUCAUUCAUUUGCCAUAAACAUCCAAUACACAUAAGUCUAAAUCCAGGAUACACAAUACAAUUCUAAAGCCAUGUUCUACUUAACUACAUUAUCCAAAACGAAUUACAAACACAACAAAAGUCUAAAGAGUAUAGUAAACCUCAAGACAUGAUAACCUUGUCCUCUGGCCAUGCAAUGGCUGUGCCAAGUGCAUCUUCCAUGAUCUCGACUUCAUCUGAUGGCCUCCACACUUUUACAUCGCUUACUUUCACAAUAUCGACCCACACUUAAACUGCAUUAUCACCCAAUGGAACAAAGUGAACCUUCUGUUUUGGAUCGUUUGUUGCCCAACGUCCUUCCGCCACAACUCGUUUCUUUCCGGUAAUAUCCAUCAACUUGCACUUCAUAUUUUCCUUAGAAACGCCUUGAUUGAAACACUGCCAUGUUCAUAACAUUAAUAAACCAAAGACUGAUUCAAUAUGACAGAAGCAAUUUCAAGAUACUAAGGAAACAUUUACCUGAGAUUUCUCUAGAGUUUUCUGACUUGGAGAGCUUGGAGCAUUUGCAUUCUCCAAAGGAGUUUCAGAUCCUGAAGCUGAAGACUUAGAACUUGUGGAUUUAGAAGCUGCAGAUUUUGCCCCUGCUGAAGAUUUGGAAGCUGAUCCUGAGGGCUGAAGAGAUGACUUCUGAUUACCACUAGCAGAUGGGAGAUUUUCAAAUACCACUUUAUGCACAGGCCAUGAUAUAAAAGUCAUCAAACAAUCCUCAAGGUACGUCAUUUCCAUUGUAGGCCUCCAUACAAAUGUUUCUGGCAUGAGCACUUUAUCCACAAAAACUUUAACUGCGCUCGGUCCAAGAAGAAGUCCAUUAACCAAUGCAUUUUGCUCUUGUGUCUACCAUCGACCCUCAGCAACAAUGACUUCAUCUGUUGACAAAUCCAAUAGCUUACAUUUGUUCUGAGAAUUUCCUCUAAGUCCCUGUCAAACACAUUUAGUUAAAAAAUCAAAUUAAGACUCUGUCUCUACUUGAUCAAACAUGAACUCAUCAAAAAGCUGACUAAGAAUGUGCUGAAAUCUGCAGUUUACCAAAGGCGCAAUGUCCUCUAUUUCGAGAUCCUUCUCUACAAGAACACAUUUAGAUGCAGGCCAUGCAAUCAUCUGUCCAACAGCUUCCGUGAUAGUAUACAUGUUAGGUGCAGGUCGCCAUAGAAAUGCAUCUGGUGUAUUAGCAACUUCAACCAACACCUUCAAGUCCACAGGGCCUAGACGACAGUCAUUAACCAUGUCAUCAGGAUCAGAAGAAAGAAUUCGCCCCUCACCAAUGAUAUCCUCAGGACCAGACCAAUUAACCAACAAACAUUUAGGGUGUGUUCUUCUAUUUACACUCUACAAAAGAAGUCAAAACUUUAAUAAAAAGAAGUGAUUCCAAAACUGAUGGAAUAAAGGAAGAAGGAAUCACUUAUCCUGGCAGCAGCAGAGUUUUCACCCACUUCAAGUUCAUGUCUCUGCUUCAUUCUGGUAAGUUCAUCUUGCAGCUCAUUGACCUUCUUCAUUAAAAGAACUUGCUUCUCUUCCAUGUCAGUCAUGCACUUGCUCUUGACUUGGAGGCAAGCUAGUUCUGUUUUACUCAUGCCUCUACCCAUUGCUCUCAGCCUACCCGGAUUGUCUGGUCCUAAAAGUUGAGAGAGGUGAUCUUCUUCUGGAUUUGCUGACGUUGGUGGACCAUCAUUUCCAACCAGCUCAGCCGCCUUUCUCUACAUAAUAUGAAAUUGUGUUAUCUACUAAUAUUGAUAACUGAAACCAUGAUCAGUCUUGCAGUGAUUACUUACAAUCUUUUCAGUAGCAUUAGUGUUCACCAGCGUACCAUCCUUUUUGGUACGAGACUUUACCCAGACCUUUAGCCUUGUCACUUUUGAUGGAUCUCCACUUUCAAGUUUCUGUGUCAAAAAAAAAAUAUCAUUCAAAUAUAUGAGAAUGCAUUCUUACCAGAAGAGACAACUUACAUGUCAAUUUACUUAGCAUGUCUUCUGCUAAUCUCACCAUUCCUUUACGACUUGUAGUAUGAGGUAUUUGAUUCCUCCUCCUUUCUUUGUAUUUCUCACUCACAACCUACCAAUUAUACAUGUUAAUAAUUGACAAAUAAAAGUUAAAAUGGUCAUAAUUCCAACUCAUUACCUUAAAGGCUGCGCUAGUUUUGACUUUAACAAAUUUGCGCCAUUUUGUUGGGGAAAUAUUCAUGGGUCUCAUAUUCAUCCUUUGCUGAUUAUUAGGAGCCAGAUUAAUAUCUUUGACAGUCCGGGACUUGUAUGACCUCCACAGACUGCCCAUUUGUUUUAGAACAGCAACCCUUUGAAACUCUUCAUCAAGCUCAAACCUUACUUGCAAUCAUUUACCAUCACACAAAGUAUGGAAAUAAACCUUUACACAACUAACACACAGAAAAAGAGACUGAAAAGAAGAAUUUACCUGCACAGAUUUCCAGAGAACCGUUUUCAUAUCCUGACUAACAUCCUUCCAAGUUUCAAUUGUGAUAGGAACAUGUUCACGUACCAAUGUGCCUACAUAUGAUGCCAGUUUAACUGAACCUGGACCAACAGGAUCUCCCAUAAUAGUGUACUCAACUCUUUCUCUAACAGUUGGAUCCUUGGCGAUGUUCUUCAUCUUUGUUGGUCCCUUUGUCUCUUAUGCUUAGCCGGAGGCUCAGUUCCUUCUGACAAUUCAAUCUCACCUAUCGCCUCUUCCUCAUUCAGCCCAUCCUUAUCAGUCACUAAAGGAUUCUCCUCAGCUUGUUGGUCUAUUACAGGCUCAAUUUGAGACUCAGUUUCCUUAGCAGGCUCAGGUUCAUUAUCACACUCAGUUUGCUUAGCAGGCUCAGUUUUCUCAGCUGCUGUAUCUUGGGGCUCAAUGGUGCCUAUAUACUCUGGCUCAUCAUCUACAACUUUCUUCUUUCUUUUCUGUCCACCUUUCUUCUUUGCUUUACCCAUUUCAGUUCACCUGCAUUUCACAAAAAGAAUUCCAUGUCAAUCAUACUUCUAAAAACGAAAACGACUCACCAAACAAGCAAGAGUAAACAUAGAGCAUGCAAGGCAUAAAACAAUGACUCAUAAAAUGAAUAAGAAUCUACAUUUGGCACAUAAAUGCCUUCACAAUCAGAUCUAGCAUAUUCAGCUUCAUCCAUUUCAGCGUCCAUGUCAAUAUCUGUUGGUAAUGGACCAAUCUCUGCGUUUCCUUCCUGAGCAUCUUCUUUACUAUAUCUUCUUGAUGAACCUUUCAUUGCAACAUACCAACUAGAUGAAUCAUCUACCCUUGAAUAGAAGACUUGCUUCGCCUGAGAUGCUAAUAUAAAUGGAUCCUUUAAAAAGCUGACUUGACUCUGAUUCAAGUUGACCAACGUGAACCCAUCCUCUACCUUAACCCCAUUACCUCUAACAGCCCAUUGACACCGAAAUAUAGGAACAUAGAACACAUUGUAGUCCAGCAAUAUGAUAUCAGUUACUGUCCCAUAGUACGAUACCAAGUCAACAACUUGUGUUGUAUCUUUAGCACUGGAUCUACACAUAGCUGUUGCUUCAUAAUAAACUCCACUAUUCUGAAUUUGCCUUUCAAGUGACCGUGUGUGAAACCGUUGUCCAUUCACAAUAUAACCAGAAUAGGACCUUGCACUACAUCGUGGACCAUAUGCAAGCCAUUUAAUUGUAUCUUCAUGUCCAUUUGAAGAAAGAGGUAUCUACCAAAUGAUAAACAGAAAGUCAGUCACUUAUGUUCUCAUAAACCAUAAAAUUCAGAUCGUGGAAGUACUUGCCUGUUCUUUUAUCCAAGAUGCAAAAUUCUUGGCAUGCAUAUUCCAUAAGAAUGAUGCAUCACGUUUACAUCUUGGAUUUGUGUCUUGGAGAUAUUGCAAGUGCAUGCUGUUCACAGUUAAACACAAUCAGUUGAAAACUCAGCUUGUUAUAUUUAGUUUAAUUCGUAAAUGAGCAUUAGAUGCAUUCCUGAAAAAGAUAGUACUUACUCCACAUAAGGAUCAAAGGCAGCCAUAUUUUGGAUGACAGCAAGAUGGGCUAUGUUCUUAUCUACUUCAGUGAGCAUAAAUGAAGUACCUGCGGAUAUUGGACGCCCUUCUAGUAUGGAGUUGUUCUCAUACUCUGUAUUCCUCUCUGGUUUCUCUUCAACACUUGUAGUCUUUUUCAGAAAAUCACUACAGAACUGCAUGCAUUCUUCUGCGAGAUAAGACUCAGCAAUACAACCUUCUGGUCUUAAGGGGUUUCGUACAAAGUCUUUCAGAACUUUCAUAUACCUACAAAGUGGCAGUGAGAAACAUUUUUCUAUGAAAACAUACUAAAAAUCUGAAAUAUUAUUCACACAAACUGUAACAAUGUACUAAAAAACAGAAACUUUACCUCUCAAAUGGAUACAUCCAUCUAAAAUGGACUGGUCCUCCUAGUCGAGCCUCUCUUCCUAAAUGUAAAGUCAAGUGAACCAUAAUAUUAAAGAAGGUGGGUGGGAAAAACCGUUCAAACAUACAAACAGUUUCCACAAUUUCAGCUUCUAUUACUGAAAUCACCUCUAUGUCAAUAACUCUCUAACACAAGUGAUUGAAAAAUGAGCAUCAGCGUAUUAUUGCUGUCCGAGGACCUUUUGGUAACAAACCCAUUAGUGCAACAGGAAGAAGCUGCUGCAUCAAGACGUGAUAAUCGUGAGAUUUGAGUCCCAUUAUCUUGCAAUCUUCUACUGAUACACCCCUUGAUAUAUUAGAACAAUACCCAUCAGGACCUUGAAACUCUAAUAGACGCUUGCAGAAUGUUUUCUUCUUUGAUUUGGACAAAGACCAAGGUGCUGCUGGAAGGUAUGUUCGUUUUCCUUGUGCGUUAGGAUGCAAAUCCUUCCUUACACCAAGAUCUUGCAGAUCUUUCCUAGCAUUUAGCCCAUCUUUGGAUUUUCCACAAUGUAACAAAGUAGAUACAAUGCUUGCACCCACAUUUCGCUCUACAUGUAUUACAUCCAAGUUAUGCCUCACCGGUAAAUCCUAAACAAUACAAAAACAGUUCAUAAGGAUCACACCAUAAACGUCACUUACAUGAUCAAUAGACAAAUUAACAUUUACCUCCCAAUAAGACAGCUUGAAAAAAAUGGAUCUCUUCUUCCAUCUUGAUAACUCAUCUUCGUCUACUUCUAGUUCCUCAUCUUCUUCGGAUUCACUAGAUUCAUCGUCACUAUCAGUGACUGAUUCAAUGCAAUCAUUCCUUUUUCUCUUCCUCCCAGAUUCUUUAGCAUUCUCGAAAUCAUUUUUGAAGUUUUUCAGGGUUUGUGAAACUUCACGACCUGUUAGAAUUCUUGCCUUUCUCCCAUGUUCUAUCUUUCCGUCAAACCAAGCCUUCUUGUUUCUAUAACUAUGUGUUGGUGCCAACCCUUUUCUAUGACACAUAAACACAUGCUUUCUGCUAUAUUUCAACCACAUACUAUUUGUGCCUUUUCCACAUAGAGGACAACCCAUUUUACCUUUAACUUUGCAUCCAGCAAGGUUUCCAUAGGCGGGAAAGUCACUGAUGGUCCAUAAAAGCAUUGCCUUUAGAGUGAAUGUAGUCUUACUGAAGGCAUCAUAUGUUAACUCACCCUUCUUCCACAGAUGGUUAAGAUCUUCAAUAAGGGGUUCCAAGUACACAUCAAUACUAUUUCCAGGUUGUUGUGGUCCAGGGAUAAGCAGGCUAAGCAUUAUGUUCUCCUUCUUCAUACAUAGGUCAGGCGGCAAAUUGUAGUUUACUAACAGAACAUGCCAGCAACUAUAUCUAGUAUUCUUCAUGUUGAAUGGAUUAAAUCCAUCUGUUGAAAGGCCAAGCCGCAGGUUUCUUUCUUUAGCAUCAAAUUCAGGAUACUUGUCAUUCAUCUUAUCCCAUGUAACCGAAUCUAUAGGGUGACGAAGUUUUCCAUCAGUGCUUUUGUUACUAUAAUGCCACCUUAAGUCCUUGGCCAUUUUCUCUGAUCUGAACAUUCUCUUAAACCGUGGAAUUAUCGGAAAGUAUCGUAAUACCUUCUGUGGGACUCCUUUCUUAGCUUCACCAGUUUGCAUGUUACUCUUCCACCGUGACGCAUUGCAUUUAGGACAAUUUUCUAGAUUCUUGUACCUCUUUCUAAAUAGACAGCAGUCGUUUACAAAUGCAUGAAUCUUUUCAUAUCCCAUAUCAAAGCUCUUUAGAAAUUACUUGACUUCAUACAAUGAUGUAUGAAGCACAUUGUCUGCGGGCAACAUCUCUGGCAAUGUUCCAAGAAGUUCAUUGAAACUCUUAUGAGACCAACCAUUUUUGGUCUUGAUCCUAAAAAGAGUCACUAUAGCAGACAGCUUGCUGUGGUUUAAACAGCUAGGAUAUAGAGGUGUUUCAGCAUCUGCCCACUUUGCCAGGAACUCAUCUUCUCUUAUGUCCUCACCCUCUGCAAUCUCACCUAAGUCAGCAUCAAAAUCCUGAGCUGCUUGGUAUAGCUCCAAAAUUUCAGCAUUCCAACGACUGAAGUUGCUCUCACAGUCAGCCACUGAGUCCACGUCCCCAUGAUGAUACCAAUCAACUCUCAACUUGUAAGCCUCAUCCAUCCCCCAUCUUACAAGAUGAUCUACCACAUCGCUGCCUGACUGUCGUUCCACAUUACGACAGUCUUUGCAGGGACAUACGAUCAUGUCAAUGUCUCCUAAUGCAGCAGCCACAUCGGUUACAAAUUUCUGAGCACCUUUCUCAUAUCCAGGAUCAGCUCUUCAAGUAAACAGGAAAAAUAAAAAGCCUCUUAAAGCAACCAAACCUAAUCAGAAAACUAACCCAUAUUAAUUAUCUGCUAACCUGCAUAGACGAACCCAUGCCUUGUCCAACAUUAUAUGUUCUAAGCUUAAUAAAAACCUUUGUAAAAGCAAUUCAAACCAUAAGCAACAUUAAACUAUAGAAGACAGUAACUCAAAUAGCAUCACAGACAAAUGCAGUUGGACCAAUAUACAAACUUAUCUCUUAUCAAGUUCAUCAAAUUAAGAAAUAAACAAUGGCAAACACAAUCGACAAUAUACUAUCUCAGAUUAAAUCAAAGACACAUGUUUUAGGACCAACAAAUUACACUAUCUCAGCAAAUAAAACCAAUCAACAACAAUCACAACAACUUCAGUAAAGAACACAAUCGACAGUAUACUAUCUUAGAUUAAUUCAUAGACACAUGUUUAAGGACCAACAAAUUACACUAUCUCAGCCAAUAAAACCAAUCGAAAACAAUCACAUCAACUUCAGUAAAGAACAAAACAAAAGAAUCACAGCAACUUAAGUUCAUACAACUCAUAAGUAAAGAACAGAACAAAAGAAUCUGUCGUGUGACUAACUUGCAGUCGUGUGAAUAGAAGAAAAAAAGUAUAUAAACCCCAAAACGAUAAUCAGUAUAAGAAAGAAGAAAAGUUUCACUUCCUAAUUCCAUUCAAAUCACAUUGCCCUAGAAAUAACAAAUCGAUGCAUAUAAACCCCAAAAUCAAAUCGUCACAAAGAACUAAGUCAAUUGAGAGUAAGACAUGCUUUGAUUUUGAGCUCACUGGUGGCUGCUACAAGGUUAGAGCUCAUUGGUGGCUGCGACAAGGUUAGAGCUCACUGGUGGCUGCAAAAUGGAAGUCGAUUCUAUGAGAUUAGGUCAAAAUGCGAGUAAGAUGGAAGCUGAAAUGGAUUAAUAAGGAAGAAAGACUAACCUUGAAUUUGAGCUCAACAGUGGCUGAGCUGGAGAAUGUGGCGGCGGAGAAUCUGAAUUUCUGGCCAGCGACAAUGUUGAAUCGAUUUUGGGUUGCUAAUUGGAAGUGGAUUCGACAGAUCUUAGCUUUUAGGCAAAAGUGAAUAAUUUUGGUCUUCUCGAUUUUGUUAGGUUUUCACGAAGUUGUAGAGGGAAGUGAAUAGUUUUGCCUAAGUGUUGGCGCUGAAGUGAAUAAUUUUGCCUAAGUGUUGGCGGACUAAAGUAUUUUACAUUCCCGCUAGAGGAUUUACGGUCUUAGCGUUUAUAAGGUGCUAUUAAGAAGUAACCAAAACUUUUAUUCAUCUUUUAUAGCAGUUCAGGAAAAUGAGCUAUCAUCUACUGCUAUCAAUGAGGACUUUUUUUGUAGUGUUUGUAACUUGACUAUACUACUUUGAUCGUAACUCGCUUAUCUGAUACCAUUCCCUAUCUAUUAGAACCUGAACUGAAUUUGAAAUUAUCAUGUCUAUGCAUUGUUUAUGAUCUCAUGGCUACCAUAUACAUACGUGGAUCAUCUUAUUCACUUCAUCACCCUCUGUUAAUCCAAGUAGUUGUCUCUCAUUUUUAGAGCAGUUUCCCAUACCCUUAGCCUAGCCUUAUUUCAAGCCGAAGAUCAUUUGUGUGUGAUUGUAAGGUCUUUUUCGAUUGAGCUUGGUAUAACGUGUUAGGUAUGAGCCGACAAGAGCAGUCUUUCAUGUAGACCUAGCCCACACUUUUUGGGUUAGCUAGGACUAGGUGGAGACUUGUAUUUGGGAUUGGGAUUGUGUAUGGAAUGAAUGGGAAUGAGAGUGAGAAUGAAAAAAAAAAAAAAAAAAAGAGAAUAAGAGUUUAGAGUUCUAAAGGGGAUACAAAAUUGUUAAGUCUAGUAAAGGGUUUGGAAUUCAAAGAAGUUAGGCAUUGUUAUUCAAAGAAAAGGGUAAAACGCCCUAUGUGCUAAGAUUAGAAGAAACGCCUUAAGUUUGUCAAAGUAUAAAACCAAACCCGCUAGAUUCUUAAAUCGUUUCAAGAGAAAGCCUUAGAACAUGAACGAAAAAGAGAGAAAGAAUGAGAAAAAGGGUAGAGUUAGGACAUCUAUGGGAAUGGGAUCAACUUCUGAGCUAUCAUACUAUAUCAUUGGGUAGAUGGGAGUCUGUUCUUGUAUGUGUCAGUUGGCUUUUACCUUUAGCAUUCUAUUGAAGCUCAAUCUUUUCUCUGAGAGUCCCCUGUUACUCGACCAAACCAUUAGAGGGACCAUUUUUGUCUCUUGGCCUAAGCCCGAAACCAAGUGAGUUCAUAACCAUUGCAUUGCUUGAUCCACUGUUAGUGUUUAAUGAAUGUUAAAGGGAAUUGGUUGACGUGAAUGCUUGAAUAGAUUAAGGCAAGUUGUUAGGUUGCAUUGUGACGAGUACGACUAACGUUUUUAAGUAAGGGUCUAUCAUCUUGCAACCUAGAAUUAGCUACAUGGACAUUGAGCUUACCCGUUUUAUAGGCAUGCUUCGGUUUUUGAAUCCCCACCUUCAAACCUCUCCUUCAACUUAAGAUUUUUUGUUUGCUUGAGGGCAAGCAAGAGAUAAGUUUGGGGGAGUUGAUAACACAGUAUUUUACUCAUUUUAGGUGUAUGUUUAUCAUCAUUUAGCUUUGCAUUUGCUCAUUGUAUCAUAUCAUUUUGAACCAUUUUAACUUGUUUUGUAUACUUAGGCAUCUAGGAUCAUAUUGCAUUCGCAUUGCAUAUUUUGGUGUGUUUUCAGGUGCAAAAAGAGCUUAAAAGGACUCUACUCGAUUCAUCCACUCGAUCCAAGCAGCUACAGAAGAGGCAUCAUUCUACUCGACCUCUUUACUCGAUCCAGGAUACUAAAAAGGAGGCUGCAGUUUACUCGACCCUCGUACUCGAUCAAGGCAACCUCAGAUGAAGCAGCAGAUUCAUCUACUCGCCCCUCCACCUCGAUCCAUUCACUCGACCAAGGGUGACCAUCUCUACAAGACUUGUUGAGCUAUCAAAGCGUCUUCGGAUCCUCCUCAUUCCCCACUCAACCAUACAUGUGAGCAUACGGAUAGGAGAGGAUGAAGCAUCUACUCGACCAAUUGAUCACUCGGAGAAUAGACACAAAGGCGCAGACUUUGCAGCACCCUCUUUACUCGAUCCCCAAGGUCGAGUAUUCGCCCAAACCGUCUUAAGUCUCUUGUCUUCUAGUGAAUCUAGGGUUUCAACAUUUUAGUAUAAAUAGAUCACUUUGGGAUUUAUCCAAGGGAUCUAUGCUUUAUCUUUCAGUUUUUCUUUGUGUUUAUGAAUCUUGAAACCUUAAUUACUCUUAAUCUAUUUCCUUUUUGCAUUUGAUUGUUUAAGUAAAAUUGUUUAGGUUGUUUAGAUUUACAUUUUGGUAUGAUUUUAGUAAUUUCUGGGUUUGUGUUCUUGAGAAUGUUGCUUGAGUAGUGAUUAGGGUUCUUGAGGAUGGAUUAGAUUAGGGUAAUCUCUAGGUUAGUUAGGUAGUUAGUGUUUAGGUUUACACCCUUCUGGAUUCGCUUGGCCCCUAUGCGGUUUUCGCUGGCUAAUAUGGAGAUUCGAUCAUAGACUUCCAGCGUCCAAAAGACGUUCAAAUGGAUGUCUGACCUACGAAUUCCAGAGAUUUGUAGACUCGACCAAGGGAUUGGCUUGUCUGCCUAUUGGCUUUGGUAGAUUGUUUCUUAAACCCUACUUUGCUAUGUUUCAUCAACGAGAGUUGAGAUUAGGAAGUGGUAGAGUUAUGGGGGUCUCUGUCACGAGAGUGGAUUGACCCGGUUUUUGAUACUAUCGUCAUGGGUAUCUACCUUUCGCCUAUUCGCCAUUUGAUGAACCCUAGAGUUACCCUUAUCAAUGAAUCCAUCCUUAGAACUUCUAUUAGAUUGAUUUGUAUCCCAUGUUGAUUGCACUUUUAUUCACCUAUUAUUUGUAUCCUCUGUUGAUUGCAUUUUAGUUCUUAAUUUUGUCACCUGUUUGUUCUACUCGACCCAAUGAUCGAGUAGGGCUCUUAAGUUCUCAUUUUAACUUGUUUGAAUCCUGCCUUAGGAUUGUUACUAGGAACCCACCAUCAUUAUAAUUUGCCUUGACUUAGUUGUUUUUGUACACAUCUUGAUUGCUAGCAAUAUAGUGGACUGGAUUGACACCUUCUAUAACUGCAUCGACAUGUUUGUGUUUUAGGGAAAUUGAACUGAAUCACACAUUCACCAUAAGCAGACCUGAAAAACUUGCUUAUCAGAGGCGCUCUCCUUCAAGAACAAAGUCUAUGGCAAAUGUGGGUACAGAGUUAGGGAAGUCGCGUUGGUCUCCACGCAGACCCUCACACUCAGGAAAGGAAGCUAACCACAGGUCUGACUCUCGGGAGUCUCAGAGACGUAGUUGUUUAUUGAAACGUUCUCUAGUCCCGCCUGCUAAAAACCCAAGUCCAAAGGACAAGGAUGGCGCCACUAGCACUCCUAGGUCUCGAAGACCAGCUCUACAACAUAUUGUGCAGUUACCAGUUCAAACUUGGGAAGGUUACAAGAAGUAGUCUUCUAGUAUGCACGGGAGCCUAGUCAUCCAUCUCCUCCUUCUAGACCCUCUCCGCUUUCUGAUUCUCAUCACACCCUCGCUGUUCAGGAAAGUAGAGUUGUGGAUAAUAGAGUGCAUACUUCCCUCAGAAUGGGACCUCAGUUGGAUUCUAUCACAAUUACGGUUCCCGAGGAAAUGUCAAAUACAAGAGCUUCAGGGAAAAGAAAUACUCCAAAUCAAAAACCAAAGCCACCACAAAAGAUUGGACCAAAACAAAAGCCUGGACCAAAACCAAGAGUAAUUCGUAGUCCCUCCAAGGGGUAAGCCUAAGAAAGCAGAAGGCAACCACUACUUGGGCCUCUUCCUCCAGGAAAAAGCUCCACGUUGAUAAUAUACCUGACUUUCAGGAUGGCGAGGCAGCUGUGGCCCUUCUGCACCGCGUAUACUGCCUAUAAUCCCUGCUAUUAACAGAGCCUCGGUGGAUUUUCAAAUUCCACCAAACACUCUUCCUUAGCUAUUGUAGCUUGGAACUUCCAAGGGUUGGGAAGCACCCUAACAGUUCCUAGAUUAAAGGAAAUUCGACGCAGUCUGUUUCGUGAUAUCUUUUUUCUCAUGGAGACCAAAAAUCAAGAUGACUUCAUUAUUAAAUCUUUUGAGGGGAUGGGUUAUCACAGCAUGUUUACUAUACCUCCUCUAGGGUUAAGCGGGGGUUUAGCUCUCUUCUGGAAAGAUGGAGACUGCCCACAUCAUGGUUUCAGUGAGGUACAACUCUUUGGUACCUUCUUCAGAUGAGUCGAUUGGAGAUACCAGAUGGCUCUAGAUGCAGCGAGUAAUGGUAACUUCAACACCGUUACCCAGCUGAUGCUACAGCUCUAAUAGAGAACCUCGCUUGCAGCAAAAGUGAUUAUAGGUUUUUAGUCAAUUAUCCUAAAACACCAAUCAUGUCGUUGUGGUAUUUUAGGUUGUCAAUCCAAAUAGAUGUGAUGCUAACAAUCAAGAUGUGAUCAGAAGUCACUAAGUCAAGCCAAGCAAUAACAGGGUUUGGUGUGUUCUAGCAGUCCUAAGUGAACAUGCAGAAAACAGAAAAUCAAGCAGAAACAGUAAAACACUCGACCAACACAGCUCAUUGUUGAGCACUGGGUGUGGUCGAGUGACAGGUCGAGUAAUAAAUAGAAAAUAUAACAGGAAUACUCGACUGCACAGUGUGUUGCCAGACAACUGGGUGGUCGAGUACGAGGUCGAGUAAUAGGAGAGAAAUGCAAAUUCUAAGCAAAAGGUAACAAGAUGAAGUAAACGAUAGUAGAGUAAAGAAUUAAAUCAAUCAGAUAAAGAAUUCCCGAGGAUGGGGUAAUUGAGUAGUUUCGUUUCCUCAGUUUAUAGGUGAUUGACAUGCUCAAUACAACAAGUUCAUUAACCAAAUCUAAGUGCCACCGCAACAGAGACCCUCAAGUUAAACUAGUCCCAGACUCAAUCACCACUGACGAGAGCUAAGCUAACAGGCAUUACGAAUCAACAAGUUAAAGCCAAAACGAACCCUGCAACCAAUACCUUGGUAUAGAGCCACGAAUCUCUGGAAUUAGUGGUUCAAACAUUUCAUCGAACACCUUUUGGGCGCGGAAAUGUCUGGGCUCAAAUUCCAGUUGAUCAGAAAGCAAUAGGCAUUAAGAACAACUAAUUGAAGGGAUCUAUCAAUCAAACUCAACCACCUAGCAUACCGAGAAUUCUAAACUUCUCUAACCCAUCCUAGGAAACCUAUUCACUACUCAGACAUCAUUGCAAAGAACAUAAACGUUGAAUAGAAUGAAAACAUGAUAACAACAGAGUAAUAGCAAGAUGAUAACAGGAUGAACAACAGUAAACGAAAUCAAAAGCGAAUGCUGAAUACCGAAUAAAUUAAGAGAAAUCCGGAUUACAAAAAGUCAAGAACACAGUGUCUGCGGAAUAAAACUUAGAUAAACGAAAAUAUAAAGUACAUGCUACUUAUAGCGAAAUAUUCCAAAACCCUAAUACUCAAAACGACGUAGUAUUACGACGGAUUAAGAACGGCACUCGACCCAGGUGGUCGAGUGAGUGGUCGAGUGAUAAGCUGGAGUCUUCUUUUCUUCCUUCUGCUCGAGUGUCUGGUUGAGUGCAAAAUGGAGAAGACUCUGAAGCUGGCAGUCGAGUAUGUAGUCGAGUGAUAGGGAUGGUGGUACUCGGCUUGGUGGUAGAGUGAUCGAGUGAAGGUGAUGAAGGUACUCGACCACGUGGUUGAGUAGUGUGAUCGAGUGAAGGUGAUGUGGUGGACGUGAUGAUACUCGACCAGGGGGUCGAGUAAUGUGAUCGAGUGGUUGUCCAGGUGGUACUCGACCAUGGGGUCGAGUGGUGACGUGAAGUGCUGAGGUCUUCUACUCGACCACGGGGUCGAGUGGUCUGUUGAUGUCGUGAGGCAUCUACUUGACUAGGGGGUCGAGUGGUUUGACAUGAUCAGGUCCGCUUCUUCCAAUUAGCUGGUCAACAGCUCCAAAUCACCUGAAAUCAACACAAAUAUGCAACAUGCAUGCAAAACUAUCCUAAACAUGCAAAACACUUGUGAUAUGAUGCAAUAGUGAUAACAAAUUGAUGCUCAAAACAUGUAAAAUACACACUUAUCAAACAGUACCAAGAAUGCUGACUUUUAGAGUAAGAAGAUUGAUGGAGCCAUUUCAGGCAAUCAGAUAGCAGAGGUGAAUGCUAAGGUGGAUUCAGUUCAUAACUUGCUUACAGGGAAGAAGCAUGUCCACUUUGCAGCUGAGGAGGAAAUUAUUGAGCCUGAGCCUGAGUCAGGAAGUACAUAGAUGGUCAGGGCUACAACAAGUUUGGGCAGCCACAAGGCAACAUCACUGACAAUAGGUUUACAGGGAACCAGGGUUCCUCCAACUACACUCCAAAGCAUGCUUAUCAGGAGACCUUUCCUCAGAACACCUUUCAGAGGACCUAUGGUAAUUCAGCCUACCAAGCCCCCCUCCACCCUCAUUAGAGAUAAGCAUGGAUUCUAUGCUUGAGCAGAUUCUAGAUAGCCAAACAAAACUCGUUGUGGAGUUUAAUGGCAAGUUUGAUGUUGCCUAUACAGAUCUUAAUGGGAAGAUUGACAAUCUAAGCUCUCACUUGAAGAAGCUGGAAGUACAGGUCGCUCAAACUGCACAAUCAAUCAAGUUACAAGAGGGUUUUCUUCCUGGUAAUCCUGAUGCUAACCCAAGGAAGAGCUGUAAUGCCAUCUUGAUCAUAGAAGGAGAUGAUGUGUGGGAAGAAUUGGACACUGAAGACGAGCUGGACCUCACAGUUGCAGAGAUGGUGUCGAUCGACACCUUCCACUGUCGAUCUGACACCCUACGGGACGCUCUUCUCUGAGACGAGCCAGUACGAAGGUGUCGAUCGAUACCCCUCUAGUGUCGAUCCACAGUGGAUCCGAACUGCACCUUGUGAGGUGCAAAUCCCAAUGCAGCCCGAGUCUGUUUACACUCCUCCUGUCCCUUAUCUGAGGAAGCGUCGUUCUAAGCAGGAAGCAAGAGAUUCAUGCUGCUAAGUGCAUAGCAAUCAUGGAGAAGAUUCUCACUUCUCUCCCUAAGGAUGCAUCUGAGACAUCUUCUGCUCCACUCAACAGGUAUGUCAAGCAACUUGUUGAUAAUGGUAUUAGCUCAGAUGAAGCUAAGGUGCUGACACGGGACAUCAGUGUAAUCAUGCUGCCUAAGGUCAAGAAAGAGAAGGCUUAUAGAGAAGACAUUGCAGAGUACAUUUGCACCAUCACUCCUGAUCAGACCACUGAAAGCUUCCAGAUCCAGGUAGCUUUGUUCUUGAUUGCGCUAUUUCCACCAGUAGGUUCAGCCUCUCUUUGUGUGAUCUCGGAUCAAGUAUCAACCUCAUCCCUAAGUCUGUUGCUGAGAGACUAGGCAUGACUCACUACAUGCCGAACGCAUCACUCUCCUCUUCACGGAUCGUUCAAACGAUUCCCUGAAGGAAUUCUCGAAAAUGUUCUUGUUAAGGUUGGUAACUCCAUAAUCCCUGCUGAUUUCGUAGUCCUGGACUAUGAGAAGGAACCCUAGGAUCCUCUUAUCCUCGGAAGAGCAUUCCUAUCUACAGCUGGUGCUAGGUUUGAUGUGAAGAGAGGGAGAAUCUCUCUCAAGGUGUGUGAUUUGUAGAGGGAGUUUAGCAUGGAUGGUUAAGAGCUUACUAAGACUAUCAAUAGCAUUGCUUCCAGCACUAACACACCUCCUCAGAUUGCUCAGAAUCCCCAGACAGAGCCACACACAACGCUCCCGUCAGCUCAGCUCGCCAUUGAGAGUUGAAGAGCAACGGUGUCGAUCGACACCACCACUCCUGUCGAUCGACACCCUCGGGUUUCACAGACAGCUGAUUCUGCACAUUCUCUUCAGCCAACACCACUUGAGGACCUAUGUGAUACCUUCGAUUCAUUCCUUAGAUUCUUCAAAGUUUGCUUCACAAUAUAACAAGCCUAGAAUUCCUCGAAAGCUUGUUUCUCCUGUUGUUCUUACAGGUGACGAGACGAGUGCCUUGGAAGGCGAGCUCCGACCAUAUCAGUCUACACACCGCCUUGGAAGGCGAGGAGGCAGCAGCAAUCCUCCACCACUCCACCCACAUCCUGAACUCUACCAAGUCAAGCUAUUGACUCAAAAUAAGCGCUUAGUGGUAGGCAACCCACUGGUUUAGUUUUUCUUUCCCUUUCUUUUAUUUUCUUUUAUUUUUGUUUCUUAUUAUUUUUCCCGCCUUCAGAUAUUAAUGCCACUGAGGACAGUGUCAUUUAAGUCUGGGGGAGGUUCUUACUAAUAUUUUUAUUUAUUUUUGUUUCUUAUUAUAUUUCGUUUUUGAGUUUAUUAACUUCUUAAAAAAAAAAAGAUUAAAAAAAAAAAACGUUUUCUUUAGUCUAGUUAGGAAUCAUGAUCUAUAUGUCUCUUGAUUAUUCCCUGAUUGAUGAGUGCUGCAAGUUCGAGUCAAUCCGACUAUUGGAAAAUCUAGAUAGUAAACUAACAGACUUGAGGAUAUCCUAGUUUCCAACUCAACCACUAAGGAGCUAUUCUCAUUGCUCUUCCUUUUACCUCUUCAAACGGUUAGUAUUCAUAGAUCUUAACUCCUUGUUCAUACCUGAUAUUGAGACCAAUGUGAUAGAAAAAGAAUGUGUUCCUUUCCCCUUAUAAAAAGAAAAAUAUAAUGAAAGAUUGAGAAGAUUUUUAGAUACUGUAUAGGGGUAGGAAUGUUUCCUAUGACCCCAUUAUUAUACAUUAUUUGGAAUGAUCAAUUACAAAGGUUGGAAAAAUGCCGAGAGUGUCGAUCCAGUAUGCGAGUUCCCCUUUGUUUACUCUCUAAAAAGAAUAAGUCUGGGGAGAGAAAGAACACCAAAGAAAAAAAAAUAUAAAGAAUGGUCGAUUUAUCAUGGUAUAGUACAGGAAUGAGUUUAGAAGGAUCUUGAAUGUUUACUUGUUUGAUGAGACCCAGUGAUGUAAGCCUCGUUGAUAUAGUUGUGGAACUAAGGUAUGGAAUCUAGAAUGUUGUGUAAGCUAAAAGAGAAGUACAUGUUGGUUAGGAUUUGAUUAGACUUGUUAGGCAUAUGGACUUAGUUUAGAUGACAUGGCAAUAGGCUAGAGAAUGUUGGGAGUUCCUUUGUUUUCAAAACCUCUUCCACGGGUUCGGCUUUUGGGUUUUGCUUGAGGGCAAGCAAAAGCUAAGUCUGGGGGAGUUGAUAUAUCCCUAUUUUCACUGAAUUUAUCUAUGUUUUAGGCAUAGGAUUUUGAGUCUUUGUGUUAUUUCUCAAGUCUUUUUAGUGUCUUUUCAAGUAUUCUAUGCAGUGGGAAAUAAUGGAGAUGAGGAGACAUUUUGGAGCAAAAGCUAAGGAAAAUGAAGCUAAGGACGAUUUUGGAUUCAUGAAUCAAGAGAAGUAUCGAUCGACACACUCUUGGUGUCGAUCGACACCAGUUUCGGCCCAGCAGAGUCCAAGACGCUUUCAAGUUUAAAGAACAGGGAAAUAUGCCCCAGGAGACUUCCCUAUUUGCAUUAUUAGUCCCUGGACGUUUUAUAGGGUUUAUAUACAUUGUUUUACACCCUAGUUUCGUUAUCAUCAAGUUUUUAUCAAGCUUUUUGCAAAACCCUGUUACAUAGAGACAUAAGCAAUUCAUCGAGUGUUUUCAGAGAUUGAUUCAGUUCUUAAUACAGUGAAAAGAUUCCUUCUUUCCCUUAAUCUAUUUGUUGUGUUUAUGAUUUCAUACUCAAUUAUGUUGUUUGCUUCAAUUAAUAUGUCUGAGUAAUCUGCUUGUUAGGAAUAGGGUUUCUCAUUAGGGAUUCAUAUGGUUUAGUAGAUUGCCCCUUCUGGUAGGUUAUCUGUAGAAUUCUUUAUCUUUAGUUAUGUUUAAUGCUAGAUCUAGAGUAAUUAACUAGAUCUUAAAUCCAGGCAGUAGAUAUGCCCACCAUAUGUAUUUUGUAGUUGGAUCUAUUAUUUGAUGAACCUGGUUUUUAGGUGUGUAAUAAAAAUAGGGCUAUCUACUAAGGUGAACAAUCGAACUCGUUAAGAAUGCAUAUUUAGGUUAAUAAUCUCUCGGCUUCUCCGGUUAUUCUUACCUAUAUAUAUGGGGAGUUUUGCGGAACGCGACCGGUUAUUCCAUAAUUAGAGUUUGAGUUUAAGAAAGGUUCGAUAACAACCUACCUUUCAUUAGAUCUACUCACCAAUAGUUUCCUGAGAAUACCAUGUUCCUAGAUCUUUUUCUAAUCGUUUACAACACAAUCAACCUAAUGUGUUCUUACUUUGUUUUCUUACUAUUUCAAUCAUCACCUGCUAGCUUAAUCUUGAUAUUCAACUCAUUGUUUGAACAAAAGAACUUUGUGAAUUCGAUCCUUAAAUACUGCAUUUGAUCUCUUAUUGGAGAGAGUAGUUUUAGGGUAAUUUCACUACAAGAAAACAAUCGUUUUGGUAGGGAAAAAUUACUCGCUAAUCCCUCGCAAACAGCCAUACGCGAGGGACUUGCGAAGAAAUCAAGUUCCUCGCAAAUCGCUUCUCGCAAAUGGUAAAAAGUCGCAAUUCCCUCGCAAAUUUUGCGAGCAACUGUUUUCCUCGCAAAACACACGCAACUACAGUUCUAGUACUUCCCUCGCAACAGUUGCGAGGGAUUUGCGAUUCUUUUCUUUCUGCCUAGCAAAUCCAUCGCAAAUAUUGCGAUGGAUUUGCAAGUAUUUUGCAACUGAUUUCCUAAUAUAUUAAGGCUUGAUUAGUGGAUAAUUAGAGUCUAAUUACCUGGUUAACUCACAAGGACACAACAGAAAACAAGUGAGAAAACAAGUUCAACACAAGACAAAAGAAUUCAAACACAACUAGACAACGCUAACAGUGACUAUCAAGUACACAACACAACCACACUUGCAAUAGAAAGCAAUUCAAACACAACACUACACAAAGUAUAAUGAAUAAGCGGUCAAGAUUUCAGACAACACAAUAAGUUGUCAAUAAGAUUUCAGACAACACAAUAAGAUUUCAGACACAACUAGACAACGCUAACAGUGAUUAUCAAGUACACAACACAACCACACUUGCAAUAGAAAGGAAUUCAAACACAACACUACACAAAGCAUAAUGAAUAAGCUGUCAAGAUUUCAGACAACACAAUAAGAUUUCAGACACAAAAGCAAUUCAAACACAACACUACACAAAGUAUAAGAUUUCAGACAACAGAAAGAGCACAUAAAAUUUACCUCAGUAAAUAUCUUGUUCUUGGCAUGAAUAGAAAGUCCACCUGAUCCAGUGCUCUCCGGAUUGUCCCCUGAACGCAUAUGAGACUCUUCCUUUCAAUCCUAGAUGUCACUUGCUUGUAGAUCUCCUCUGACUUCCCAUCGAUGAAGCUUCCAUCCGCUUUUCUGUGUGUCUCAUCUAGUAGCUCAAGGAAAUCAGGAGUUUUUUCUCCAAUCUUCUCACACUGAAACACAAAGAGAUAAACAAGAUGUCAGUAUGUAAUUCUAGAUUCAGUAAUGGUAAGGAGAGAAGAAUACUUAUCUUACCCGUUUUCUUGCACGAGCUUUGUAUGAGGUCUGGCCUUAACGGUGUUUAUAGAUGCCUUUGCCAUCCGGAUCAUGAUACCUAGCAUUUCUGCUGUUAUUACUCUUUUUUCUGACUUUGGAUCUUGCCAAAACAGUACUAGACCUUUCCACACAUCAGCAUCAAUCCAUUUUAGCUUGGCUUCAUCACCCUUCUCCUUCCAAUUUCCCUUCCACCGUGACACUUGAUCAGUCAUCCUAGACUUUAGCUUUGCUUCAAACUCAACCCUUACUCUUUUGUUAAUUGAACGGUCCCAGUUAUAUACUUGCUACAAAAGAGAAGCUAACAUCAGAAAUGAAACCAUACACAAAACAAGCAUAAACAUCAAAAGAGCACAGAACUUACCGCAAACGUUUCAUACCAUCGAUCGAUUGUAGCCUUUGAUGUUUGUGACCAAUUGGCAUAAGGUUCUUUGAAAUCUCUUUCAAAGAUGUUGUGGACUGUUGCUGCAACUGCAGCGUCAUCGUCAAACCUACAAGAAGACCAACCAGCCCACACAUAAGGAUUUCUAUGUCUUUAAACUUCUAAGACAUCACAAUGCUAAGUACAACCAAGCUGUUCUAUUUGUUGAAACUUCUAAGGCACUAGAACCUAAUUCCAUUACGCUCUAAGGCACUACAAAGUUCUAAGGCACUACAACCUAAGCUGUUCUAGGACAAUGAAUUUAACCUUACCAGAGAGUUCUCGGGGGACGCUUUGGGUCUAGCCUUGUCAAGCCAGCACGACCAGGACUAUCAAGAAGCUCCUCCAGUGUGAGAUUGUUGAGACGCUCAGCUUGAGAAUCAGAAUGGUUGACAGAAGGCUGAGUGGUUGGCGUUGGAGGCGAUGGUGGAUGGCAUGAACCUUGAACCCCUGAAAUAUUCCCAGCACUGACAGGAGAAUUGACAUGCAACGGGUCUCGCUGCUGUGACCUAUAUCGUGCAUAAGUAUUCUCCGACGACGGCAUCUUGCAAAACAAACAAAACCCUGAGUUUAGAUCCGUAAACUAGAACAUAUUAGAUCUGGAAAACAAUGCCAGAUCGGAGAUGAAGAAAAAGUUAGAUCGGAGAGAAGCAGUUAGAUCGGAGAAGAAGACGCUACCUUGGAGGUAAAAGAGAUCGAGUCGCUGCUGCUACUGGAGAAGAAGAGUCGCGACGGCUGCUGGAGAAGAAGAGUUGCGACGGCUGCUGGAGAAGAAGAGUCAUGACGGUUGCUGGAGAAGACGAGACGCAACGGAGAAGAAGAAGAAGUUAGAUCGAACGGUGGAAGUUGGAAUGGAAAGAAGAAGUUAUAUCGGAGAAGAAGACGUUACCUUGGAGAAGAAACAGAUCGACUCGCGGCUGAAGUUGGAGAAGAAGAGUUGCGGCGGCUGCUGGAGAAUAAGAGACGCGGCGGAGAAAAAGAAGAGAGGCGGCGACGUAAUCAAAUCGAAGAAGAAGAGAGGCGGCACCGAAGAAAAUAGAUCGGAGAAGAAGAGAAGCCGGCGACGAGGAAAACAGAUCGGAGAAGAAGAGAAUCAAAGAAAAAACUUAGGUUUAGGGUUUAAUGCGGCAGGUUUGAGCUCCGCUCAAAAUAGGUUAUCGAGUAUAUAUAAGAAUAUAUUUCCUCGCAAAUCACUCGCAAACCUUGCUAGAAAAUUGCGAGGAACCGUCUUUUAAACCAAUCAAAAUGCAACUUACAUUGCGAGGGAACUGCGAGAGCGCCUAGCAAAUCCCUCGCAGUGUUUUAACCAAUUAAAUCAUAUCUGAUUCAAUAAUUAUAUUUGAUUCAGUCUCUCCUAUUUCUAGUAAGACCCUCAGCAAAAUAAGAACAUGACUAAAAAUUCUAAAUAUUUUAGGGUUUAGUGUAAAUAUUGCGAGGGAAGUGCUACGCGUACUAGCAAACACCUCGCAAUAUCCUCGCAAUGUAUAAUCAAUUUCGAAAAAUACAACAAUCACUACUCAAAAUCAUUUGGAUUCAUUUUUUUGAAUCAUUAGAACGUUAAUUAUCUACAUUUGAACCUAUUUUAUCAUCAUAUAAUUCGAAUGUGUGUUUUCCCCAAAUACAUCAAUGAUGAUCUUAUGGUUUUCUUUAAGUAUGAAUCAUGAAUGUUUAACAUUUUCAAAAUGAAAUGUUAAUAUUGAAACCAAUACAAUAUUUUUUUGUUCAAACCAUAUAAUCAACUUGAAUGAUUAUAUGGUCACUUAGAUUCAUAUUUAUAAAUGAGAAUCAAAGAUUGCAAAACACUUUUAUGUAUUUUAGGGUUUAGGAUAAAGAUUUGCGACGUAUCUGCUUGGGAUUUGCGACGGAUAAUAUCUUUCUUGCGAAACCAUCGUACUUCCCUCGCAAAUUUGCGAGGAAGUCUUCCCUCGCUAGUUUUGCGACGGAAUUGCUACGCGCGUGCGGUACGUAACACCUUUCUCGCAAUACCCUCGCAAAAACUGCGAGGAAUGCCUUCCCUCGCAACCCUUCCUCGCAAAUUGACUGUUUUCUUGUAGUGUUUGAACCAUAUCACUAAUCCAUCCUCAAGAACCCUAAUCACUACUCAAACAACAUAACUAAGAACACAAACCAAGAAAUUACUGAAAUCAUACCAAAAUGUAGAUCUAAACAAACUAAACAACUUUACUCAAAGAACUAAAUGCAAAAACAAAAUAGAUUAAGAGUAAUUAAGUUUUUUAGAUUCAAGAACACAAAAAAAAACUAAAGGAUAAAAGCUAGAUCCUUUGAACAAAUCCCAAAGUGAUCGAUUUAUACUAAAAUGUUGAAAACCCUAGAUUCACUAGAAGACAAGAGACUUGAGGCGGUUUGGGUGAGUGCUCGAUCUUGGGGAUCAAGUAAAGAGGGUGCUGCAAACUCUGCGCCUUUGUGUCUAUGCUCCGAGUGAUCAAUUGGUCGAGUAGAUGCUUCUUCCUCUCCUAUCUGUAUGCUCCGAUGUCUGGUUGAGUGAGGAAUGAGGAGGAUCUGAAGAUGCUUUGAUAGAUCAACAAGUCUUGUAAAGUUGGUCGUCCUUGAUCGAGUGAAGGGGUCGAGUAGAGGAUCGAGUAAGAGGGGCGAGUAGACCGAUCUCCUGCUUCCUCUGUAGCUGCAUGGAUCGAGUAAACUGGUCGAGUGAAUUGCUGCCUCCUCUAUAGAUGCCUGGAUCGAGUGAACUGGUCGAGUAGAUUGCUCCGCUGCUUCCCUCCUGGUUGGAUAGAGUAGAGGGUCGAGUAGAAUCCUUUUAAGCUCCUUCUACACCUGAAAACGCACAAAAACAUGCAAUAUGUAUGCAAGAUGAUCCUAAAUGCCUAAAGGUGCAAAAUAAGCCAAAAAUGAUUCAAAAUGAUAUGAAAUAUUGAGUGAUCACUAAGCUAAAUGAAGAUAAAUACAUGUCUAAAAUGAGUAAAAUACAGUGUUAUCAACUCCCCCAAACUUAUCUCUUGCUUGCCCUCAAGCAAACAAAAAAUCUUAAGUUGAAGGAGAGGUUUGAAGGUGGGGAUUCAAAAACCGAAGCAUGCAUAUAGAACGGGUAAGCUCAAUGUCCAGGUAGCUAAUUCUAGAUUGCAAGAUGAUAGACCCUUACUUAAAAACUUUAGCCAUACUCGUCAUAAUGCAACCUAACAACCUGCCUUAAUCUAUUCAGGCAUUCAGAUCAACCAAUUCCCUUUAACAUUCAUUAAGCACGAACAGUAGAUCAAGCAAUACAAAGGUUAUAAACUCACUUGGUUUCGAGCUUAGGCUAAGAGACAUAAAUGGUCCCUCUAAUGAUUUGGUCGAGUAACAGGGGACUCUUAGAGAAAAGAUUGAGCUUUAGCAGAAUGCUAAAGGUAAAAGCCAACGGACACAUCCAGUCCCAUAGAUGUCGUAACUCUACCCUUUUUCUCAUUCUUUCUCUUUUUGGUUCAAGUUCUAAGGGGUUCUAUUUUUAAACGAUUCAAGAGUCUAGCGGAUUUGGUGGUGAAACUCUGUGCCUUCCUGAAACCACUUCUUCAGGGCGGUUUUCUCGCACCAUGGUGGCGCAUGCGGAAGAGCAGCUCAGUACAGCCUGAAUUACGUUGAUGGCCUUGCCACAAUUUUCCAACAUCUUGUCUUGAAACUUAUUCCAAGCAGUCAUCGAACCAAUAUUCUUAUGCGCUUCACUCAGACUCUUACUCACUCUUGGUGGUGGUUUGUGUUCCUCAAAAUGGAACCUACUCGCAUUGUAGUUCUCCCAAUCCAUCUCCUCCACUUCUUAAUUCCCAGCCCUUUCUUCAUUCUCAGCCCUUUCUUCAUUGUUCGGAGCUUCUCUUGUCGGGGGUGCCCCAUCCAUGAAGAAAAGUGCCUCAUUAGGAGGGUUGAAAUCGAUGUUACACCUCACUGUGAUGGUUGUGAGCUCUUGGCUAGGUAUGAGAAGUCUGGCAUCCAUUUUCGUUCUAUGCUGAAACUUGAGAAUGUGCAUCCCUUCAUGACGCUGAUGCUCAAUGAACAAAGCCCAUUUUAGGUAGGAAUGUCGAUCCAUCUUGGGGCAAAGGGAGUCAACGGAAGUGGCACUGCACAAGCCAUUAGUAUAGGUGUUAUCACCCCUCCUAUAGAAAUGGUUCUCUUGUGUUUAUUCGCUAGUGCUCAUUUCCUGAAACCACAAAGAUGAUUCAAUAAACGCAUUGACGGUGAGGCAUCGUUUGUGUCACCUCUGAAACAACUCUACUUCCAGUGAAGCAAGAAACUGAAGCGCUUCUGUUUUGUAGGCUGAGUGAGGAUUGGUGAUGAGACCCAAAAGACCACUCUUUUCAAAGAGGUACUCGACAUCUUUUGUUAUGCCAAGCUCAUUCAUGGUUUGGGAGUGAGGGUAUCGAGUUCCAUGGAAAUUGUGAACCGCCAAAAGCUCAUAGUAUCCAUCCGGCGACAGCUUAGUCUUCUUCAUCAAGGAUUUGGUGGCUCUUGGAGUUAUUUCAGGUACAUAGUCUUCAUCCCCACCAAGGUCUUCAUCCACGAGGCUUCUCUCUUCCGCCAUGGCUCUCUUACCUCUUGCAAUUUCAGCUCUUCUUCUAACACGAGCUAGGACUUUGACGGCUUGUUCACUGAACCGCCUGUAUUCUUCCAUCUCCCUCUCAGGCCUAGUAGACCAAGAUUCUGCUUCAUCUACGUUGAAAUCAGCAUCCAUUGAAGAUUUGUUGCUUUUUGAACUCAUGGUGAUACUGAACUCUUAGAAACCAAAAUCGAAGAUUAAUAGGUGAGUCAAAAACAAGAAGAAAAAUCGAUGUGUUUGGUCGAGUGAAAGAAAACUGAAGAUUGAAAUUUUGGGAAUGAUUUUGCUAAAGGAAUCGAGUGAGAGAGAUGAUGGUUAGGUGCGAUCAAAAGAGAAAAAGAAAAGAGGGUGAAAGCCUUAUCUUUGAUGUCGAUUUGAAUGAGUGGAGGAGGAUGGUCUCCAUGCUUUCUUGUUGGGAUAAAGGGGGUUGACCAAAUAGCGUUGAGCAAAACGGGUUAAUGCAUUAUCCGACGAGUAAUAGAGUGAUGGGGAAACAAGUGGGCCACUCGAUCACCAUGCUUGGUUGUCUAGUCACUAUACUUGACCAGUUCAUAGAGUAAAAUGAUGAUGCAAAUUUACUCGACCAAUUAAUAGAGUAGAAUUGCUUCUAUAGUAGAUAUUUCUAGAUUACAGAUUCCAGAGCUCUAUAAAUCCUAAUUUAUUUCCUGAACUCCAAAAACACUUAAAAGCAUAUCAAAAUAUCAAAAUUAAAUAUGUACAGAGAUGGGCAUGGGAUUUCCUCCCAAGUGAGCUAGUUUAAAGUCUUAAGCUAGACUUCUUACUAUUUUAGGCACUGAUGGGCUCCUAGAGGUGAACUGUAGUUCCUUCAGGAAUAGGGCAAUCUGUAAUGUAACGCUUGACCCUCUGUCCAUUCACAAUAAAUUCAGAACUUCUCUUCUCGGUAAUAGUAAUUGCCCCAUAUGGCAAUACUUCUUUGAUGGUGAAAGAUCCGGACCACCUGGAUUUUAGCUUUCUUGGAAACAACUUGAGCCUGGAGUUGCAUAGCAGAACUUGGUCUCCAAUGUUGAAAUAUUUUGGUGAGAUCUUUUUGUCAUGAAAGGCAUUUGUUUUUUCUUUGUAGAUUUAAAAGUCUCAUAUGCUUCGAGUCUAAUCUCUUCCAGUUUAUGCUGGUCGACUGCUCUUUUUUCUUGAUCACCCUUGAUUUUCAAGUUCAAAAGUUUGGUUGCUCAAAUGGCUUUAUAUUCCACUUCGACUAGUAGAUGACAAGAUUUCCCAUAUAGCAUCUGGAAUGGGGUUCUUCCAAUAGGCGUUUUGUAUGCAGUUCUAUAGGCCCAUAAAGUCUUAUCAAAUUUAGCUGGACAAUCCCUUCUUUAGACACCAACAACUUUUGUGAGUAUAGCUUUGAUCUGUCUGUUCGAUACUUCCACUUGGCCACUGGUCUGAGGGUGAUAGGGAGGGUCAACCUUAUGCUUGACCCCAUGUUUUUUCAAUAGACUUUCAAAGACCUUGUUAAUGAAAUGUGAGCCUCCAUCACUUAUCACUACCUUCAGGAUACCAUAUCAGGGAAAAAUAAUGGACUUAAACAUUUUUAGGACUACUUUGUGAUCGUUGGUUGGUGCUGAUAUUGCUUCCACCCACUUGGAGACGUAAUCCACGGCUACCAAGAUAUAAGCAUUUCCAUAUAAGGGAGGGUUGAACGGACCCAUGAAGUAUAUUUCCCACACAUCAAAAACUUCUACCUCAAGAAUGGGAUUCUAUGGCAUCUCAUUCCUCCUGGAUAUGUUCCCGACUCUUUGGCAAGGAUCGCAUUUCGCUAUGAAUUCCUGAGUAUCUUUAAACAUUGUGGGCCACUACAGACCUGCCUGCAAAACUUUCUAGGCAGUCUUGAAGGUGGCGAAAUGCCCUCCAUAUGUGGAGCCUUGGCAAUGUUCCAGUAUACCUUGGACUUCUCCUUCAGAGACACACCUCCUGAAUAGCCCAUCAUUCCCCUUUUUAUAUAGGUACGGUUCAUCCCAAUAGUAAUGGUGGACAUCUCUAAAGGACUUCAUUUUUUUAUAUGCAUCCAAACUCUGGGGGAUCAUAACGCUUGCUAAAUAAUUGACUAAAUCUGCAUAACAGGCCAACUUUUCUUCUUCAACUGCAUAUGCUUCGUCCAACAUGUCCUUUGUGUCGAUGCUUUUGUUAACAAGGUCAGUUCAAUAAUUGACUAAUUGAUAAGUAAGUUUUUACGCCUACUUAUAUGCUGAAGUGAGGUUCAGUUCAAUUCCCCAUAAACACUAACAUGUCGAUGCAACUACAAGGGGUGUCAAUCUAGUCCACUGGUAUUGCUUGCAAUCAAGAUGUGUACAGAAGCAACUAAGUCAAGUCAGAUUAUAGUGAUGGUUGGUUUCUAGUAACAAUCCUAGGUCAAGAUUCAGACAACAAAAAUAAGAACUUAAAAGCCCUACUCGAUAAUUGGGUCGAGUAGAACCAACAGGUGACAAUAUUAAGAACUAAAAUGCAAUCAACAGGUGAUACAAAUAACAGAUAAAUAAAAGUACAACAACGGGGGUGAAUACAAAUAAAUAUAAGAAGAAUUGAAGUCCUAAGGAUGGAUUUAUUGAUAAGGACAACUCUAGGGUUCAUCAAGUGGCUAACAGGUGAAAGGCAGAAACCCUAGAUGAUAGAUUCAAAAACCGGGUCAAUUCACUCUCGUGACGGAGACCCCCAUAACUCUACCACUUCCUAAUCCCAACUCUCGUUGAUGAAACAUAGCAGAGCAGGGUUUAAGCAACAAUCUACCAAAGCCAAUAAGCAAUCUAGCCAAUCUCUUGGUCUAUAGUCUACAUAGUAGAUGCUUCUUCCACUCCUAUCGGUAUGCUCAGAUGUCUGGUUGAGUGAGGAAUGAGGAGGAUCCGAAAACGCUUUGAUAGAUCAACAAGUCUUGUAGAGUUGGUCGUCCUUGAUCGAGUAAAGGGGUCGAGUAGAGGAUCGAGUAAGAGGGGCAAGUAGACAGAUAUGUUGCUUCCUUCGUAGCUGCCUUGAUCGAGUAAACUAGUCGAGUGAAUUUCUGCCUCCUCGGUAGCUGCCUGGAUCGAGUGAACUGAUCGAGUAGAUUGCUCCGCUGCUUCCCUCCUGGUUGGAUACAGUAGAGGGUCGAGUAGAAUCCUUUUAAGCUCCUUUUGCACCUGAAAACACACCAAAACAUGCAAUAUGUAUGCAAGAUGAUCCUAAAUGCCUAAGUGUCUAAAAUAAGCUAAAUGAUGAUAAAUACAGUGUUAUCAACUUUGCUGGGCCAAAACUAGUGUCGAUCGACACUCUCUCUGAUUCCUGAAUGUCUCCUUAUCUCCAUUGUUGUCCCACUACAUAGAGUACUUGAAAAGACACUAAAACGACUUGAGAAACAACAUAAAGACUCAAAAUCCUAACCCUAAAUCAUAGAUAAAAUCAAUGAAAAUAGGGAUAUAUUAAGUAUAAAUGGGGUUACUUCAUGUUAUUUCAAAGGAAGGACAAGUUUACGGCAGGGAGACCCAUUAUCCUCGAUUCUGUGGUAAUGAAUGUGUUAUCUCAUAUGUUGAAUAAAGCAGGAGAAGAAGGAUAUUUCUAGUAUCACCCUGGAUGUGUGGAUCUUAGGCUUACACAUCUGUGUUUUGCUGAUGAUUUAUUGAUCUUCUUAGAGGGUUCUAAGCAAUCUUUGAGAGGGGUUCUGUCAGUCCUUACAGCGUUUGAGGAUAUGACUAGGUUGGGAAUGAAUAUUGAGAAAACCUCUAUGUUUAGUUCUGGUUUGAAUGAGCAUAGCUUGAGCCGUUUAAAGGGUAUAUUCAAUCUGCAGCCUACCCCUCUUCCAAUUAGGUACUUGGGUCUCCCUUUAUGCUCAAGAAAGCUUUUGGUUCGAGAUUGUGAUCCCUUGUUAUCUCAAAUCAGGAAAAAAUUAAACUCGUGGACUCACAAGUUUCUGAGUUUGGCUAGCAGAUUAACUUUGAUCUCUUCUGUCAUCUCGGGCAUCAUAGGUUUUUGGACUAGUGCUUUCUUACUUCCUAAGCAGGUUAUUCGAAAGAUCAAUGGGCUUUGCAGCUCCUUUCUAUGAAAUUGGAUACACCUUCAGGUGCAAAAGUAUCAUGGUAUAAUGUUUGUUUCCCUAAAUCUGAAGGUGACUUGGAUUGAGACAUAUUGGUAGUUGGGAUGAGACUUAUGCCAUGAAACUUUUUUGGAUGCUGUUUUUUAGAGCCAGAUCUUUAUGGGUUGCAUGGAUACGAAGUAAGUACUUGUCUACAGCUCCUUUGUGGGCACUGAAUGAAAAGAAUGUUGCUUACUCAGAAAAUUACUCAAGCUUCGUUCGAAAACUCUUCAAUUUCUGAGCAUCAAUAUUGGAAAUGGUGAUUCCACGUUCUUUUGGUGGGAUCCUUGGACUCCUUUUGAUUCUCUUUACCAUUUCCUUGGAUCAGAUGGGCCUACUCAUUAAGGAAUCGGGAAAAAUGUCGAUAUGUCUCUUAAAUACCAAAGUUAUUGUUGAUUUUGUAAUUAAGUGGGUUAAGUCUUUGGUUAUAAAUUGCUUUUGGUUAUGAGAUUAAGUCAAUUGACAGAAAAAUUAACUGAGUUAAGUCUUUGGUUAUAAAUUCUAUUAACUUAUGAAACGACAUCGUUUCAAAUUUUAAAAAUUUAUAACAAGUUCAGGAAUCGAACUCGUAUCCUCUGAGAAGAUGACGCCAAUGACUGGAGGAUAUAGAUGAUUGUCACUAGGGGAAAGUACCUGUUUUCGAAAGUUAUGUAAAAAGUGCUUUAAAGUAAAUAUAUAACCAAGACAAAUGCCUAUUUUGCAAUUAACUCUUAUUAAAAAUUGAGGGUUUUGAUCCCCUUUGUCGGAGUCACCGAGAAGGCGAGUAUCUCACCGUCGUCAACUCGCCGCAUCCUAGUGAAUUUCAUACCCAUUGAGCACAGUUUGCAGAACAUAAUCAAUCUUUCCCUAACCAAUUUCAAAAGUUCUUUCCAAGAGAGAAGUCGAUUGAUUACUCCUCCGAAAAUGGUGAGUAAAUUUGGAGAAAGCUUGAUCAGAAGAUGCGAAGAUGGUCAAUUCUUUCUAAUCGUCGUGGUUUAGAUCUUGAUUCGCGAUCUUAAGAGUGAGUCCCAGAGAAAUGUAGCCCGAAUCGGAAGUUAAUGCCAUGGAUGCAUUUAUCGAGCUUUUAUUUAAGCUAUAUAUGUAUCUAAGUUUGUGUACAAUCAAUACGAUGUCUCAGCUCAGUAGGUUCAGUAUCAGCGUUUCAUCUCAAAGGUGUUAUGUUUGAUUCUUCACUUUUUAAUAUUUUUAUAAUAUUAAAACUUCGCCGAUUAUAAGUUAACAGAAUUUAUAACGAAAAACUUAACACUGUUAAUUUUUCCGUCAGUUGACUUAACGUUAGGUCCAAAAUGGCAAAGUCAACAAAAGUUAACUAUUUAAUUUAAAAGUCAACAAUUACUUUGGUAUUUAAGUGACAUUUUAAAAGUUUAUGUUUUUUUCGUCCCAAAUUUGAAAGUUCAUUCUUUUUAAACAUUUUUCCCUUUAGGAAUCCCUCUGUUUUCAACUAGGCCUGGGAGUUCGGCAGAAACCGGUUAAACCGAACUGAACAAACCGACGAUUAUUGUUUUCGGUUUCAAACCGAGUUAUUGUUCUAAACCGAUCGGCCAAAAAUUAAAUUAAUUUUGGUCUUCGGAUAAUACGGUUCGGUUCAUCAAAUCCGAACGGUUUUUUCGGUUUAGGGAGAUACCUUACAAAAAUAGAAAACCCUAAAUCUAUCACUAAAUUCUAAAUUGUUUUCUAAUCUCUCCUCCUCUACAAACGCUUCUUGUCUCCUUUUCUUCUUCAACCACUUUUUAUUUUUGACCUUCUAAUCCUUCUUCAUUCUUCUUCGUAUUCCUUCUUCUUCUUCUCCUUGUCUUAGUUCUUCUUCUCCACCUUUUUGUUUUGUAGGUGUCUUCUGUCAAAGCCGUCGCGACAUAAAUCCUUCUGUCAUUGACGACUUUAACGGCAACAAUUUUAUGGUUCUCUACAUCUCUUCUCGCCAGAUCUAGAUUCAUCUUCUCUGUUUUUUUUCUUUUUCACCUCACCUUUGUUUUUCCAUCUCACUCCAACCGUUUGCCGUCAUCUUCACAAAAUGAACAACAAAACCCUAGAUGUGGGUAGUGGGCUUCACUUGACCUAGAACAACGUUUUGGGCUUAUAAAAGCUAAAAACAUAAAGUUGGGCUUUAGAAAACUUAGCCCAUUAUGCAUAAACUUGAUCCAACACUAUUUGGUUAACCGAUUAAAAACAGUUUCGGUUCAAAUUCGGCGAGUUAUAAAUUUUAUUAACCGAACUGAAUUAACCGAGUACCAAACUGAACCGAAUUUUUAUUCGGUUCAAUUCGGCAAAAUUUUAAAAAACCAAAAAACCCGGAAAACCGAUUAAACCGAAUUGUUUAACCCGAUUUAACCGAUCUCCCAGGCCUAUUUUCAACUGUGGCUGAACUACGAAAUAUAGAUGGUUGGUCUCUUCCUCCUGCUAGAACAGAGAGACAAGUUCUUCUCCACUCUUUUAUCUCUACUAUUUCCAUGUCAUCAGCGAAUGAUACUCCGGUUUGGGCAAUUGAUGGUAGGCCUUACUUCUCUUUCUCUUCUAAAUCUGUAUGGAAUGCUAUUAGGAUUUCAAAUCAAGUUCAAUCUUGGGUUCCUCUUGUAUGGCACAAAGCAGUCAUUCCACGUCAUGCUAUCACAUCCUGGCUUUUUAUACUCAAUCGUAACCCUACUCUAGAUCGUUUAUCUACAUGGGGUUUUGAUAUUGAGUUGGACUGUCUUUUGUGUGGCUUUGUCAGGGCAUGAAGUGAUGCUAGCAGACUGAAGCUUGGUGCUGAGGUAAGAGAUUAGUUGUUGGAUGUGAUCUUUAGACAUUAUUUCAUCCUGCAUAACCGGUGCUUGAUUUUCAGACUGAUCGAUGCUUGUUAGAUUUGUACUGCCUACACAAGAACUCUGUUGAUUUGCCCUUGGAUGUCCCGGAGGAUAGCCAUGAACUUUGUAACACUUGUCAACAGUGUGACCAAUACGAUUGCAGUGAGUACAUUUGGGUUUCUUGAAGUUUCCCUGAGCCAUCAAUAUUGGAUUCUGUUCAGUAAGCAAACCUUGAGUCUGAAAAGCAGCCGGAGAGGGAGUAGGUUUCGAAGCAUGUCCAACCAAUCGCUGACUCUCAUCUUGAUCAAGCAUGUUGUAAAUUUCAUUCAGUCCAGGUCUAGGCUUCAUGUUAAGAAUCUGACUCAUGAUAGUAUUAAAGUCAUCAUUUAAACCCAUCAAAAACUGAAUGACUCUACUUGUUUCAGCAUCUUCAAGCAGCUCCUUCACUUGAUCACAGUCACACUUCUUCACACUACGAGUUUUAGUAUUCAACAACUGUUCCCAUAGAGUUUUCUUCUUUGUAAAGUAAGUGGAUAGAUUAAGAGAUCCCUGCUUCAGUGUCAUCACAGCUUGUUCCAGCUGAUACUUCCUAGGCAAAUUAUUCACCCUAAACCGAGUAAAUAGAUCAGUCCACAUCUCAACAGCAUCUUCAUAAUAAAGUAUACUGUCAUAAAUCUCCUUGUUCACAACAUUAAGAAUCCACGAUUUCACCAUACUAUUGCAUCUACUCCAGAUUCGAAAAGUAGAAUCAUCAACAGAAGGUCGCAACAGAGAUCCAUCAACAAAACCCAGCUUGUUUUUCGCAUCUAGGCUGAUUCUCAUCGCUAUGGACCAACUAUUAUAGUUACUACCAUCAAGAACAUGAGCUACAAUAGAUAAACCUGGAUGAUCGGAGGAAUGGAGAAUCAAUGGGUUAUCAACGUUGUCAGGAACCUUCGGAUUUGACCCAUUUCCACCAUAAGCAUCCGAUCGUUGAGUAAGUUGCUGUUUCAGUGCCAUGAGCUUCUGAUCUUCAAGGAUCGUUGCUUCACGAGCAGAUCUGACAGCUGAACCUUCAUCAUCCGUCAUUGCACUUCGAGUCUUCAUUUUUCCACCUUUCUUCACCAUUUUUCUUCAAACUGAGCUCGCGGAAGAACAAUCAAUGAUCAGAGAAGGAAGAAUCGGUGAAGAUGGAACAGAAACUGUAGAAACGAAGGUGAAAUCACCAGAUUUGUGUGAGGAAAUGCUCUGAUACCAUAUUAGAAGUCGAGAACAAAAGAGUUUUGUGAAAUGAUUUUCUAUUUUCUCAAAUGUAAAAGUAAUUACAAAGCUGAUUAUAUACAAUUCUCCUAAACCAACUAAACCAAGCUACAAUGUACAAUCUAAGCUAAACCGGAUUACAAUAGGUAAGUUAAUACCCACGAAUCAAGGAAUCAUUUGUAUUUGAAUGUGUCUUCUCUGCUGAAGUUUGGCGAUUGAUAACACAACGGCUUCAGACAUCACCCCCUCCGCUCCUCUGGGAUCAAAUCCUUCUUUGGCUACCUAAAGCUUCAACAUCUAAACAUCGUAAUCUAGCUCUCCUUCAAGGUUGGCAAGGUGCAAUCUAUGCAUUGUGGAAGGAACGAAAUCGCCGAUUCCAUGAUGGUCUCUCCCUCUCUUCGGGUACAAUCGCAAUGGACGUCAUGUCCACCAUGAUUAACAAGUGUAAAGUAAUGAUUCAGCUGGACUUAAAGCGUGGAAUUUCACUUCUCCAAUGUUGGACUCACUAUGGUUUAAAUCAAGAUUAUGGCUCUGUUUUUCUUUAUGCAGGUUUCUCUGUUUUUGAUUCUUACUCUUUCUAGCAUUCUCUGCUAGUCCUCUUUCUUCUCUUUCUGGUUGUAAUAGUUUCGUCUUCUUUCAUUGUAAUUUUUUCUUCCAUUUAUUUUAAAAAACCGGUAAACAAAAAAAAGUAUACAAUAAUUCCAUUCUCAUACUUUUUGUCGUAUAUAUUGACUUAAUUAGGAAUCUAAACAGAAAUCAGUAUUUAGUAAUGAUUAAUAUUGAUUCAAAAAUUUUGACUUAAAAUUGAUCGAGAGUCAGUGUAUAGCGAGAGAGGCUAAAUAUAUAGUCAUGGAAUACAACUCUGUUACUAUAUUCCCUAAAAGUCAAGAUCUAUAGUAAUAAAUUCGUGUAAAAUAAACAAAAGAUAGAACAUAGAUUUAGAGAACAUUAGAGUAAAUGUAAGAGAACUGGACAAAGAACGAUGAGAGGAAAUAGAUUUUUUCGAAUAAAUUGAAAUGAAUUCAAAACCAAAAUAGUGUAAACCUUACAAAUCCGAAAAUGGUUUUAACAAAGACAAUUGAAAUCAAUAAUGAAAGAAACAUGAAAUAAUCAAAUCGAAUGCAAAGAAAUGUAACAAAAUUGUCCAUCUAAAACAACCGUCACAUUUUUGAAAGACCAGCAAAUCACUCCUUCUUUUCGACCUUCACCUUAAAAACCUCUUUCUUAACAGCCUCCUUCUUCACAAUAAUCAGCUCAACACUUCCCCUAUCAACAGUAACCUCUUCAUCUAACUCCACCACUGUCCCUUUCUUUUUGAUAUCAACACGCUCGUCUCCAACAAUCAAGGUAUUAGGUGUAGCAGCUCCACGAAUAACACCCUCCGCAUCAAACUCUAGUUUAGACUUUCCCAAGUAUAUAGGUUCAAGACAUAAUUUCUUCGAAGUUGAAGAUCAAUCUGAUGCAUCAAUUUCUGUAGCAUAGACACGCUUAGAAGAUGGAGUAAUAGACUCGGUUGUUUCCUGGCUAUUCUCUAUCAUGAGUGGUACCUAUUGUAUUAUAAUACACGAUUAAAGAUUAGACAUAUGAAUGGAAGCACAAUAAAUACAAAUUAUUAUAAGUGUUAUGAUUAAUGAUAUAUGUUUAUAGUAGGAUUACCUGAUCACCAGAAACGAUUGAAGCCGCGUUGACAAUCUCAGCAGAGUCCUCUAGCAAUUGGUCAUCAAGAAGUCCAUCCUUGAGGAGAACCUUUGAAACCUUGUAGAUCUCUUUUCUCAUCCCAUAUAUUCUCUUUCUCAACACAUACCAGGAAAAGAAAUGUCUUUCCAAUCAAAUUUUUCACGGGAUCAUGCAAUACAUCUGGAUCCUCGAUCUCCUCAACGGAGCCAUCAAGUACAAAAGCAGAGGACUCGCCAAUAAUUUCAGAGCAAAUUGAAUCAAAUAGCAACAAUUUCGCCUCUCCAGUAUUAUCAAUGACUUUAGCAAAACAUCAUGAACCUGUAAAAAAAAAACAACUCAUACAAUAUAAGUAAGACCGUUUGAGAAAAUCCAUAAACAUUUUCCAAAUUAAUAAAACGCAUAGGGAGUGCAUAUGCACCUAGUAACAACAUUUGUGACCACAUACUUGCACAUGUCACACCAUAAACGUGGUUUCUUUCCUUUGUUAUUGACACCAUGCACCCCAUCAUGUAGAUAUGUGUUACCUUCUUUUUGCAAACUUUGCAACUGAUGAAGUACCAAGCCCAAUCUGUAUCUAUCGCAUAAAUAGUACACAAUACCCUUACCUUACCAAUGUACACAUACAUAAAAUUUCAAACAUUAGGAUAUAUAACAAAAAAGAUCAUCAAGGUCAAAAACACCAAAAAUAAUAUGAUCUCACACCUCUACAUAAUUAAUGAGUUAUGAGAUAGUGUUCCUUGCGAACUCAGCAUAGUCAACAUUCUGACCAGCGACCAUUUGAAACCUUGGAACUCUCUCUCGAUGUACGCAAAUGAUACCAUCCGCUGGGAGUAUAGAUUUAAAAGCAGAACCGGUAUUCAUAUACAUUACAAAAAAAGCAAAAUUCAAUAUGAGCAGGUUCGUAUGGUUAGCAAAACUUACGAUCGCACGAAAACAUCAACCUCUGGGAAAGGUGGAUUGACAUGUACUUGAGAGGAGUCAAACGAAUUAGAUAAACUUCGAACACCUAAUAUUUGAUAUUCAAUAAAAAUUACGAAUCAAUCUAUAGAAAAUAUGACAUCUUCGUACCAUUAUAAGCCUUUAUUUUGGAAAACCGUAAGAGGUAGACCACAAUCUUGCCAUCAGACUCCUGACAGGACCUAAAGACAUGUUCGGCGAACGAACUCCACAAAGUUACAGCCAAUCUCUCAUCCCUGUUAGUAGUAAAUGAAGACGAAAUGAGUACCAAUACUAACACAACCAAAAAUCAGAGAAUAAGCAACUUACAUCUCAUCUCUUAUUUCAAAAUCAAUCUUCUUGGUUGGCUUAUUAUUAGUCUCGAGAUCUUCAAGCUCACCAAUCAUAACAAUCUGACCUAUAAAUUUUGUUACACGAAAGAGCAAGCAAAUAUUAAUAAUUUGGAAUAACAUGACAAUUAAAAUACACGGAUCUUUGAUAUAACCCUUACCAACCAAGAUGUGAGGAUUCAACUCUCCACUUUGAAUUAUUUUAUAGCUUGCCAACUGUCAGGAAGUUGGAAUCAGAUUUUGAUUCACAGCCCAUGACUUGAGUUCCAGUUUGGAAACUCAUCUUAUACAAAUGGUUGGUAGGAUAAAACUGGCCACCUGCAUAAUUGAGACCAAACUUCUCAAUGAAGAUCCAUUCAUCAACAAUAAGCUGGUUGACAAACUUAGACAUCAACUCCUUUUUCACAGAUGUGUGUCUUCCCCUACAAAUGUUUUGAAAAAUGAUACGAUGCAUUAGCAAGACAUAUACAUUAUUUACGUUUGUAAAGAAUAUACUUGGAGGGUCUGUUUUUUACUUGCUCAUCAUAAAUGACCAACUCCAAUGUUUCACCGGUACUCGCGGUGAACUGUUUCCACUUGUCUUGUAGGGUCUCACAACUUUAAGAUAUGCGAAAGUGGAAACCAUUUUUCUGAAGUAAGCUUUUUGCUAAUGAAUUAGUAAGAGAUUGGAGUUUGUGAUGAUGAGAAGUGCCGGUCGUUAAAAGAGUAUUUAUAGAGAUAACAAUAGGUUAAAAAUCCUUUUGCUCUACACAGAGAAAAAAAAACGCAUAAGGAAAUUUCUUUUCAUUUCUCGAAAAAGUUAUUGCUUAAAUAUUCUUGGCCAUUAUGUUAGUGAUAUUGCGUGAUUAGAAUUCGUUUGUAUAAGGAAAGUUGUGAGCUACACACGAAAAAAACACAUAGGGAAAGUCAACGUUAUUCCUUAAAUAUAUUGGCUAUUAUGUUAGUGAUUUUGCUUGAUUAGAAUUCGGUUGUAUAAGGCAAGUCGUAAGCAACAUUAUUGCUUAAAUAUAUUGGCUAUUAAGAAGAAACGAACAGAGAAAGUCCGUGAGCUAAUCACGCAAACUUUAUUGCUUAAAUAUAUUGACUAUUAUGAAUGUGAUAUUGUGGUGAGAAUUCGUUUAUAUAGGGCAAGUUGUAUAUGCCAAUUGAUAUUUACCAUAUAUUUGAAUUGAGAAUUUUAAUUGACAUGAAUGCACAUUGUUGAGUAUGGAAACUGUUUAUAAAAUUUUUGUGUCGUUGGAGUUAUUCAAUUCAAGUGUUAUUGGAGUUAAUUCAACUAAUUACUGCAAUUCAACUAAUUGUAAGUUUUUAGUUAUAAAGUAUUUGAUUGAAAUUAAAUUUGUAAAGACUAAUAUUGAAAAUAGUAAAUAGGUGAGGGAUUUUUGGCCAAAAACCCUACCAAAAAUGUAUACGUAGAUCAUUGUAAAUCUAUGUUACUUGUGUAGUUUCGAAACAACACAGUCAUUACAAGUCAUUUUAAAGGACUUUAAAAACCCUUGUAAAAUCAUUUUUAAAAAUCCUUCAUAAUCCUUUUAAAGACUUUUUUAUAACCCUUGUACAAAAAAAUUUUAAAAUUUUUUAAAAGCACACAACCAUAAAUAGAAACAAAAAAAAAACAUUUUCAAACCAGCUCUAAUCAACUGGUAACCCAUAAAUUAAGUGAGGAUUGGCAUAUAAGAGAAUUGGCAUUAGAAAUCUUUUUAAAAGUUUUUCGAAACCCAAAUAUCAAACUUUAAAUAUUAAUCUAUCAAAAUUGUAAAACCAUUUCUAAAAUUCUUUCAUAAUCCCAAAUAUCAAUCUAUUUUACUUGUGUAGUUUGUAACCAAAAACCCUAGAAAUUGCUAUAACAAAGAAGAGAUUCGGCAAAAAGAAACAAAAUCGAACAAAUCCAAAUAUCAAACUUUAGUGUCAUAAAUUGUGACCUUCAAUUCAUUUCUUUGCUGGAAAAACGGAAUUUCUUCAAAUUGUUGAAGGGACAGUUUCUUUGCAUCUUUUUUUUUUUGUUACUUUCACGAUUUCCUUUUCUUUUUGUUUUUAGUGAAUUUUGGGCUUCAGUGAAUUUUUACUAAAACGGCUUGCUUUUCAAAAAUAAGUGGCCUAGGCCAAAUUACUAACAGUACAAGUGUUAACAUUAUUGUAACUUUUUCAACGCUUUAAAAUUCUUUUAAAACCUUUUAAAAAGGAUUGUAGAUCCUUUCAAAAACCUUUUAAAAUUGCUUUUGUAAAUCAUUUUUGAAUCCUUUUCAAUUCAACUUUAAGCACUUUCUAACCCAGACAACCAUAUAUAGGAAUUGUACUAAAUAAACUUCAUCAAUAUUUUUUUCCAUUUUAGUUUUAUAGGUCUUGAGUUCGAAUUACUUUUAGUGCACCUUUUUCAAAAAAAUUUAAACACUUUAAAAUUCUUUUAAAAACGAUUGUAAAUUCUUUUAAAAAUGGUUGUAAAUUUUUUUAAAAACAGUUGUAAAUCUUUUUAUAAUAACAGUUACUGCAAUUUUUUCAACGCUUUUAAAUCCUUUAAAAAAAAGCUUGUACAUCAUUUAAAAAUCUGCUAAAAAGCAUAUUUAUCAUACAGUAAUUGUGUUCAAUAGUAAUUGUACUAAAUAAAUUUCAUAAAAUUUAUAUCAUACAGAUGUUCAUAAAAUAUUCAAACGACAAAGUUUUAUGAAAUAAGAAACAAAAGCUGCUAAAUCUUUCUUAUACUCCACUCUUUUUUAUUAGCAAUCUGCUACUUCUGCAUAGUGACUGACCCUAUUCAAAAGAAAAAUGAUAAUAUAACCCAAAACUUCUUAAUUCUUCAAACGGAUUGGUUAUUGAAAUUAUAUUGGUUUAAGCAUAUACUAACCUAUAUAUUUGCUAAUUCUGUGUAGAUGUUAGCCGCGAAUUUCUUCCUUGCGUUUCCAAUAAUAUUUCCCUCAAGGUUUGAAUGACUAGUAUACAUUGUAUAGCACUCCAUUAUCUUCACAACGUAGAUACCAAAAUCUUCAAUCUUAGGAGCCUACCACCAAAAACCAAAAGAAUUUUAAGCAUUUAAUUUGGAAAUUACUUGAGGAAUAGAGGUCAAGACUCUGAUAUAUUAAAGAAAUUUAGAAAUUUGUUGAGGAAAAGAGGUCAAGACUCUAAUACUGAAUGGAGAGACAUCCAUGUCCUCUUUUCUGAGGAUGUUCUGAACAAUGUAUGGCACAACAAUAGAGUAGGCACCAACAUGUUUUUUGUUAACUUCUUUUGUUAAAAAAGCUGAUGCACAAUCCCACACACAAACUGCCUUCUGUUCCAAGUGGAUUAGCAUGACGACCCAACAAAUUCCUUUAAUACACAAAAGAGCGAUUAUGCACUUGAUAUCUUCCUCUAUUAUCAGGUUACAGAUUUCUUCAGAUGGAAAUUGAAAUCCCUCUUUGUCAUCCACAAACUCCAUGUAUGACUCAUCAAUCACAUUUAAAAAAGACAAUCCAACUAAUACAACAGUUUUAUUUUUGAACAUUUCUGGAUUUCUUUCCUUCCUCGUUUUCAAUAACUCCAAUGCUGCAUCAACAAGCUAAACACAAAACAAAAAUAGAAAUUAUCAUAUAAGAAAAUUGGUUUUACAAGGAUUUUAAAAUAUUAAAUAUAUUGUUGCUGUUAUUGCUUUCCCUAGCGUUUCUAGCGUUGUAAACCACUUUGUAUCUAUAUUAUUUUCCGCAAUUGUUAGUGCCCUAAAACAACAAAACAGUCACCAAUGAUUUCAAAUUUAUAAAUGCAAAAGCAUGUUUUUAAUUUUGUUCUUACUAACAAAAAACUCACUUGCAUUUCCUUGACUUCUUCCCCUCAGCCAAUUUCUCAACCCGUGAUGCGUCAACUUUCGCAAAUGGAUACAAUAUUGGGUGCUUCUUCUUCUCAGCUGUGAAAGGUGGUUGUGUAUGAAUUGAAGGAAUUGUACCUCGCUUACUUUUUCUUUGUGCAGUAGGAUGAUCAUCAUUGUCGCCAACAGGUGGUCCGUCAACAUUAUCAGCGUCGUCAACUCGACUUUGUUUGUUUGAUCUUGUUGGAACAUUAUCACCAUCAUUGUCAAUAAUUUUUCUCUUCUUACUCAGUGUCUACCAAAAAGAAAAGAAAAACAGAUGUUUUAAAUACCUUGUAAACAAAAUUUUAGUUCCUUGCAAACAUUCUUAUACCAUAAAUUUCUCGCAAUCUCAUAACAUAUUACUUUUUUAAAAACCCUCAUAUAAUUUUUUAAAUAAGAUACUAACCUCUUUUCCUGUUGAAACAUCAUCUUGUUUCUGCCUCUUUCUCGGCGCCUAGAAUAAAUGAAAAACACUUUUUUAAAAUUACUUUUAAAAUCCCUUUUAAAUAUCAUUACAAGACGAUUGACAAUUUUUAAAAAUAGUUCCAUUGUAAAUAUUAACCUGUUUUCUUACGCUUGGUUUAAGUCUCUUCUUCUUAAGUUGAAAGAAAGAUAAUUUUUUAAAGAAACAUUACAAACACUUUGUGAGAUAAUACAAAUUCUUUUAAAUGCUAACGUCAUUUUUUCCUCAACUAACUCUCUUCUUAUCCUUUUCAAUAUCCAGACUUUCUUUAGAUAAAAUAUUGAAAUUUGGUGUAGAGAAUCGUGAAGUAGGAGACUGAUACUUCAAAAGAUAACAGAAUGUAAAGUUCUAAAAACGAUACUAAUCAUUUUUGUAAAACUUUUAGAGAAAUAAGAUUACUUCAGUUUUGAUGAUUGUUCAGCUAUUUCAUCACCAAUAUCGCGUUGGGUGUUUUCAUCAUUACCCGGAUAGCUCCCAUAUUGUAUUUUUGGCUUUCAGAUUGAAUCUUCAAAUGUGUCAUUCUCAUUCUGCAACAAAAUAAAAUAAUUAGUCAAUAGAUAAUAUAUGUAGUAAACCUUUAAAAUACAUAUAAGAUACAUUGUAAACCUUCCUAAACACCUAUUAAAUAACUUUCUAAAUACCUACUUAACGUUUAAAAUUCAUUGUAAAACCUUUGUAAGACUUUUUAAAUAGCUUGUAAAGAUUUUCAAUUACCUCUUCUUUUCUUUCUACUCUUUCUUCUUCUGACUGCAAAAAAAAGAGUACACCUUUUUAAUUAACUGUUGUAAAUUGACUUAAAUACGUAAAAUCUUUAUAAAUAUUCUUUUACCUGUUCUUUUCUUUCUUCAUCUUCAUCAGAUCUCUGAUUAUUCUUUCUCUCCAUUUUAAUGUCUAAAAUCUUCUCAAUGAGCUCGACUCACUUGUUAAGAUCUUCAAGGAUUGUAAAAAUCCUGUCAAGAUUCUCGCUAUCAGAUAUUUUGUUAUUCAUUUUCUUUUCACCUACUUCUUCAAGGGCAACAAAAACAUCAAUGCAUCUUGUAUUCAUUCAGUUUUCUUCAUUCUAUAGCCCAUCUUAAAAAGUUUCAGAACUUGUUGGAAUUCUGUGUCAUUUAGAUGAAAACCAGGAACUAAAGACUUGAAGUCUUCUAGGUUCCUUAUAAUUGUAUCCACCUCAAUCUGCGAAGAUACAAUAACAUUAAAAAUCUUGAAAAAGCAGAACUUCAAAUCUCAAAGCCAUUCUAAAUUACCUUUUGAAAUCUCUUGUAAAUCCUUUAAACCCUUUGUAAAUUAUUAUAAACGACUUGUAAUUCUAUAAAAAAAACCCAAUCUAAAACACUUUUUAAAAUCUCUUGUAAAUAAUUUUUAUACUAAGACAUAACAAUAAAACUCUUCAAAUUAUAUAAAUAGACAGACCAAAGCUUACAUCAGUAGUUUGAUUUACCAGGUUUACAACCUUGGAAAACUCUGGCGUACUAGUGCUUUUCCACUUCAAUAUCAAAGGAUAUUCAGAUCAGUAUUCCUUAUCACUAAUUCCAUAUGCUGCACCAAAUGCUGGAACUGCGCUCAACAACCAUAUGGUUAGCGCAAGUCCAAAUCCUCUUAGAUCUUAUUUUUUGGUUGCCCAAGUUUUCUCGUCCAUUCUUAGAAUUGAAUUUGAUAGAAUACUGUAUGGUUCUUUACCCCACAGUUGGGCUGUGUACAUCUUAAAAUCAGAAGCAUGCUGCAAUCUUAACAAAGGAAUCUUCUCUUUGUCAAAAGUUGUCAAUAGAAGUCCUUCAGUCAACAACACUGCACCAAGACACAACUUUUUUUCAUCUUCAACAGGAGCUUCACCUUCCUUAGGUUUUGUAAACUAUCGAUCUUCGAGGUCACAAAGAGUAUAUACUCCUUCAGUCGCCCAAAAGUAUGGAUCUUUUACUGGAUCUUUGCCCAUUCGUCGAAGUUCCCUAUUAGCAGGUUCACAUUGAAUUCCUGUAAGAACAAAAGACAACGUAAAGACAUUUAUUACAGGUUUUAUAGUAAAUACUUUAAUAACGAUUGUAAAUCAUGUAAACCCUUUUAAAAACCCUUAUAAACCCUUCAAAAUCACUUUUUUAUCCUUUAAAAACGAUUGUAAAUCAUGUUAACCCAUUUUCAAAGCUUUAAUUAUCCUUGUAAAUCAUUCUAUACCACUUGCUUAUGCUUUAAAAAUGAUUGUAAAUUACCUGUCGCGAGGAAGAAUUCUCUCAUGGAGAACCAGAGUGGUUGGGAAUCAACUCUAAACCAAAGAGUUGAACCUUUUGUCCUGACACUAUGUAGCAUAAGGUAAUGAAAAAUUUUCCCUGAAAAUUUUAUUCCUUUCUUUGCCUUCAUUCUUGGGGGUAAAUCAACUAAUGGACCAAAGAAUGAGCUUUUAAUUUUGGCAAACAGAGUAUCGCCUAACGCAUCCUCCACUUUCUUAACCAAUGACCAAUCUGAAUGGUGCAGAACCAUCCCUAUUGAAAUCGAUUCUUUUCCUUGUUUAUAGAUCUGUUCAGGUAAAGUUAGAAUUUCGCUCUCUGAAUCCAUCUGCGAAAUAAUAUAAAAAAUAAAUCAAAAUCGAGAUCUAAACUAUAAGAUUUAGGGUGAUUUGCAAAAGUAUUAAUUGUUAAGCAAAUCCACUAGAAAUUGCACAACUGAGAAUCAUAUUUACCGUAGAUUCUUUCGCCGAAAAGUUUCUUCACCGAAUCUGGUGAUUUUUUUGUCGGAUCUUCAAAUUCAAAGUCGCCGAAAAAGUUUCUUCACCAUAUCUGGCGAUUUAUUCGUCGGAUCUUCAAAUACGAAAUCGUAGUAAGAGAAUAAGGUCGGAGAAGAAGAACUGUUUGUCAAAGAGAAGACAAGUGAAUUGAAAACCCUAAUUUUUCAUUAAGGGUAACAUAGUCAUUUUAUGCAAAAUAAGAGGCAGUUUUAAAAAUGGCCAUGAGAAAAGUCAUUUUUGCAAAAGGGCACUAAAAAUACACUUAUUUUGCAUCGAUUGAGUAUUACUUGUCUGUUUUUAAAAAUUUGAAUUACAUCAGAUGUAGAAAAAAUCGAAUAUUUUAUUAACUAUUUGUAUUUUAUAUAUAAAGUCAAAAUAAAUUAUAUAUAAGAACAAAUAUAGUGAUAGAAAAAUUAUAUAUAUAUUUUUAAUGUUGAUAUAGAGAUUUUAGGAAAUUAGCAUUAAUAAAAUAUAAUUCAAUAAAAUAAGAUUUAAUUAAGGAUAAAAAGUUAGGAAAGAGUUAAUUCAAGUAUUUAAGGCAAAUUAACAAUUUGUAAGUUUUUAGGAAUAGAAUAUUUUGUUGAGAUAGAACUUGUAAAGACCUGAAUAUUAAUAUUAAAUUGUAUAGGGAUUUUUGGCCAAAAAGUCUAACAAAAAUGUAUAUAUUAAUAUGUGUAUAUAUAAAAGAAAAUAUAAAUUUUUUUCUAAACGAAAAAGAAAAAUUAACAAAUUUAGUUAUAAAUGUGUUAUUCGUAAUUUCAAUUUAGCAUGUAAUUUUAAAAAGAAAAUUAUUUACGAUGGAUAAUAAUACUAAUUAGAAAGGCUCUUGAAAUUUAAAUUAACAAUACAAUUUAUUCAACAUUAAUUUAAGAGCCCCUUAAUUUAAUUGGAUAGAAAAAAACUAACAAAGCGAAACAAGUCUACAUAUACUUAUUUAGUUGUCUAUGUCUAAAAAAAAAAAAAAUAUUAACAAAAAGGAAAAUUAACAAAUUUAUUUUAACAUUUGUUAUUGGUCAAUUAAAUUAGCAUGUAAUUUUCUAUUUAAAAUUAAUUAGUUUAGAUAAUAUACUAAAUCAAAAGCCCACUGAGGUUUAAAAUAACAAUUAGAUAACAAACCCGCACUAUAUUAACAACUAAUUAAAAAACGGUAUAAAAUGAUUCACGUAAAUUAUUAUGGAUAAAAUUAUAUAUUACAUUUUUGAGGUAAUUAUAUAUUUGAUUAUUAACUUAGUUAGAAUAUAUAUACCAUAAUCGGUGGAAGAAUAAAAUUACCAAUCAAUUAUAAAAUAUUUUUCAAUUCCAUAUUUUAGAUUUAGUGGAUAUGCAUCUUAUUAAAUCGAUUAUAAAUUUUAAAAUAGAUAUCUCAUUAUUGAUCCUUUUAAAUAUACUCUAAUUAUUUAAUUAGUAGAAAUCAAGGAACAGAGGAUGCUGACAAAAAAUAAUUCCAAAAGUUAACAUUAAAUUUGGGUGAUUGUUAAGAUAGCGAACAUUAGUAAUUAAACAUUACGUAUAGGUGAAAUUGAACCAAAGGUUGACGAGGAGGCUGAACGACAAAUUGAUUUUCCCUAACAGGGGCAAGGGCACUUUGUGGUCGCCAGAAAUGUCUAGUAGGGGCCAUUGGUCGAGGGUGGAUACAUUUGCCUUUCUCACAGACGAUUUUGGGCAUUUUGGAUUAUCGACUCGGAUAGUACUGAAGGUGUACAAAUAACAAUCUAAAAAUGAAAAUUUAAGCAACCCAGAUAAAUGUAGAUUUAAUCCAUAACUUUGAGAUCGUGAUAGAAUGGAAUCCUAAUUCUCUGUCACAUUGAAGAGAGUGGGGUGUCGUGGUGAGAUGGGUUAGUGGCGACAUAUGUAGUGGGUCCUACAAAAAAAUAGUUAGACUAGGGAAUAAAUUUUCUCAUGUCCAAAAUAAAUCAUGUGUGUCCAAAUUAUGUUGUCCAAAGAUAUAUAUCCUUAUGGUGUAUAAUAUAUAGACGUGGAUAGGGACGUAGAUGUCUUGUAACAUGCAACCCAACGGGGACUCAUCUAGGUAAUACAUACAUAGACUGAACUCAUUAAACACCAACAACAAAAUAAGAUGGAUAAGCCUUAGCAAAUAUUGAAAUGAAGAUUAAAUAGCAAACGAGAAUAUCACAUUAAAAAGUCAGACUAGCAGAAGCAUAAAUACAAAAAAAUCAAGUUUUAGAAAAAGAUAAACAUGUAGAUAGACAGAUAAUGAUGGAUAACACAUUAUGAAAACAUUGUCUUUCAAUAUUUGGGACAAUUAGCUCUUUUGUGUGCCCGAGAUUUGCAACGGGAGCAACGUGGAAUACUCUCUCGAACUCGGGGUUGAGCCCAGUAAGCUCCAUGGAUUUGUACCCAUCCUCCGUCCUUUCCAUAAGGUUCCAUCCAUAAACUAGCUCUACAACUUCAUCAACCAAAUUCUCAUAUGCGAUUCCUUUGUAUAAUACAGCAGUUAAAGCAUGUGGAUUGUUGGCUUCAAUAUAUUUUGUAAAGAAAUGAUAAUAGAUGGAAUGCGGCAUUGACCACCACAUAAAAUACCGAGAUAUGUCAAGGCGGACACAACUUAGAGUUUCCUCGGAAUAGACUGCCGCUUUAAAUAACAGACCAGCCUUAACAAAGGGUUUCAAAGCAUCAACACCAGAUUCUGAGUAGCUAACAAUUUUAGCAAGCACCGGGGUGGCAAGUAAAUUUAUGGGAUAGCAACAACCUGUUGAAAAAAACAAACGGAAGAGAUUGUUAGUAUUUGCUUAAAGAUGUAGUUAAAACUAUAGAAAACUAAGUACUUUAGGUUUGGAUGAACAACCAUUUUAACAUCUGAAAUAGAUGAUGUUUCAUUGUUGUGUAUCUUCGUAAACUUCUGCAUAAUUUCUCUGUGUUCAGGUUUUAACUAAAGAGAUGGGUAAUGGAAAAAACAUAAAACAAUUUUGGAUCUUUAUUAUAUAGAGAUUAUUAAGGUUUGAGUAAGUAGUUACAGUAUUUUUGCGGUUUUACUAAAAGUUAUAAUCGGUGGGAAAUUGUCCCGCUAUAAAACAGUUUCUCAAUUUUGGGGACGGAACUCAAUUCAGAUGCGGAUAAAAGAGAGAGAAUAUAACGUAUAGACCUAAAAGUGAUUAGGAUAUGAAAGAAAAUCAAUUUAUUAACCUAUCUAUAAACAGCAAUCCACGAAAGUAGUUUCUUAUGGAUUAAAAAUGAAAUUUUUAUUGAAAGACAUUGGUAUUAGCUAAUCAUGUAUCUGUAGCAAUAAUUUGUUCGUAGCAACCGAAAAAAAGGAAAAAUGACGAUAAUAAUAAAUAAUAUCAAGAAAUUACAGUAUUCAAACGAUAAGAAAGUGACAUUAAGUUUGAGGGGUACAUAAGAGGGAAAAAAAAAAAAACUUGUGAUAAUAAUAUUGAAGCAGCAAGCAUUGUGAUGAUUUUAUUCCUCUUGUAUUAGUCGACAACCUUAAAAGAGAAUGACAAGAAAUAGUGGAUAAGUUUAUAAAAUGUUAUUUGAAGAAAUUAUUUUAACGAAAGAGUACAUACCAUUUUAAUUUCUUUCACUUCCUCGAGAUCAGGUUCAGGAUACACAAUUGAUAUAGGGGCAUGGCUUACAAUCUUCACACGGUGACCACCGGCAUAAUAUAUAACUACCUUCCAUCAAGCAAGGGCAAUAACAAUAUUGUUAUUGCGAAGGGAUCAAAACCUUCUGUCAAAGUCCACUGCGAUUUCUCCAUAAGCCUCGCAUUGCAAUAUUGUUCGGCUGAAAAUCAGUAAGAAUAUGAGAUUGUUACCUCUUGUUAAUGCAAAGAAAUGUAACCAUGCUCUGUUGGAAAAAAAACUGAAAUUGAUGGUAAAGAGAUGUACUAUAUAUCUAUCCAUGAUCUUGAAGGGUAGCUUGAAUCCGUCCAAAUCGGUACCAUUCCUCGCAAUAUUGGUCAGAAAUCCAUAAUCAACAAGUCCACCAAGCAAAUUUGGUCAAAAUAUGAAGAAGAUGAGAGACGUAAAAUCUGUGUGCUUUGAAAGAAAAUUAAAUUUGUGAAGUUAUUACUUACCAACCAAAGUAUCUUUGGGAACAGUGUUUUCGACGAUGUAGUCAAAUGGAGUGAAGUUGUUAAGCAAAAUGGUUUCUCUUGUUGUUGAGGAAGUCACGGCAGUUUGCUCCAUGAACAAAAUCCGAAAUUCAUGAGUUGUUCUUAUUGCUUCGCAGUUUGGUCGAACAAUGAAAGUAGUAAUCGUUUUCCAUUAAUUCUCUUUGAUUAUGUCAUAGUAGAAGGCAGAAAAAGGAGGCCCGAUGGUUGCCUUGAUCCGCUGUCGUUAUGCUAUAUGACAUGUUAAUUUUCAGAAUAUUACGUAUUGAGGUGAGGUGGUUGUAAUAUUAGAUAGAUAAUUCGUCUAGUGUCGUUUAUAGUUGAGUUAGAUAUCUGUAAUUAAAUGCUAGAUGUCUACAUACUACUGUCCGUUAAUGUUAAAUGUAGACGACAAAGAGCAAUGAUACUAUAUAACUUCCACAAAAUAUAUGUUCUGUCACAGAAUAUUACGUAUUGAGGUGGGGUGGUUGAAAUAUUAGAUAGAUAAUUCGUCUGGUGUCGUUUAUAGUCGAGUUAUUUAUCUGUAAUUAAAUGCUAGAUGUCCACAUACUACUGUCCGUUAAUGUUAAUUGUAUACGACAAAGAGCAACGAUACUAUAUAACUUCCCCAAAAUAUAUGUUCUGUCCAAGACAACAUGUCCAAAGAUACAUGUCCGUUUGGAAUUUAUUAUAACGACGUGCGCACAAGUAUAUGGCAUUAAAGGGUUAUCAAUUGGAAAUCAUUUCUGCUGAUUUAGCUUAAACAUAUAUAGGCAAAACUCAUUCAUGGCAACGAGCGAAUUUUGAUGGGAUCUGACUUUUCAAAGGAUUAACCAGAGUAGAAAUGAUUUAUUUACAAAAACAAAGGCAGAACAGUAGAAAUGAAUAAGGAACCACAUUGUCUUUCAAAAUUUGGGACUAUUUGUUCCUUUCUUUAAUUCCUAUCCUUCAUGCUCUCCGAACAGCUCCGCCCAUAAGGUAGAUCUAUAGCAUUCGGCAGCAAAAUUCUCAUAUGCUAUUGGUUUGUACAAUACAACUUUCAAAGCAUGUGGAUUGUUGGCUUCAAGACAUUUUGUGAAGAAAUGAUAAUAGAUAAAAUGGGUGAAGAAAUGAAAAAGUAGCAUUAGUGAAGAACUUGAUGAUGAAUGUUGUGGAAAUAGGAAAAAUGAAUGCUAAACCAUACAUAUCUGGAGCGCUAGAGAGGGUUUUGACAAACGGUGAAUAAUCGGCUUUUUAGUGUUGGUAAAAGUGGUUGUGUCUCAGGUAUCGGUUGCGAUGUCAACUCGGCUAUGAGACGUGCUUCAGCUUGGGACGUGCUUCAGCUUGGGAGAGAAUUGGUUUUUCUCUUUUACGCGCCGGGGAUGAAUCAGAUAACUCAACAUAUUGAUAUGCAGGUGAGUUAGAGUGUUAUGACUUAUUAUCCUGUACGGGAAAAUGUAAUAUCAAACCAAUAGACAUAAGUUGUUACAGAACUAAAAACUUAUUCCCUAUCCAUUAUGAACAAUAGUGAAUAUAUGUUAAGCAAUACCUCGUUUCUUGUACCCCCACUAUUGGAACUAUGUGUAGGAGAUGAUUGGGGGUCUUUGUCAGCUUUGGAACUGAUAUCAAAUACAGGCUUCCCAAACACAACCAUUGCCUGAAAUAAGAAGAUAAUGUUAAAAACAAUCCAAACAGUGUUGUCCAAUAAAACAUACCAGAAAAGUAUGAUACUUGUUAUUGAUGUAUACUUUCAUAGGAUCAAUGUUGACUUCACAAACUCCUGAAUGAGAUGCUACAACCGUCUCCAUGGUGACCUGAAUGUUGAAGUACAAAAAAAGAUGGUGAGAAAAAAUAAGAAAAUAUUACCUGCAAAUUAUAACGUAUCCACAAACUUCUAUCAAAUAUAAAAGUGAACAUGCAAUCCUAAUUUAGUUUAGACAUAAGGAUGACCUUCUUUUUAAAAAACAUUGGAAACCCUAACAAUAAAUGAGAUGCUGGAGGCCUCUCUAUGGUGUCGUGAAUGUUGAAGUACACAAAAAGAUGGUGAGAAAAACAUAAGAAAAUAUUAUCUGCAAAUUUUAAAGUAUCCACAAACUCUUGUCAAAUAUAAAAUUGAACAUGGGAUCAUAAUUUAGUUCAGACCUAAUGUUGACCUUCUUUUUAGAGAACUUUACCCUGUGGAGCAUUUUUUCUAUAAAUGUUUGUUGCAUUAUGACUAAGAGAUGCAACAUACCUCUACAAUAUCUAAUAAAUCAAUAAAUGUAAAUGAUUAACUGAAACUAGUUAGAAAUGUAUACCUCCAUAGGAUCAUUGCCAAUCUUUACUUCGGGUUGCGCCUCCGACACUAAAUGCGAUGUUGCAGGCAUCUCCAAAGUAACCUGAAUGUUAAAGUACACAUGUAACUGGUUAGAAUAAAUAUAAGAAAUAUUGCCUACAAAUUAUGAAGUAUCCACAAAAUCAUGUCCAAUAACACAAAAACCGCAACCCGUAAAAUGAUACUUGUUAUUACUGUAUACCUUCAUAGGAACACCGUCGAUGUUGACUUCUGAUUGAGUCUCUAGCAAUGAAUGAGAUGCUGCAGCCGUCUCGAUGUUGUCCUGAAAGUUGAAGUCCCCAAAAAUAUGGUCAGAAAAAAUAAAAGAAAUAUUGCCUACAAAUUAUGAAGUAACCACAAAAUCUUGUCCAAUAACACAAGAACCGCAACCCAUAAAAUAAUACUUGUUGUUACUGUAUACCUUCAUAGGAUCACAAUCGAUGUUGACUACUGGUUGAGACUCUAACAAUGAAUAAGAUGCUGCAUUGCCCUAUGGAGAAUUGCCCUGUGGAGAAUUAUUUCUAUAAAUGUUUUUUUGGACAAGGACUGAGAGAUGAAGCAUGCCUCUCCUGUGUCCAAUAAAUCAAGGAACUAGUUAAAAAUGUAUACUUCCAUAAGAUCAUCAAGUUGUGGCUCCACCACUUAUUGAGAUGCUGCAUCCGCCUCCAAAGUGACCUGAAUGUUGAAGUAUACUUGUAAGUAUCCACAAAAUUUUGUCUAUAAUAACUAUGCACAUGUGCCAUUAUUUGGUUUAAGGACUAGGAUGCAGAAACUCUCCCCAAUGUGUUAUAUCAAAUUAUAUAUUAGCUUACCUCCGUCAUUGGAUCAUCGUCAAUGUUUUCUUCGGGUUGCGUCUCCAACACUGAAAGAGAAGCUUCAACCGUCUCCAAGGUGUCCUGAAUAAUGAAUUACAAACGAAUAUGGCUUAAGGACUGUGACAAUAAGUAUGUUUAAGGACUGGGAUGCAGCAACCCUCUCCGAUGUGUUCCCACAAAUUAUAUAUUAGCUUACCUCCAUAAUAUUAUCUUGCUCGAGAGGAGGUUGUUUUUUGUUGCUUAGGUUUGCACUUGAAUCAAACUGAUUGUAAAGUACAAUAGUCAAAGGUGUCAGAAUCUAUAAACUGUUAAAUAAAUUGUUUGAUUUGUUCUGUUUGUAUUUAUAAAAGUACCUGAAUUUUGCCCUCCUCAUCUGCUUCAUUGCCAUUUGGAUCUUUGACAUCAGUGUCAUAAAUUGGGUUGCCUUCUUUUGCAUCAUCCUUAUAAGAUUCCUGUGAUUCAUUUGGAGUAUGAUAGACGUCAAUGGUGUCAUCAGUAAUCACCUGAAACAAGAUUUGUUGACGUAAUCAAUUCUACCAAGGAGAUAUUGGAAAUUAAAUAUUACACUAACCGUGUUUGUCAAUGUGGUUCUAUAAAAGGAGUCCUCUUGAAACUUCUGGAAUUCAGCAUCAACAACUAAUAUACAAGCGGGGUGGGGGGGGGAAGAGGAGGAGAAAACAUCUCGUGAAUUAUCCUUUUGCUCAAAUUGAUGUUAUCAAGAGUGAACUUUUUUGAUUAAGUACAUAUAGAUGUGGUAACAGAAUAAUCAAUAAACACAUAAGGUUGAACCAGCAGACCUCAAAAUCAAAUUCCUCAUUCUGGUGCUCAGACAGCGUGUGUGAAUGAGAUGGAUUCUAUGAGGAAAAUAAAGAACCUAAGGGGUUUCAGAUUGGAUAGGUACCUCCAAUGACUUCUUGCGCUUUGAUCUAGAAGAACAUGGAACAAAACUGAAGGAGAGUUUUCUGGACCGCUUGAAUAUGAUAGCUUUUCUUUUCUUUUUAAGCUUCAUUACACGAUUUGAUAGCUCUUCCACCGUGUUUUGUAGUUCAACGAGCAACCUAGACUUCUCAUCAUGAGAUAGCUUUAGUUAUGGAUUAGUACGAGUUGAAUACCUAUGCCAUGAUUUGACAGGGUCAGACUUCACCCGUAGUCUCUUCUUACGAUCCACAAUGUGCUAUUUGUGAACAACAAAUAGCUUCUUCUUUGAGAUUUUAAUUGAUGGCAAUGUGCAUCACCUCUUGGCCAUUCGCUUUUUUUGAAUUGAUGAGAUGUCAGUAUCGAAUCUUUCAUGUGCGCAACUUUCAUAUCUUUCACCUCAUCAUCCCACUCUGUCCAACUUUGGUGAACAUUAAUAUCUUCAACUAUAAGCGGAUCCACUAGUCUCUAUUGAAAAAUAGAAGGUUAUUAUUAGUAAAUAAGACUGGAUAUAUAGAAAGAGAAUAUUAUAGAGACCAUAUAGAAACUUUUGGGUUAAUAAAAAAAUACCUUAAGGUUGCUUUCUAAAGCGUGAAUAUGAGGAAGGGAUAUCUGUUGUGUUGGAUGAGUUAAAUUUUCCAAUGAAUGAUUGUCAAGGAGGUGUCGUCAAAGGACAACAAAUCUACCAUUCCAGGUAUGUUACGAAAUGCUAAGAGCUGCAGCGCAUGCGGGAACCUUUAAGACGGAAUGAGAUGUGUUGAAGUUGCUUCUCCAAAUUCUGAAUAGGAUCGUUUGUGAGCUGUCUUUUACCUGUGCACUUAUCGAGAAUCCGUUUCUCGGGUGUCAUCGCUUCUACCGUCUUCAUAAAUGACUCUCUACCACAAGGAAAUGAAAGGAAUUUCUCUAGAUCUGCCAACAUCUCUACAUAUUUAAAUGUAGGCCUACCAGUUUGGUUCGAUGCUAUGAGGACACCAUCUACAAUUAGUAGAAACGCGAGCUUCAGUUUGUGCUCAGAAGACAAUUUCUUGCGUCUCUUGGUUAGCAUGGCUGAUAUAUCCCCUAACGUAACCGUCUUGUCUGGACCAAUUAACUCGUUCCGGUAACUCUUCUUGCCAUCAUCAUAAACCGGAGUAUUUUCAGGGUCGUACUCCACCGGAAACUCCCCACAAGGCAAGCCAGCCAGGGAAGCAAAUUCAAGUAGUGAAAAUCACAUUGGGUGUGUCCAAAACUCAUACUUUUUCUUAGUAACCAACUUCCUACAUAGUAAGGCAUGAAUGACUUUACCCGAAGUCGCAACCCUACUAACCGACAAAUGGAAUAGAGAUCCAAAGCAUGACUGAAGAAUAAAAUCGAAUUUCUCUGUCUCAUCAAAAACCUUCCGGACAAAGGAUAGAAUAUCUAGUCUAGAGUAUACAUUCAGCCUUCCCUUCGAAUAUUGAUCGCUGGCGAAGAGUCCAUUAGGAAGUUUUGAAUCCCCACUGAGAAUAUGUGAUGGGUUGAGUUGUUAAAUGGGUUAACCCAUUUAAAUAAGAAUUUAAUUAAUUAUUAUUGUAAAACAAAAAUAAAUAAUUAUCGUUAUUAAUAAUUAUUAUUUCAUUACGGAUUCUACUUUUACGGGUUUACGUUUUCGGCGGAAAAAUUACGGGUUUACUUUUUUGGCGGAAGAAUCAUGGGUUUACAUUUUUUUCGGGAAAAUUACGGGUUUAUGUUUUUGGCGGAAAAAUUACAGGUUUACGUUUUUGGCGGGAAAAUCACGGGUUUACGUUUUUUUGGCGGAAAAUAUUAUUUUCUAAUGUAAUUUAGCAAAUAUGAUUUAUUUAUAUAUAUAUAUAUAUAUAUAAUUAUAAAUAUCGAAUUAAUAUGUUUGAAUUCAAAAUUGGCUUAAAUAUUCUAAAUUUAUAUAAAUAACUGUAAUAACAUUUAAUUAAACCAUCUUUUAUGUUUCAUAAUUAAAAUAUAAAAAUAUUUUUAAACAUUAAAAAAUAAUACAUUUUUGGUUUGAUAUUUAAAUAUUAAUUUUCAUAACAUUUAUUAAUUUCCGCUUUGAAAAUAAUUCAUAACUUAAAUAUACAAAAUUAUUUUCGAAUCUUAUUUAAUUUGAUCUAUUUACGUGUAUUUAAUAUGAUUGAUUGAGUAUUCGAAUAUGAUAUAAAAAUUAUGAUUAUACUCCCUAAAUCUGAUAUUAUAAUCGUUUAAAACAAGCAUAUUCCACAAAUUUAUAAUUAUGUAUAUUUAAUAUGAAUGAUCAUUGAUUGAGUAUUCAAAUAUGAAAAUGAAAAUUUUCAUUUAUUUUUUUAGCAUUGCUCUCAAAGCUUAAAAGAAGAUUUCACUAGAAGAUUCAAAAUUUUAACCCUAAAUCGACAUCCUCUCUUCAUUAUAUAAGAUCAUCCAUAUCUUUCAACAAGACAUCCAUUGUUUUCUUCCCAGUUUUAUAUAAAUUAUUUAAUUAUGAUUUUGUUUAAUUUAAUUUAUUUGUUUUAUUUUAUGUUUCAUUAUUAACUAAAUUUUUCAUAUUCAGAUUAUAGCUCUCUGAUAUUUGGAAAAAUUCGACUAUAGAUCAUCACAACUAUCUUCCAAUGAAAAACAAAUUUAUAAGGUAUGCAAAAAAAUUUCUCAACCAUCACCACUUUUACUCAACCGCUCAUUGACUUUUUUUUAUAAAAACUUUUGACCUUAGAUUUUGUUUUAAUCUUGACUUGAAUAUAAAAAUAAUUCAUUAAGAUAUCAAUCUAAAUUUGGUCAAAAACAAAAAAUUAAUUAAAUGAUGAAAGAUCCAAUAUUUAUGGAAUAUACAAGAAAAAUACUUAUAAUAUUUAAAUAGAAAUUUAAAAUUCUGCCUACAAAACAUAUAUUAUAGAUUAUCACUUUUCAAUAAUUCUGAAGUAAAUAUUAAAAUAACAAUCGAAAAAUAGUUUAACAAAAAAGGAUUUGUUUUUUUUUUAAAUGUAACAUAUAUUUUAUUAUAUGAGGUAACUGAGCAUGGAAAAGGUUUUAGAGUUGAUAUGAAUGCAAAGAAAUGUGUGUGUAGGAGGUGGAGUAUGAUAUGAUUACCUUGUCGACAUGUACUACAAAUAAUAUUGGUAAAAAGCUGAAGCUUGAAGAUUUCGUUGUCUCAGAUUGGUAUUUGACUACAAGUUGGGUAAAUCAAUACAGUGAGACACUUAUGGGAGUAUAUGGAAUGGAUUUUUGGGGAAAAUCUAGGGAAUCUACAGUUCAACCACCAUCAAGGGAUAAGGGUCGUAAAAAGAAGCAGAAAAGAAUCAAGUUGAAAAAUGAGUCACCACAGAAGAAGAAGAUGAAAGAGAUAUGAGCAAAUCAACCUCCUCAGAAAAUGCAAAAAUUGACAAGACAAGGAGUGACUCUUCAUUGUGGACAUUGUGGAUCAACAAGCCAUAACAUAACAAGGUGUAACAACAUAGGAGUCCCAGUGAAAAGCUAACCAAAGAAGCAACAAGAGGCAAAUUCUUCCUAUAUUCUUAGGAACCUCCAUCCUCCAAAUUAUAGUCCAAACACAAGUUUGUAGUAUCUUUGGAAUAUUUAAUGGUUAAUAGUAUUUCUGAUUUUUAUUUAUUUUUAAUUCGCAGUAUUUUUCAAAAGACCCGUGCAAUGCCAAUAUAUACCACGGAUUAAAUAUUAGUGCUGGAACUAGAUAUUUUGGUCAAAAAUUUAAAGGUCUUAUAUAUUGAAGGCAAAAAAGUAGAGAAUUGUUGAUAAAUUUAAAAUGGUAAAUGAACGGGCAAGCAGACAAUAACACCUCAAUAUGGUGUUUAGGUAACUCAAUUAGAGAAUUUAAAAAUGAAAGAAGUUUGAACUAUUUUUUCAUAAUGGUGCAUGAACAGAAUAUGAAAAUGCUCUUCAAAGUACAUCCCAAAAUAUUAAGACAAUUUACUAUGUCAAUAAAGAAAUGUUUGAACUAUGUCUUUCGUAUAAAAAUAUAUGUAUGUAAUGUAUUAGCAGAUGAAGAAGAAUAUUGAAUGCUCGUUGAAAGGAAAUAAAUACUCAUAAAGUUUGAAGAGCCAAAUUAAGAAAGAAAAAACUCUUCUGAUCCAUGGAUUCAUGUCCGUUUAUAUAUAUAUAUAUAUAUAUAUAUAUAUGCAUGUGAAAGCAGCAAAUGCAUGUAGACGUGAUGGAGGUUUCACACAGUUUACACUGUAGCCAUUACAAUAAUAAACAACAAAUACUUCUGGUAGGAGAAGGAUAUUUCUCUUUUUUUUGUAUCUUGCAAGAGCCUUUGGUUCGGGUACUAGCAUAACUGUAAAUUCUUUCGAUACUCGAGGUAGAAACAGAUAUCAUUGUAGUAUAGACAUUUCCUUAUAAUCUAAAGUAUAAAAAAAUUGUUUGACCAUCAUUGUUACUUUGUCUGUGUUAUUAUUUGCCAUUAUAUGAUGAUUACAAUAUCAGAACACGUAAAUUUGCGGUUAUAGCAAUCAUACUUGUUGAGUGUUGUAGAGGAGUUAAAGGUGAAGUGCAAGAAUGCGAAGACAAAUGUAGAAGAGUUGGAGAGACUUGGAUGCAUUGUGGUCCAUGGUGUUAAUGUGCACUCCAUGAGCAUAGAUUGCAGGGUUGUUGGAACGAUUCUAUAUGAUAGAAUCAUCUUCAAUUUUUCUCAUGUAUGGUUUUCUUUUGGUCGUGAGCAUGAGAGCUACAUCAUCUCAUAUGAUUUUUUGUUGUACAUAUAUAUAUGGUCGCUGUUAUUGUUUAUGGUGUUUUAAACAAAUAUUUCCGUACUUGUGAGAGAAGACACAGGAAACACCAAAAACCGGUGGAAGGUUUUUUCAGGAGUGCUAGAGUGAUGCUUAAAGACCAAUAUGGAGAGAUUCAUGUGACUCAUAAGAUGGUUCACUCAUUUAAGGAGUGGAGGAUACUGGUUCUGGGUUUUACAUUUGGUUUUCGUUGUCACAGAGAAGUGGAAAUUAACGCAUGCAAUAUCUAGGUUACACUAAUAAGAGAGGAGGUGGAAGUGACUAUGACUCUAGUUUCCCUGUUGGACAAGCUUCUACUUUCAUGUUUAGGAAAUUCUAAAGGAGAGUUGAUAUGAAACCACUCAUUUUGUAGAAUUCUUUUAAAUUAUAUGAUUUGUUUGUCCACCAGAACUAAUCAAUCUUAUGAGUAUCAUAGGUAUCUGGAUCAUGUCUGAAUACCAGUACCACAAGAUUUUGUGUCAUAAUGUAUUUCGAGUUUUAGAAAAUUAAUUUCUAUGUACUUUUAAAAUUUGUUAUAAGGCAUGUCCAUGGUUUUUUUCCUUCUUAUGUAUAUAACUCCAACACUUUAUAUAACUACAAAUUUAAUAAUAGAUGGAGAGACAAACAAACAUAGAUGGACAUUUUUGGGAUUAUGAAAAUUAUUAAGCAAUCAGUUAUUUGGGCAAUAAAUAAAAAUUAAUGGAGGUUAUCCUAGCUAAUCAUAAUAAUAAAAAAAAAGUGGGUAAUCUUAGGUAAAUUUUAGUAUAUGAGUCCAUUUACACAUAAAUGAUUAGAUUAAUUAGGAUAACCUCCUUUAAUUUUAAAUUGGGAGAUAAAUGGAAAAACAUUGAGAUAAAAUGAAAACUGUUACAAAUAAUUGAUGGAUGCCCAUUAUAAGGCCUAUCUUCUAGAAUUCUCUAGAAUUAUUUGUAUCUAGAAUUUUAUUUUGUCACCAAGUAAAAUUCUUCACUUGUACUCCUAUAUAAAGGACCCUUUAUUCAUUGGAAUAAUACACUCAUUUUGUACAAUCUCUUUCUCUAGUUACAACACGUUAUCAGCGCGCUUUAAAAGAAACAAUGAAUGGUGGAGAAAUAUGCUUGGCAGACAAUGCAACUAAUCAUACUAUUUUAAAAAAUAAGAGAUAUUUCUCUUUUUUGACAAUGAAAGAAGCAAGUGUAACUAUCGUAACAGGUAGUGCAAAGAUAAUUGAAGGCUUUGGAAGAGCAAAUAUAGCAAUGCCUAUGGGAACAAAAUUAGAGAUUGUGGAGGCCUUAUACUCUCCUAAAUCUCAAAGGAACUUAUUAAGUUUUAAAGACAUCUGCAGAAAUGGAUAUCAUAUUGAGACUAUAAGCGAAGGUAGUAUCGAAUACCUUCGAAUCACAAGUAAUAUCCAAGAAUCUCAAAAUAUUCAGGAAAAACUACCUGCUUUCUCCACUGGUUUAUAUUAUACUACAAUUAAUACAAUUGAAGUAAAUGCUACAGUAAACCAGAACUCUACAGAAAACAUUAAAGUUUGGCAUGACCGGUAGGCCAUCCCAGUACAAUAAUGAUGCGAAAGAUAAUCACGAAUUCAUGUGGACAUUCAUGAAAGAACCAAUAGAUUCGUCCUAAUGAUUUUUCAUGUGUUGGUUGUUCACAAGGCAAGUUGAUUAUACGGCCUUCACCAGCUAAGAUAAAUUUCGAAUCAAUCAAUUUUUUGGAAUGAAUACAAGGAGAUAUUUGUGGGCCGAUUAACCCAUCAUGUGGAACUUUAUAAUCCUUUAUGGUUUUAAUUGACUCAUCUAGAAGAUGGUCGCAUGUAUCCCUAUUAUCAACUCGAAACCUGGCGUUUGCAAGAUUGCUUGCUCAGUUGAUUAGAAUACGAGCAUAUUUUCCAGACUUUCCUUUAACAAAAAUGUGUCUUGAUAAUGUUGGUGAAUUCACAUCUCAAGCUUUUAAUGACUAUUGUAUGUCUAUUAGGAUAAGUGUUGAACAUCCUGUAGCACAUGUUCACACACAAAAUGGUUUAUCAGAAUCACUAAUCAAGUGUCUUCAAUUGAUUGCUAGACCAUUACAAAUGAAAUCAAAACUCCCAAUAUCUGCUUGGGGACAUGCUAUAUUACAUGUAGCAUCAUUGAUUCGCAUCAGGCCAACAAGUAAUCAUAAGUUCUCUCCAUCUCAACUGGUUCUCGGUGAGGAACCAAAUAUUUCUCAUCUCAAAGUUUUUGGAUUGUGCUCUAUAUGUUCCAAUUGCUCCACCACAGCCAUAUAAGAUGGGACCUCAAAGAACGUUGGGAGUAUAUGUUGGUUAUGAUUCCCCAUCAAUAAUUAAGUAUCUCAAUCUAUCUAUAGGAGAUUUAUUCAAAGCUCGAUUCGUAGACUGUCAUUUUAAUGAGUCUGUUUUCCUAACAUUAGGGGGAGAAAAUAAAUAGUCGGGAAAAGAUAUAGUUUGGAAUGAAUUAUCAAUGUCUUAUCUUUAUCCUCGGACUAAAGAGUGUGAAUUAGAAGUCCAAAAGAUAAUUCAUUUACAGAGUUUAGCAAAUCAGCUGCCAGAUGCAUUCAUUGACCCAAAAAGUGUGAUCAAAUCACAUAUACCGGCUGCAAAUGCUCCAAUAAGAAUAAAUAUCCUAGAAGGACAAAAUCAAACUGUAAAUGAGUCUAAGACAUGUUUAAAGCGUGGUAGACCUAUUGGUUCCAAAGAUAAAAAUCCUCGAAAAAGAAAAGGGGCAAAAAUUGGCAUAGGUAAAACAGAGGAUAUAAUUACAAAUGAAGAAUCUCCAGAAGAGAGCUUAGACAUGACACAUAAAGAAAUUCAGGUACCUGACAAUGAAGAGAUCUCAAUUACUUAUGUCAUGUCUGGAAUAAAAUGGAACCAAAAGCAAAUCGAUAUCCAUGAUAUUUUUGCAUGCAAUGUAGCAGUUGAUGUUAUGGAUGAGGAUCAUGAACCAACAUCUAUUGAAGAGUGUACACAAAUAAGUGAUUGGCCAAAAUGGAAUGAAGCAAUAGAUGCUGAAUUAAAAUUUCUUGCAAAGAGAGAAGUGUUUAGACCAGUAGUCCGUACAUCCAAAGGUGUAAAACCAGUUGGACAUAAAUGAGUUUUUGUACUAAAGAAGAAUGCAAAUGGUGAAAUUGUGAGGCGUUUAGUCGCACAAGGAUUCUCACAAAGACCAUGAAUUGACUAUGAAGAGACAUGGUGACUUGAUUUACGUUUGAUGGAUGUUGUCACAACCUAUUUAUACGGUCUACUAGAAAAUGACAUUUAUAUGAAAGUCCGAGAAGGAUUAAAAAUGCCUCAAGCAGUAAAUUCAAAUUCUCGAGAACAAUACUGCAUAAAAUUAAAUUGAUCCCUUUAUGGAUUAAAAGAAUCAGGGCGUAUGUGGUAUAAUCGCCUUAGUGAGAACUUGCUAAAAGAAGGCUACAAAAAUGACCCUGUUAGUCCAUGCAUCUUUAUAAAAAUUUUGGGAAAGGAUUUGUUAUAAUUGCAGUUUAUGUUGAUAAUUUAAAUAUUAUGGGAACUAUUGCAGAGAUCUCAUUCACUGUAGAAUAUUUAAAGAAAGAAUUCGAGAUGAAAGAUCUUGGAAAAACGAAAUUUUGUUUAGGACUACAAAUCGAACACCUAAAGAACGUAAUUCUGGAGUAUCAAGAGACAUAUACCAAAAAUGUUCUCAAAAGAUUCUAUAUGGAUGGAGCAUACCCCUUGAGUAGUCCAAUGGUUGUAAGAUAACUUGAUGUGGAUAAACAUCCAUUCCGUCCUUGGGAAAACAAUGAAGAAGUUCUUAGUCCUGAAGGACCAUACUUAAGUGCAAUAUGAGCACUGAUGUAUCUUGCUAGUCAUAUAAGACCUUAUAUAUCAUUUGCGGUGAAUUUAUUAGCAAGGUUCAGCUCAUGUCCAACUUGAAGGCAUUGGAAUGGAAUUAUACAUAUACUUUGUUACCUCCAAGGUACGAAAGACAUGGGUCUGUAUUUUCCUAACAAAUCCAAGUAGCGAGUGCGAGUGUGUAUGGCUAAGAUCCAUAGUUCACCAUAUACAAGAAGAUUGUGGUUUGUAUGCAGGGAAAAAGGCUCCAACAAUUAUGUACGAAGACAAAUGCAGCAUGCAUCCCACAACUCAAAGACGGAUACAUUAAAGGUGAUAGAACAAAUGCAGCAUGCAUCCCACAUUCUUCUUCACACACGAUCUACAGAAGAGCGGCGAUGUAUGAGUUCUACCGAUCCGUUCGAACGAUAAUCUGGCUGACCUAUUCACCAAGGCUCUACCUACUGCUACUUUCAAGAAUUUCGUCUAUCGUAUCGGAUUACGCCGUCUCAAAGAUCUCGACGUAUAUACUCAUAAGGGGGAGUAAUGGCGUGUUGCACUCUUUUUCCCUUAAUCAUGGUUUUCCCAAUGGGAUUUCUUGGUAAGGUUUUUAAUGAGAUAUCAUUUCAGAUGCACUACGAGCUAUGGUACUAUAAUGGUCAUCAAGGGGGAGUGUUAUGAAUAAUAGAUGGAUGCCCAUUAUAAGGUCAAUCUUCUAGAAGUUUCUAGAAUUACUUGUAUCUAGGGUUUUACUUUGUCACCAAGUAAAAUCCUUCCCAUGUACUCCUAUAUAACGGACCCUUUAUUCAUUGAAAUAAUACACUCAUUUUCUACUAUCUCUUUCUCUAGUUACAACAACAACUAAAAAGUUAAAAGAAUACUAUACAACAAUAAGCAAAAAUAAUUCUGACCAAAGAUUGUAAGUUUAGUCAACGAUCAGAAAUUUAUGAUCAUUCAGGGUUUGGUUUUGGAUAUGGGUACCAGAGCUAGGUACUACAUCAUGUAGAGUGCGAAAAAUAUGGUAAAAGACGUCAGUGGAGUCAUGUUACUCAUAAGAUGGCUCAUGCAUCCAUUUGACAAGUGAGAGAUCAAGAUUGUCUAGCUGAAGAAAGCGUUCAAUCUGUGUUUGAUCCGGGAGGUGGAGUUUCACCAAUUAUGUUUUCUUGGUUACUCAAAUAAGAAAGGAAGUGGACGCCGCUGUGACUCUAGCUUUCGUUUCAGAAAAUCUUCUACUUUCCUGUUUCAAAAACGAAGUCUUAAAAACAAAAUCUGUUGAAGUGUGUUUUGGAUUACUUUUUCUUUGUGAUGAAGAUAUGAAACUUACUAAUUUGUAUAUAUGUUGUUACUGGAUAACUUUCAUGGGACAAGGAUAAUAGUUUUUUUUAACCUCUUCAGAUCGACAAGCCCGAUCCACAGUUAAUCUCUACUACACGGAUAAGACGAUUUACUGGAUUCGAAUUCCGAUAGAAAAAGCGGAGUGUAAUGGAGCUAACCACUUGACUAAACACUAUUGAAUUAAACACCUUAGAACCUAGAAGAUUGCAAGUAUAAAAGACUCUUUCUUUUAUUAGUUAAGGAAAAUAACUCAAAACCUAAACCUUACAAAUCUCUCAAGUUCUCAAAACACACACAAGUUAUGUCACACUUUGACAUCUCCUUAUAUAGAGAACUCUUAUACUUAAUCCAAAUCUAAUUAGGAUUGUAUUUAAAUAACUCUUAAACACUUCGUUAGAUAACUCCUAAAGACCGAAAUAUUAUCUCUUUAAUAACUUAUAUCUUAAGUUAUCUUCAAGCUUACUUCAACAUUCUUCCCCUUAAGCUUGAACUCACAUUUCACCACAUCUUGAACUCCAACAAGAUCUCUCAUUUCCUUGAACUUUAUCCUUGCAAGCGCCUUAGUUCAGAUAUCGGCUCUCUGCUCCUUACCGGGAAUGUGCUCUACUUCAACUUGCUCAUUCAUAACACAUUCUCGGAUAAAGUGAUAUCUCUUGUAUAUACGUUGGCUUCGACCAUGAAAAACAGGAAUCUUUGUAAGAGCUAUUGUUGACUUGUUGUCGAUUAGAAUGGAACUUUCUUACACGAUUCUCCAGUGAUUUCUCCGAGAAGCUCUUGAAGCCAAAUGGCUUGUUUUGCUGCUUCAGCGGCAGCCAUAAACUAAGCUUCACACGAUGACAAAGCCACGUUUUCUUGUUUCUACGAACACCAACUUAUGGGACAGUUGUUAAGGUAAAAGAUGUGACCUGUUGUGGUUCUACCAUCGUCUUCAUCAACGUUGUGGUUGCUGUCACUGAAACCUAUUAACUUUGUUUAAUUCAUCCGCUCAAAACAGAGUCCAUAGGGCGGAGUUCCUUUUAGGUACCAAAGAACUUGUUCAAGUGCUACUCCAUGGGAUUCUUUUGGCUCAUACACGUACCUGCUAAGAACUCUGACAAUGUAAGAGAGAUCCGGUCUUGUGUGAAGUAGGUAUCGAAGACAACCAAUGUUUCUCGUGUACUCCUUCUCAUCAAUGCCGUUUUCUCCUUGUGCUUUACAUAGUUGACAUUCACAUCCAUUAGAAUAUACACUACAUUACAAUCAUCUAUUCUUGCUUCUUCGAGAACCUUUGAUGCAUAUCUCUCUUGUUUUAGCAUACUCCCUUCUUCAUGUUGAAUUACUUUAAUGCCUAGGUAGUAAGUUAGCUUUCCAAGGUCACUCAUCUCGAAUUUUCCCGCCAUUCCUUCUUUGAAUUCUAGUAUUACUUGUAAGUUGGACCCUGUGACAAGUAAAUCGUCGACAUAGACAGCUACAACAAGAAACUCAUCAUUCUCCCUCUUUUGAUACAGAGAUGGUUCCUUGGAAUACUUAACGAAUUUUUGCCCCAGAAGAAUCUUGUUCAAUUUGUUGUCCACGCCCUAGGUGCUUGUUUAAGUCCAUAAAGUGCUUUGUUCAGUUUAUAGACUUUAUUUUCGCUUCCCUCUAUCACAAAACCUUCAGGCUCAGGCUACGAGACGUAGACCCGUUCUUUCAACUCACCAUGAAGAAACUCUGUUUUCACAUCAAGAUGAUGUACCUCCCAUCCUCUAGCUACUGCUAACGCAAUGAUAAGUCGGAUUGUUUCAGUGCGAGCCACAAUAGCAAACACUUCAUCAAAGUCAACACCAUGUCUUUGCACAUAACCUUUAGCCACAAGUCUUGCUUUGUGUUUAUUUAUACUUCCAUCCGAGUUUUGUUGGAUCUUAAAGACCCAUUUCAGUCCAAUUGGUUUAGCUCCUGUAGGAAGACCAACUAAAUCCCAAGUGUGGUUCUUUUCAAUCGAUGAGAUUUCUUCUACGCACGCUUGUGUCCAUUCCUUUGACUCCUUUGCGUCAUUGAAGUUCCAUGGCUCUUCGUUUAUUGCAAACAAGAGUCUCUCGCAUUCUGUUUGAUCCAUCAAGAUAUAGUCAUGUAAGUGUCUUGGCCUUGAAGUCUCUCUCUGCGACCUUCUUAAUGUUGUUUGUGGUGGUGCUUGUUGUUCUUCUGUUUAUGUGUCAAGAGUAGGCGGCACAUGUUCCUCGACUGGUUCUGUAUCAUGACUUUCAUCCCUCUUGUGAUUCUCUGUUUCUCCAUUGACUUUGGCUUCCCUUAUACCAUUGUUUCCAAAUUCACCAAAUGAUAAACUGAACAAACCUGAGUCACUAUUAGUUUCAUCUUUAUCAUUACUCCACCUCCAGCUCUUAGUCUCAUCAAAAACAACAUAUCUACUCACUACUACCUUCUUCUUUGUUGGAUCCAAUAGACGAUAUGCUUUCGAGCCGGGCUCUGUUCGGAGGUGUACUAGCAUUCGUGAGCAAUCAUCCAACUUCUUUAAGUUCACAGUCUCUACUUUUGCGUACCCAAUGCAACCAAAUACCCGUAAGCGCUCAACGUUCGGUUUCUUUCCUAUGAAGGCUUCGUAUGGUGUUUGGUUAACUAAGGUUCUCGUUGCCACUCUAUUUAUGAGAUAGGUUGCAUGUCUCACCAUAGAUAGUUUGGAAUAUUCAUUAACGGUUAUUUUUUCCGUUAGUGUCUUUUAUCGCAACUUCUCAUACAACUGUAUUUUUUAUCUAAACAGUUGUGUCUAUUAAAAUAUUGACAGUUACUCUUUUACAUUCGUGUCUUUUAAUCGUAAACAUUAGAUUACUAAUUAAAUAUCGGAAAUUUUGCUUAAAUCAAAAAAUAUCACAUUUAAUAUCAAAUUUUUUAUAGAUUACUAAUUUACUACUCGAAAUUCAAAUACUAUCGAUUAAUAUUUAAAUGUAUAUAUAUUACAUCCGUCUAUUUAGGUGGGCUUUAUCUAGAUAAGAUGAAAGUACAGUUUUACAAGUUACAAACUCAUAUGAUUGUGCCACGUGUCAAAUAUAACGAUCAGAUGUUUUACUGUAUCACUAAAAAUUUAAUUUUUUUAUUUUUUUUUUUAAAAUAAAAAAACUAAAAAAGUAAACAAAUUUACAUAUACUAAUUUUAUUAUAUAUAUAUAUAUAUAUAGACAAAUAUUUUGAUCAACCUAAAGGAAAAUUUACAAAUUUGUUACUACAUGUGUUAUUGGUCGAUUAAAUAAGUCUAAAAUGUAUUAAUUCAAAAUAGAAUCAUUAGUAUGAAUAAUCUAUACUAUAUAAAAGUUGAAGCUAUUUGCUUAUAAAGACGUCCACAUAGGAUAUAGAACGACUAAUCGGGGUUGGACAUGUCAUUAAUUAACAUUUUUUUACCAUUUUAUUGAUUAACUUUUAUAAAUUUUACGAAUUUUCUAUAAUAAGAUUAUUAUAUGGAAAACAAUAUAUAUGGAAAGAAGAGAUAUGACAACUUUUGAAAAUAUAGCAUAUGGAAAUAAGAAAAGUGUAAAAUUGUUUAGGCUAUUUGCUCUUUACGGCGUCCACAUAGAAUUUUAAACAACUAAUUGCAGUUGAAGAUGUCAUUAAUUAGCAUUUUUAGCCAUUAUGUUAAUUUACAUUUUUAAAUUUUAACAAAUUUCUAUGUUAAAAUAUUUAUGAAAAGAAAAAAAGAUAUGGAGAUAAGAAAAUGUAUUAUUUGAUUAGUAUAUUAUAGAAAUAUUAAUGUCAUUGUUAGUGUCACUAUGUUAGCUUCCAAAUAAAUUAAAAAAAAAUCUUAAUUCUAAAAUAAUAUAUAUAAUAAGAAUUGGAAAAAAAAUCAAAUAUAAAAAUAAAUUUUCUAAAACUCUAUACUAUAGAAAAGUCGAAGCUUAUGAGCCUCUAAAGACAUCCACAUAGGAUUUUAAACAACGAAUUGCGGUUGGACAUUGUCAUUAAUUAGCAUUUUUAGUCAUUCUGUUAGUUUACAAUUUUAACUUUUUAACAAACUUCAAUAUUAAGAUAUUUAUGAAAAAGAAAACAAGAUAUGGAAAUAAAAAAACGUAUAAUUCAAUUAUAUAAUGUUGAAAUAUUAAUGUCAUUGUUAGUCUCACUAUGUUAGCUUCCAAAUAAAUUAAGAAAAAAUCCUAAUUCUAAGAUAAUAUAGAUAAUUAGAAUUGGAAAAAAAUCAAAUAUAAGAAGAAGUUUUCUAAAUAUUAACAAAAAGAUAGUAAUAAACAACCGUGCAGAAAUUUUCCGGAAGUUUGAGAAAAUUAAAGUUUAAACAAAAAGAAAAAGCUUAAUGACUUAAAGAAAAACUUCUUCUUAACAACCAUGGAAAUUAAUAAAGUCUUAAAUAAUAAAGCAGUGGUGUCUAUAUAAAUAAACAUCUAUGGACCAUUGAUGAUAGUCGAUCAAAGAUUUUACUUUGAAAAGUUUAAACAACUAAUUUAUUGACUUAACUAAGCGACCUCUCGACAAACUUGAAAAAAGCUUUUACUAAUAAGAAAAGGAAGAAACUUUUAAAGAAUCAUAUAUAUGAAAGUUGAACAACUCUCUCCAUAUGAGUGACACAUCAUCACACAAGAAAAUGACAUGUGUGAUUCUACAUUAAUUAAAUAAAAAGAUUAAAAACUAUUUGAGGAAAAAUUCUUUUGUUGUAUUAAAUCCACCAUUAAUCUCACUCUUAAAUAAAUAUUCUAACUAUACAAAUAUAAUUACAUAAAAUGAAUAUAACUUUAUUAACUACAUAAUAACAUACACGAAAAUAACAUAAAUUAAUAAUAAAAAUAGUUAAACAUAAUUAUUUUUAAACAAAUUUCAAACAACAACCAACAAAAUGACAAUCACAAUGUGAAUCCAAACUUUAAUCAUGAGCCUAUCACAAUGUUACUGAAGUACAUAAAACAAGGAAAUGAUUAUUUAUAAUCGAGUUAGGCAAAUAUUAAACCACAAAAAUAACAUAGUUACACAGAAUUGUAUUAAAAUAUCAUUAUUGUUGUUAUAUGUAUUCAUAAAGUGAAAAAUAUUAAAAUUUUAUAAAUAAUCAACUUUAUACACAAAAAUAUAUAAAUUGAUAUUUCGAGUCACAAAUGAAUCUAACCAUAAAAAUUGUAACUACAUAUUAUGGAUCUAAUUUUACUAAUAAUACAAGAAUAAACAAAUAGUAAAUAUAAAUUAGCAAAAAGAACAAUCAAUGUAAUUUUUUUUUAACAAUUUUCAAAACAGAUCCACGCGUAGCAUGGGUACUCAUCUAGUAUAUAUGAAGGUAGGCUAUGUGAAAAUUUUGGAAGGUAGGCUAUGUAUUGUUUAAACAAAAUCAUAAGAGGAUGGAAAGAUACACCCGUUAAAAAAAAGUGUGUGAAAUUUUUUUUAAAAAACAAAUUAUUUCUAACUCUUUUUUCUCGAUAGAUAAUCAAGCCUAUGGCGUCAAUGUUUUUUUGCUGUUGAUGUCGAUGGAAGUCCAUCACGAGAUUAAUAAUAUUUUAUACUAACAUAUCUUGGCCCACAUUAAGAAGCCCACCAAGAUUCUCAAGCCCACUAUAGGCCCAUCAGCUUUUUAUUUCUUCAAUUGAGUUUGACGUGUUAACUAUAUAGCCGGAAGGUACCAAAAUACUUUUCGAAGCUUUGACCUAACUUGGAGAUGAGAGAUUUAACAACAGCGAUGUCCGAUCUUCCACGAGAUUUGGAAGAGGAAGUGCUCUCUAGGGUCCAGUUAGCAUCUCUUAGAGCAGUGCGAACUACUUGCAAAAAGUGGAACCGUCGUUUAUCCAAAUAUCGCUUUACAAAGAAGUAUAUUCGUAAAUCAAGAUCAGCAACGGCGGAUAAAGAGUUUUUAGCGAUCAUGAUGUUGGAUUCUAGUCUAUAUCUAAUGAAUGUUGUUAUUGACAAGAUCGACAACGAAAACAACGUUGAAUCAUCUAUAGAGAGAAAAGGUAAACUGAUUAGCGUAAACGACGCAGAUGGAGUCGAUAUAAUAAGCGUCGUCCACUAUAAUGCUUUGUUGUUAUGCCUCACCAAAGAAAAAACACCGAAGGCUUGUGGUUUGGAACCCUUGUCGUGGGCAAUCAAGGUGGAUCGAAACUGCUUAUCGUUGCGGUUUAUUUGAAUAGUCCAAAUGCUUCUUCAAUUUUUAACCAUUUUAUUUGAUGUUGCGAGCGAUGACGAUGACACGAUCGGCAGCAAACCCAAAGUGAAAUGUAGCCGUCACAAAUGACUUGGAAAACCAAAGCUACAGGGUGUCUCCCCCGAAACUUUAAGAGAUAAGUUGGAAAAACAUACGUUUUUCAAACUUAAUUAUCAAAGCAGUACGGUUCCUAUUCAUAAUUGGAGAUUUCAGCGGGACCACCGUUGUGUCCAAUACAGAUAAAGUGGGGUAUGUUUUCUUUUGUGGAAAUUACGUAUAAGGGCUUCCAUUAUUUUUAUGAGAAAACGAAACCCUCUGGCCGAGUUCGGGUUUUUGUUUUGUUAAGUCAUAGUCAAAGUUAGGAAACGUCUGAUCGUUAUGGGCUCAACGAAAUCGUAAAUGGACCUUAAACGGAAAUUCUUCUUAUCUUAGAAACGAAGUACGUGUUGAAGUCAACUUGUCUUCCUCGUCGACAAAUUCAAUGACGGAGUGGGAGCUGAAAGAAACGACGGAAUUUAUGAGAUUUUCAAAUCAACGAAAUUAGUUAACAGGUUGGUGAAUAAAAUGAUUUAAUACUCAGACUCUCUUUAGUUUUUUUUUUUUGAAAUUAGCUAAAUUUUUGGAUUGGCAGUUUAGAUGCUUUAAAUCUUUAAGAACUAGUGAUAAAUCUGUGAAUCUUUUUGUGUGUUUUAGAGAAGGUGAUUCAGUUAUAGUCGACACUACUUCUGAAGCUGGAAAGACUUGCACAACCAUUGCUAAGUGUUUAGAAGCUGGAGAAUCAUCAUCUACAAGUAUUGUACAGACUAGAGUUAAACCCCUUGCUGCAGUGGAAGGAGGAUACUUUGCUGGUCUGUUAUCUUCUGUUCAAGUUAAUACCACUGUCUAUCCUCCCAACCCUCAGUUUGCUAUUGUUCAGAGUACAGAUGGUUGUAAAACAUCCAGUGAAUGGGGCAUAAGCGAUGAACUUCUGUUAGAAGCCCUAGAAGCAGUGGAGAACUCAACUAAUGGUGUGAAUACAUCUAUAGCGGUAGAAGUUCUUGUGUCGGGUGAUGACUAUGAGUUCUUAGGAAACUCUGAUGAUUAUUUCUCUCUCAGUACAGGGAGUGAAUCAGAAGAUGAUGAGUUCGAUGACGAUAACCACACUACAGGUCCGCUUCAAGCUGGGAAAGAAACCGUUGUAUAUGGAGACAAUGGGGAUGAUGAUUUUGUUAAGCAGCCCCCUAAAAAGAAAGUCAUGCAAAAAGAAAGUAAUGUUGGUGCUAUGAAAGAGUUUCUGGAAACAUUUCAGAAAAGUAUAAGCAUUGAUCAAGUGUAUGGGUACGACGAAAUUGAGCCAAUGUUUGGAGAUGAUGAUAUGGAUGCAAAAGCAGCUCAUGUUAACUUGAGCAAAGAGAAUGACAAUAUGUUUGUCGGAAGGACCUUUGCAUCAAGGGAAGAUUUCAGGAUUGCCUUGUCCAUUUAUGCCAUAAACUUUAUUUUCCGCUUCAAAUUUACUAGGUAUGAGAAACAUUACUUGGUUGUUGAAUGUUAUGAUAAACAAUGCUGUGAUUGGAGAGUCAGAGCACACCAAGUUGGGGACAGUGAAGAGUAUGAGUUCAGGAAGGCAAAGUCGGAACAUAUGUGUAAGGUUGAGACUAGGAGCCGCUUUUCAAAACAUGUUACUUCUAAGGUUAUAGCUGCAUUCCUAAGGGCUAAGUAUGCGAAGGCGUUCUGUGGGCCAAGAGCGAGAGACUUACCCGAUUCUCUGUUGAGGGAGCACAAUGUGCGGAUGACGUAUUGUGGAUGUUGGAAAGCUAAAGAACUGGGUGUUGAGACAGCUCAGGGCACAAAUGAGAGCUCUUUCUCCUUGUUACCAGUAUAUCUUCACGUCUUAUAACUUGCAAAUCCUGGCACAAUUUAUCAUUUGGAAACAGAGUUGGUAUUGGUGAUGAGCGAUUCAAAUAUGGUUUCCUAGCAUUGGGGGCUAGUGUAAAAGGGUUAAUAUAUCUUCGGAGAGUCAUUGUAGUAGAUGAUACACACCUUUUUGGUAAGUUUCUUGGCUGUCUUCUUACCGCUAGUUGGCAGGAUGCAAACUUUUAGAUUUUCCCAAUAGCUUUCUGUAGUGGACAACGAGACUGAUGAAUCAUGGACAUGGUUCAUGAAUAAGCUUUCAGAAAUAAUCAAAGAUGGCCCAGACUUGACAUUUGUCUCAAAUUGCAAUCAAUCAAUAUUCAAAUCCGUGAGUCUUGUGUUCACUCAAGCACACCAUGGAGCUUGUUUGGUCCACAUAAGAAGGAAUGUUAAAGGAAGGUAAGGAAAGAAGAGUGGCCUUCCAGCUUUAGUGUGGCAAGCAGGUAACACAUUUCGGCUCAAAUAUUUUAAUAAUGUAUGUGAAAGGAUCAAGAAAAGGAGUAUGGGCUGUUGGAAAUAUAUAGAAGAAAUGGGUCUUGCGAAUUGGAGUAGGGUUCAUUUUACAUGGGAGAGAUAUAAUUUGAUGUCUAAUAACAUUGUUGAGUCUUUGAACAAUGCUUUACUACCAGCUAGGGGAAGUCCAGUUGUGGCAUUGCUUAAAUUUAUAAGGAAAAUGCUUGCUAGGUGGUUUGAAUCAAGGAGGAAAAAAAUAUCUAGAUUAGUCGGGGACAUACCUAUUGCGGUUGAAAGGGAACUUAUGAAGCGGUUCAAAGGUGCUUUGGGAAUGUCUGUUCCGGCUGUUGGGAGGAGUUGGGAUUUCUAAGUAGUUGCAAAGGAUGGAGUACAGUCCCACGUCUCCUUGGAACAACAGACUUUCACUUGCUUGGAGUUUCAGAAAAUCGAAAUACCCUGUACGCAUGCAAUGGCUGCCGCUCAUGAUAGGGGUUUGGAAUUCAGAUCUUUGGUUGGAGAGAUGCAUAGGCUAGGAAUGUGGUCACCAACGGUCCAAGAACCAAUCCUCCUUGUACGCGAUCCAUCGGAGGUGGAUGUCCCUGAGGAAAUAAGGGUUCUCUGUUUAAUGCCUCCGAAAAUAAAAAGACCUCCUGGGAGACCCCCAAAGCUGCGAAUACACUCAGUUGGGGAAUAUGAGGUCAGUUAUAUUUUUUCAUCCAUAUAUUUCUAUAUAAUUCAAAGGUAACAAUACUUUUUGUCUUAUUUCGGGGAUAAGAAGUCUAAAACGCCUCAUAAGUGUGGAAGAUAUGGAGGUGUAGGUCACAAUUGUGUUACGCGCAAGAAUCCCCUUGGGUGACGCUAUGGAAUCUUAGAAAGAUUUGGAAAGUUUUUCGGUUAUCAAUAGAGAAGUAUUUUGGCCCGAGACCUUUUUGGUUUUGUUAAUGGGUAGACAUUUAUAUGAAAUAUGGUUGGAGACAAUUUUCAUAACAAUGUCUAUUUUUAUGAAUUGUACAAAUUAUUACCUAAACUUCUUUUGAAGUGGCAAGUACUACUGAUGAAUGUAUAUCUCUCUUUAUGUAUUACCCAAGUAUGAUUGGUGAUGUAUUUUUAUUUAUUUUGUUGUCAUCCCUUCUCAAAAAGUAGUUUUUUCUUCAAUUCAAGAUAUACUUGUACAGUUCUUAAUUUUACUGUACGGAUUUAAACAGAGUACAUUCUACGUUUGAUGUACAUAUGGAUUAAAAUAGCUUUACGACAGUACUGUACAGAUAGCGCUAUACAGUUAUCUGUAGUUUAUUGUACAGAUGGAGCUGUAGAGAUGUGUUCGUCAAGAUUCUGUUGGAGAGGUUAAUAUUUAACAUUAAUUGGGUAAUAUUUGUAAAAAUCUAACAUGUCAUAAAUAUGUUUGGUAUGAGGAUUAAAUUAUUCUCAAUUGUAAGUUUCAAAACUACUACAUUAUUAUGGCUUAUAUAUACAAGAAAGUUGAAUUUCUAAAUAACAUCUUAGAAGAAGAAAACUUCUCUUAGUUUAUUCUCAGUUAAAAAAAAAAUAUGGGAACAAAAAUGCCAGACAUUGCUAAUGAUUUGUUGGCUAAAAUCGUUAAGCUUGUGGCUGAUGAUCGUUGGUGGCGGCUGUAAUUUGUUUUUCUUAUUCCCUUCUAUAACUAUAGUUUUUUCUCUAUUAUCUUAGUAUUUUGUAUAAUUAUUAUAUUAUGUUGUUUUGGCACUUUUGGAAGUAUAAUAUUUGUUUUUUUGUAAUAUAUAUAUAUAUUCUAUGGGUUUCGAAACAUUGUCUUGUUUGAAUUUAUUUAUGAUUGUGUGUAUUUAUGGGAUAAAUGUUGACCGCCUAAUAGUGUUGACUGAGUUUCUAUAUAUCUUACAUUAUUUAUUAAUGUAAUAAUUCGUUUAUUUAUUAAUGCCGACCACUUGAAUGAAUUUCUAUAUAUCUUACAUUAUUUAACUCGUUCUAACAAUAAACGAAUUUUCAUAUACUUUAAGUGCUGGUGACAUUAUCAGCUUUUGUCUAUUUUAUUAAUAGAAAUUCGGCUUCUUGUGAUUUCUUGGGCAGAAAUGAACAAGAUGUGGGAUAUGUUUCGGUUAUAUUGUGAGGAGGUGAGAACUCAAAAGUACUGAUAUGAUUGAAAUUUCAGACUAGACCAUCCACUUAUAUAUCGUUGGACAGAUAAAUUAGUUGACAUGUGUUAAAAAAGUAUGUGUAUUAGUACUGUUGAGUCUUGCUCCAACUGACAGUAAUAAUUAGUUUUCAAAAUAUAUUAAUAAUUUCAAUCUGAAUAAAUGUGAUUUGCACUUUCGAACAGUUGUGUCUUUUAAUUUAUUGACAGUUACUUUUUAAUAUUUGUAUCUUUUCAUUGUAAAUAGUUAUGUCUGUUAAAUUGUUGACGAUUAUUUUUUUACAUUCAUGUCUUCUUAUCGUAAACAGUUGUGUCUGUUAAAAUAUUAAAGGUUACUUUUUACGUUCGUGUCUUUUUAUUGACGGUUACUUUUUUAAUUCAUGUCUAUUCAUCGUAAACAGUUGUGUCUGUUAAAAUAUUGGUGGUUACUUUUUACAUUCGUAUAUUUCAUUGACGGUUAUUUUUUUAUGGUUACUUAUUUACAUUCGUGUCUUCUCAUUGACGUUUAUUUUCUUACGUUCGUGUCUUUUCAGCGUAAACUAUUGUGUCUGUUAAAAUAUUGACGUUUACUUUUUUACAUUCUUAUCUUUUUAUCGUAACUUUUGGUUAACAUUGACGGUUACUCUUUAUAUUUGUCAUUCUUCAGAUUAUUGUUUCAUGAUGAAUCCAAAAAAAAAACCUUAAAAUGACUAGAAAUUCUUGACUCUCUAAUCUAAUCUGUUUCUAAAUAUACAUCAAUUUAAUAUCAAAGAAAUUCUUCUAAUUCUUGAUCUAACCAAAGAUUUUUGGAAUGAUUAUAACAAUGGUGAAGUUUUAAUCAACUCUAAAUAUAAAAUUCUAAUGAAGAUGCCAACAAUUUUCUUCUCAGAAUUGGGCGGAUUAUACAGUGAAUUUUUUUAUUUAACUAUUGUAUAUGGUAAUAGUGAUACUUUCUGUCUUAAGGCAAUAUAUAUGGGUUGUAUACAACGAAAUAUUGAUGCUGCGUUAACACUAUUACAAAGUCCGAAUAUGAGAAGACAUCCUCAAGCAAUAUGGCUAUAUUUUUCAUAUGUGUUGGGCGCUUUAAAUGUGGUAAACGUCAAAUGAACCAUUUUAAAUGGUAUAGUAAUCCAGAAAUCAUCUCCGUUAUUAGGAAAAAAGCAAUGAUUCCAAUACGUCACAUGAAUAUUCAAGGAAGAAGUUUUUUUAGUCAGUUAAUUUAUCAAUAUAAGUAUAAAUUCAUGAAAUCUUGUAAAUGCUUAUUUGUUUUUUUUUUUUUUUUAACACUCACUAUGCUUUAUUGAUUAACAGAGUCAACGUACAGAGCAGUUGCAAUACAUGGUGGGAUUAAAUGGUGAUAAAAGAAAUCGAUGGUUGAUAAACGUUGAUUCCGUGCAAGCUGAUCUGCUGCUUUGUUAGCUGUUCUUGGGACCCAGUUAUAUUCGACACCUUCAAAUCUUCGUUCCCAUAACUUGAUCUCUGUUACCCAGUUGAAUAAGUCAAAGCGCUGUGCAGGAGAUUGAAGAAGAGACACUAAGACCAUGUUUAUUUGUUUGUUAUAGAUGUAAUUUACGUCAUCAAAUAUUGUAUUUUCUCAAAUCUAUAUAAUAUAAUCUGAAAAUUAUCCAGAUUGACUUAAAACUGGGCAAUAAUAAUUAAAAUGACUCUCAUUAGUGAUAGAUAACUAGACUAACACAAAUUUUAUGUAAAAAGACAAUUUGACCUUAGAUGUCCACAUUUAAUGUUUUAGUGGUAAAUAUGGUAACUGUUCUAAUAAGUCUGUCAUUACAUGGAAAAAAAACUGUCACCAUUGUAAAUAUUAUUAUAGCAAACAAAUAUGCAAAAAAAAACCAUAAUUGAUUUUUGAAGUUAUAGAAUUUUUAUAUAUUUGGGUUGACUAUGUAUAUUUACGGUAUAAUUUUUAGGUGUCAGGUUUAGUAUUUAGGAUAUAGAAAUUAGUUUUGAAUAUUAAAUUUAGUUUUAGAUUUGUGGUAUUUUUGAAAAAUAAAAUUCAUUAUAGUAUUUUUUGGAAAAACUCAUUUUAGUAGUAUUUAAAAGAAUUUCAAAAAAAAUUGACAAAAAAAAAUCAAAUCUGUCAUAAUAUGAUUUUCCAAAUAAAACAAAUGUUACAAUAGUUAGUAUUAUUCUAUGAAAAAAAUCAUGGAAAAAAGAAAACUAUAAAUCGGUCACCAUAAGGAUUUCAAAUUACAAAUCUGUUGUAACAUAAAAUAUUUUUAAGGUCAUGCCAUCAAACGACAGAUUUAUGGUAAUAUAAGUUUAUCUGUCACAACAUAAAACAACUCUGUCAUAACACAAAAUAUUAUAUUUUAGAAAAUAAAUCUGCCAUCAAACGACCGAUGUUGUGUAAAAUUGCAAGAAUCUUUUAUAACAUAAAACAAGUCUAUCUUAACAUUAAAAAAAUUGGUUAUCGUUAGACGUCAUUCUAGUAAUUAACUUUUUGACAACAAAUGUGUUACAAUGUGACAGAAUUUUUUAACAAAAUUAUAAAUCUGCCAUCACUUAACGUAAAAAAAACAUCCAAAAAAAUAAGUCUGUCAAAUUAUAUGAAAGUCUGUGAUUGAACAGUGGGUAAACCAUAUAUAAAAAAAAUUAUAUCCUGAAUUUAUUUGUAUUUCCAAUUACUCAAAAAAGCAAUGUAUCUAGAUCAUCUUUGAAUCAUCCCAUAAAUCUAAAACUGGUGUUGUCAUUAUUCACUAAAUCGACUUCCACUCUUUCUUACAGAAAUAUGUUUGAUAAUCAAUAGAAAGAGAUACAUAAAUGAGAAAACUACGAACUCUAUUAUGAUUUUAAACGAUAUUGAAUAUACAAGAAACUUAAUUUCGAGAGAAACAAAAGAGACAAAUUAAAAUAAAAACCUCCAAAGAACUAAUAAAAUCGUGUAAAAAAAAAUCAAAGCUUUUGAAACGUAAAUUAGUAAAUUUGUCUGUAACGAAAAAUAUUCCGAUGACCACCAGCACGGUCACCAACUUUUCUCCCUCUUCCUUCGCCUCCACCGCCAUUAAUAGCAGGUUCAUACUGUCGAACCGACUCUGUUUUUUCUUCUUCUCCUCCUCCGUUGAAAAUUUAUAAGUUAUAUUCUUAUUGUGAAAGUACAGAAGUACCCACGAAUCUGACUUGACUUUUGAUCCUUGGCUUUUCUUCUUCGUCCUCGAAGAAUUUCUGAAAAUCUCGUUUCAUACAAAACUUUGAUUCACGAAAUCUCGAGUAUUCAUCGUAUCUUGUGUAGGAGUAAGCUUGACUGCUUGAGUGUUACUUGAGAUUUAAGUUGUUUAGUUUUGAGAAAGAUUAAGUUUAAUUCCUUAGGAGUUAUCUUAGGAUAUUAUUAAAAGUUAUCUAAUAUUAAUCCUUGUGUGUUUAGGUUUAGAUUAUUGAUCUCUAUAUAAGAGUUACCAAAGUUGUGGUGAACCUUAAGAGAAUUUGAGAUUGUGAAGAGAUCAAUAGCUUUACGUUUUGAGUGAGUUUUCUAAAGAAAUUAAAGAGAGUUAUUCUUUAUUUUGAGUUCUUAAACAUUUCUCUAAAACAAGAAUUGGUAUUAGAGCUUUAAAGGUUCAAUCAAACCAACCAAUCCAUUAAGAGAGAAAUAUGAGCGACGUUGUGGUGGUAACGGAGAAACAAGCAAGUGGAGGCGGAGGAGCACCAUCGUCCAUUCAAUGUCCCAUGUUGAACUCGAGUAACUAUACCGUGUGGGCCAUGAGGAUGAGAAGUACACUCAAGGUUCAUGAGGUUUGGGACACUAUAGCGACUAAUGAGUCCAAUGAAAAGAAGAACGACAUGGCAUCUGCUUUGAUGUUCUAAUCCAUACCGGAAGCCCUAGUUCUACAAGUUGGUGAGCUUGAUACAGCGAGGAAAGUAUGGGACUACAUCAAAGCAAAACACGUUGGAGCAGAACGUGUUAAGUUAGCUACAUCAAACUCUUAUGGCAGAGUUAGACCGGUGUACGAUGAAAGAAACAGAGAGAAUUAAUGACUUUGAUGAAAAGUUAGCUGGAAAUUUAAAAAAAUCAGCGUCAUUAGGAGUUAUCAUUGAAGAAUCAAGGCUGGUCAAGAAGUUUUUUAAGAGUCUUCCUUGAAGGAAGUACAUACAAAUUGUAGCAUCUCUUGAACAAGUAUUAGAUCUCAACACUACAGGCUUUGAAGACAUAGUUGGACGUCGUAAAGUGUAUGAAGAACGUAUUUUUGAUGAAGAGGAUGUUCAAGAUAAGCAAAGCAAACUUAUGUAUGCAAACACGGAGAAUCAAACGAGCCAAUACAAUCGAGAGUAUCAUGGAGAUUCUAAAGGUAGAGGUCGAGGAGGAUGCUCUUACUACAAGGGAAGAGGCCGCGGAAGGUUUAAUGGGGGAAGAGAUACAUCAAAAAUCAUGUAUUAUAGGUGUGACAAGUUAGGUCACUACGCCUCUGAUUGCCCGGAUCGACUUCUCAAGCUGCAAGAAACCCAAGAGAACGAGAAAGAUGAUACACAAACUGCGGAUGAACUUAUGGUUCACGAAGUAGUGUAUCUAAAUGAGAAGAAUUGCAUUCCGAGCAACUAUGAAACUAACACCGGAGAAGAUGUGUUUGGUAUCUCGAUAACGGAGCUAGUAACCACAUGACAGGUGAUCAAAGAUACUUCACUAGUACAGAUGAUUCUGUCACCGGGAAAGUGCGAUUUGGCGAUGAUUCACGGAUUGAUAUCAAAAGGAAAGGAUCGAUCUUAUUCUUUGACAAGAAUGGCGAACAUAGAAAGAUGUUGGAUGUCUAUUUCAUUCCGAAUUUAAAAAGCAACAUCAUUAGGUUGGGACAAGCUACAGAACCGGGCUGUGAUAUAAGGAUGAAAGAUGACAUUCUAACAAUGCAUGACCAAGAGGGAAAAUUACUUGUCCAUGCAACAAGAUCAAAGAAUCGACUCUAUAACGUUCGGAUGGCAAGGAAGUGAUAUCUCCCUAUUUUUACUGAUUUUAACUAUGUUUUAGGUAUAGGAUUUUGAGUCUUUAUGUUAUUUCUCGAGUCUUUUAGUGUCUUAUCAGGUAUUCUAUGCAGUGGGACAACAAUGGAGAUGAGGAGACAUUUUGGAGCAAAAUCUACGGAAAAGGAUGCUAAGGACGAUUUCAGUCCCAGAUUCAGCGAGAGUGUCAAUCGAUACACUCCUAGUGUCGAUCGACACCAGUUUCGGCCCAGCAAAGUCCAUUACGCUUUCAAGUUUACAGAAGAGGAAAUUUGCCCAAGAAGACUUCCCUAUUUGUAUUAUUAGUCUUUGGAUGUUUUAUAGGGCUUAUAUAUAGUUUUAGAGGUAAUUGUUUAGACCUAAGUUCCUUUUAUCAAGUUCUUUGCAAAUCCCUAUUUUCAGAGACAUAAGCUAUUCAUCCCUUGUUCUUGAGAGAUUCAUUCAGUUUUCAAUACAGUUAAAAUAUCUCUUCUUACUCUUAUCUUAUUUGCUGUGUUUAUGUUUUCUUACUCAAUUAUGUUGCUUGUUUCAUUCAAUAUGUCUGAGUAGUUUGCUUGUUAUUAAUAGUGUUUCUCAUUAGGGAUUCAUAUGGUUUAGUAGAUCUCCCCCUUUGCUAGGUUAUCUGUAGAAUUCUUCUUCUUUGAUUAUACUUUAUGUUAGAUCUAGAGUAAUUAACUAGAUCUUGAAUCUAGACAAUAGAUAUGCCAACCAUAGGUAUCUGUAGUUGGAUCUAUUAUUUGAUGAGCAUGGUUUAGAAGUGUGUAAUAAGAAUCGGCUUAUCUACUAAGGUGAACAAUUGAACUCGUUUAGAAUGCAAGUUUAGUUUGAAAAUCUCUCGGCUUCUCCGGUUAUUCUUAGCUAUAGGCAUAGGGAGUUUUGCGGAACACCACCGAUUAUUUUAGAAUUAGAGUUUGAGUUUAAGAAUGUAGGUUCCUGAGAAUACCCUAUUCCUAACUCUUUAUUUAAUUGUCUACAACUAAUCAAUCUACUGUCUUUUUACUUUGUUCUCUUUUUAUUUCAAUCAUUACCUGCUAGCUUAAUCUCGAAAUACAACUCACUGUUCGAACAAAAGAACUUUGUAGAAAUCGAUCCCUAAAUACUGCAAUUUAUCUCUUAUUUGAGAGAGUAGUUCUUAAGGAAAUUUGAACCUUAUCAAAUUUGGCGUCGUUGCCAAAGUUCUUGGGAUUGAGUUUAGUUUAGAGAUUUGGUCUAGUUUUUACUUUUACUUUGUUACUCACGCGUUUCUUGUUUUCUUCUUUUUUUUGUGUUUCAGGUGUAUGUCUAGGCAAACAAGGAGCACACAAAAGAAGGAGUUGAUCAACUUGUCUGUUCUGGAAUUGGGGAAACUUGAACGUAGAAACCGAAAAACUCAUAGAUUUGCAAUGGCUGACAGAGUCAUCCAAGCUGAUGCAGAUGGAGAUUUGAGAGAUGAGGAUGGGCAAGCCUACAAUGAGGCUGGUUAGAGAUUGGAUGAUCAUGGACUCAUCCUACCUGAGGACGCCAAUGAGGAUCAGGCGCGCUUCAAUGCGCAAUUAGCUGCCAGAGACGCAGCAGGGCUCGGUGUCGAGCGACACCAACUGGGUGUCGAUCGACACCUUUGGGAGCAUAAUGUAGACGCGAUUGGUGUCGAGCGACACAACAGAGGUGUCGAUCGACACCAACCCCAGGUUCUUGUAGCUAUUCCUCCAGCUGCGGAACCACGUCAUACUCUCGAGGAUUUCAACAGGCCUGACCUGUUCUAUGCUAAUCGAUCAGCGAUCGUACCCCCACCCUUCCAGAGGAACGAUUAUGAGAUGAAGCCUUGCUACUUUGCUUUAGUAGGCCAGCAUCCUUUCCAUGGCUUGUCUCAUGAGCAGCCAAUGGACCAUAUCGAGCGUUUUGAGGACCUCGUUCUGAGCAUCAAAGCUAAUGGAGUCUCAGAGGACUACCUACUGUGCAAGCUCUUCCCUUAUUCAUUGUUGGGGAAGCCGCUUAUUGGCUGAAACAACUUAAAGUGGGUUCCCUCAAGCCUUAGAGAAGCAUCAAAAUAGCUUUCUUGAACAAUUUCUAUGAUGAUGCUAAGUCUGAGGAGCUGAGAAACAAGCUGUCUACCUUCACCCAAGGUCUAGCUGAAUCUUUCAAAGCCGCUUGGGUUCGUUUCAAGGAGUAUCAUCGGGACUGCCCGCAUCAUGGCUUCGUGAGGUACAACUUCUUGGUACCUUUUUAAGAGGAGUGGAUUGGAGAUACCUGAUUGCUCUAGAUGCAGCAAGCAAUGGUAACUUCAACACGAGAUAUCCAGCUGAUGCUACCGCUCUGAUAGAGAAUCUCGCUUGCAGUAACAGCACCAAGAAUGCUGACUUUGAGAGGAAGAAGAUUGCUGGAGCUGUUUCAGGCAAUCAGAUGGCAGAGGUGAAUGCUAAGUUAGAUUCAGUUCAUAACUUGCUUACAAGGAAGAAGCAUGUCCACUUUGCAGCUGAGGAUGAGACCAUUGAGCCCGAAUAUGAGUCUAAAGAGGGAGUCUUCUACAUAGAUGGUCAGGCUACAGGAAGUUUGGGCAGCCACAAGGCAACUUCAGUGGCAAUUGGUUUACAGGGAACCAGAGUUCCUCAAACUACACUCCAAAACCUGCUAUCCAGAAGAAAUUUCCUCAUAGCAACUUCUAGAGGAACUAUGGUAAUUCAGCUUAACCCCCCUCUACCCUCCUUAGAGACCAGAAUAGAAUCCAUGCUUGAGCAGAUUCUUGAGAGCAAAACAAAGCUCGUUGUGGAGUUUAAAGGCAAGUUUGAUGCUGUCUACACAGAUCUUAAUGGGAAGAUCGACAAUCUGAGCUCUCACUUGAAGAAGCUAGAUGUAUAGGUUGCUCAAACUACAUAAUCCAUUAAGAGACAAGAGGGCAUUCUUCUUGGUAAUCCGUGAUGCUAACCCAAGGAAGAGCUGUAAUGCCAUCUUGAUCAGAGAAGGAGAUGAUGUGUGGGAAGAAUUGGACACUGAAGACGAGUUGGAGCUCGUAGUUGUAGAGAUGGUGUCGAACGACAAAGAGAUGGUGUCUAUCGACACCCUAUGAAAAAAUCUUCUCUGAGAAGAUUCCACACGAUGGUGUCGAUUGACUCACCUCUUGUGUUGAUCGCCACUAGGUCCGGACUGCACCAUAUGAGGUGCAAGUCCCAAUGCAGGCCGAGUCUGCUUACACUCCUCCUGCCCUUAUCUGAGGAAGUGUCGUUCUAAGUAGGAGAUUCACGCUGCUAAGUGCAUAACCAUCUUGGAAAAGAUCCUCACUUCUCUUCCUAAGGAUGUUUCUGAGACAUCUUCUACUCCACUCAAUAGGUAUGUCAAGCGACUUGUUGACAAUGGUAUUACCUCAGAUGACACUAAGCUGCUGACCCGGGACAUCAGUGCAAUCAUGCUGCCUAAGGUCAGGAAAGAGAAAGCACAGAGUGUGGACAUUCCUGACUACAUCCGCACCAUCACUCCUGAUCAGACCAUUGAGAAGCUUCCAGAUCCAGGUAGCUUUGUUCUUGAUUCCUCUAUCUCCUCAAGCAGGUUCAUCGCUCUUUGUGUGAUCUGGGAUCAAGUAUCAACCUCAUUACUAAGUUUGUUGCUGAGAGACUAGGCAUGACUAACUAAAGGCCGACUCGAAUCACUCUCCUCUUCGCGGAUCAUUCCAAACGAAUCUCUAAAGGAAUCCUUGAGGAUUUGCCUGUUAAGGUUGGUAACUCUCUAAUCCCUGCUGAUUUCGUGGUCCUGGACUAUGAUAAGAAACCCAAGGAUCCUAUGAUCCUUGGAAAAGAAUUCCUAGCUACAGCUGGUGAUAGGAUUGAUGCGAAGAAAGGUAGGAUCUCUCUAAAGGUUUAUGAUUUGAAGAUGAAGUUUGGCAUGGAUGGUUCAGAGUUCACUAAGACUAUCAGUAGUAUUGCCUCUAGCACAGACACACCUCCUCAGAAUCCCAGACAUAGCCACACACAACGCUCCCAUCAGCUCAGCUCGCCAAAGGGAGUUUUAGAGCAACGGUGUCGAUCGACACCACAACUCCUGUCGAUCGACACUCUCGGGAUUCACAGACAGAGGGUUCUGCACAAUCUCUUCAGCCCACACCUAUUUCAGCUUUAGGUGAUAGGUUCUCUUGUAUUUCUUCUCCUGUUUUCCCUUCGACUAAUUCUUUCGAUUCUUCGAAGUCUGCUUCACAAGAUAACAAGCCUAGAGUUCUUCGAAAGCUUGUUUCUCAUGUUGUUUUUGCAGGUAACGAGAAGAGUAUUGAUCGACACACCGCUGAGUGUCGAUCGACACCUACAGCUGUCUAGACCGGUUCAGCUUACACACCGCCUUGGAGGGCGUGGAGGAAGCAAUCCUCCACCAUUCCACCCACAUCCUGAACUCCGCAAACUCAAGCUAUUGACUCAAAAUAAGUGCUUAGUGGGAGGCAACCCACUGGUUUGAUUUUUCUCUUCCCUUUCUUUUAUUUUCUUUUAUUUUUGAUUUAUUUUUCCCACCUUCUUCGUAUUUGAAUGCCACUGGGACAGUGUCGUUUAAGUCUGGGGGAGGUUCUUACUAAUUAUGCUUUUAUUUUUUAUUCUUUUUUUUUUUUGUUUUUGAGUUUAUUCAGUCAUUUUCUUUUCCUUCUUAAAAGAAAAAAAAAACGUUUUGUUUAGUUUAGUUAGGAAUCAUUAUCUAUAUUUCUUUUCCUUCUUAAAAGAAAAAAAAAACGUUUUGUUUAGGUUGAUGAGUGUUGCAGGUUCGACUCAAUCCGACUAUUGGAAAAUCUAGAUGGCAAACCAACAGACUUGAGGGUAUCCUAGUUUCCAACACAACCUCUAAGGCUGGAGCUAAUCUCACUUCUCUUCUUUUUACCUCUUCAAACGGUUAGUAUUCAUAGAUCUUGACUCCUUAUUCAUACCUGAUAUUGAGACCAAUGUGAUCAAGAAACUUAGUGUUCCUCUCCCCUUAUAUAAAAAAAAAGAAAAUAAUAAUGAGAGAUUGAUAGGAUUUUCAGAUAGUGUAUAGGGGUAGGAAUGCUUCCUAUGAUCCCAUUAUUAUACAUUAUUUGGAAUGAUCAAUUAUAAAGGUUGGAAAAUGACGAGGGUGUCGAUCCAGUAUGCGAGUUCCGCUUUGUUUACUUUUUAUUAUUAUACAUUAUUUGGAAUGAUCAAUUAUAAAGGUUGGAAAAUGACGAGGGUGUCGAUCCAGUAUGCGAGUUCCGCUUUGUUUACUCUCUAAAAAGAAUAAGUAUAGGGGCGAGAAAGAGCACAAAAGAAAAAAAAAUGGUCGACUUAUCAUGGUAUAGUAGAGGAAUGAGUCUAGAAGGAUCUUGAAUGUUAGCUUGAUUGAUGAAAUCCAACGAUGAAAGCCUGGUGGAUAUAGUUGUGGAACUUAGGUAUGAAAUUUAGAAAGUUGUGUAAGCUUGCAGAGAAGUACAUGUUGGUUAGGAUUUGAUUAGACUUGCUAGGCAUGUGGAUUCAGUUUGGAUGAUCAUGGCAAUAAACUAGAGAAUGUUGGGAGUUCCUUUGUUUCAAAAUCUCUUCCACGGGUUCGGCUUUUGUGUUUUGCUUGAAGGCAAGCAAAAGCUAAGUCUGGGGGAGUUGAUAUAUCCCUACUUUACUGAUUUUACCUAUGUUUUAGGUAUAGGAUUUUGGGUCUUUAUGUUAUUUCUCGAGUCUUUUUAGUGUCUUUUCAGGUAUUCUAUGUAGUGGGACAACAAUGGAGAUGAAGAGACAUUUUCGAGCAAAAGCUAAGGUAAAGGAAGCAAAGGACGAUUUCAGUUCCAGAUUCAGCGAGAGUGUCGAUCGAUACACUCCUGGUGUCGAUCGAUCGACACCUGUUUCGGCCCAGCAAAGUCCAUUACGCUUUCAAGUUUACAGAAGAGGAAAUUUGCCCCAUAAGACUUCCCUAUUUGCAUUAUUAGUCCAUGGACGUUUUAUAGGGCUUAUAUAUAGUUUUAGAGCUCAUUAUUUAGACCUAAGUUCCUUUUAUCAAGUUCUUUGCAAAUCCCUAUUUUCAGAGACUGAAGCUAUUCAUCCCUUGUUCUUGAGAGAUUCAUUUAGUUUUCAAUACAGUGAAGAGAUCCUUAUCUUAUUUGCUGUGUUUAUACUUUCUUAUUCAAUUAUGUUGCUUGUUUUAUUUAAUAUGUCUGAGUAGUUUCCUUGUUAGGAAGAGGGUUUCUCAUUAGGGAUUCAUAUGGUUUAGUAGAUCACCCCCUUAGCUAGGUUAUCAGAAUUCUUCAUCUUUGAUUAUAUUUUAUGCUAGAUCUAGCGUAAUUAACUAGAUCUUGAAUCCAGACAAUAGAUAUGCCCACCAUAGGUAUCUGUAGUUGGAUCUAUUAUUUGAUGAGCCUGGUUUAUAGGUGUGUAAUAAGAAUCGGCCUAUCUACUAAGUUGAAAAUUGAACUCUUUUAGAAUGCAUGUUUAGGCUGAAAAUCUUUCGGCUUCUCCGGUUAUUCUUAACUAUCGACAUAGGGAGUUUCGUAGAGCACCACCGGUUAUUCCAUAAUUAGAGUUUGAGUUUAAGAAUGGUUCGAUAACAACCUAGCUUUCAUUAGAUCUACUAACUAAUAGUUUCCUAAGAAUACCUUGUUCCUAGCUCUUUAUUUAAUCAUUUACAACCAAUCAAUCUGCUGUCUUUAUACCUUGUUCUCUUUUUAUUUCAAUCAUUACCUGCUAGCUUAAUCUCGACAUUCAACUCAUUGUUUGAACAAAAGAACUUUGUGGAAAUCGAUCCUUAAAUACUACAAUUGAUCUCUUAUUUGAGGGAGUAGUUCUUAAGGAAAUUUGAACCUUAUCAGAGAGGAACAGCGUGUUUACAUUUGACAAGCCUUAGUGAAUCAAAUAGAUGGCAUUCGAGAUUGAGACACACAAAUCUCGACACAAUCAAGUCAAUGAUACAAAAGGAGCUAGUAAGAGGAAUUCCACACGUCAAGAUCGAAAAAGAAGUUUGUGAUUUAUGCUUGUUUGGGAAGCAAUCAAGGCAAGUUUUUCCUCAAGGAACCUCAUACAGAGCUGCCAAGAUACUUGAACUCGUUCAUGGAGAUUUAUGUGGUCCUAUAACACCAAGCACACAUGCGGGAAACAAGUACAUUUUUGUUAUUAUCGAUGAUAAAUCUAGGUACAUGUGGACAGCUUUGCUUAAGGAGAAAAGCGACUCUUUCAACAAAUUUAAACAAUUCAGAGCUUUAGUUGAACAAGAAACAAGAAUUAAGAUUCAGACUUUCAGAACAAACAGAGGAGGAGAGUUUAUAUUGCAUGAGUUCACUAAGUUUUGUGAAGAAUCGGGCAUUAAAAGGCACCUUACUGCUCCAUAUUCACCACAACAGAAUGGUGUGGUUGAAAGAAGAAACAGAACUCUGAUGGGAAUGACAAGGAGUGUCAUGAAACACAUGCAUAUACCUAGUUACUUGUGGGGAGAAACAAUAAGACACGCUACUUACCUGUUGAACCGGAUAGCUAGCUACAAGAUUUGUGACUGAUAGCACUCCAUAUGAAGCCUUCUACCGAAAGAAACCAAACGUGAAUCAGCUUAGAGUUUUUGGCUGCAUUGGAUACGCAAAAGUGGAGAAAACACACUUGAAGAAACUAGAUGACAGGUCGAGAAAACUAGUACAUUUAGGUACUGAGCCGGGUUCAAAGGCAUAUCGCUUACUUGACCCCGUAAACUGGAAAAUUGUGGUGAGUAGAGACGUUGUGUUUGAUGAAACAAAAGGAUGGGAUUGGAGUCACAAUAAACCCGAACAUGAUCAUAAUGAAAGCUUCAGUGUCACACUUGGAGAAUUCAGGAAUCAUGGUUUACGAGAAGAAGACAAUGAAUAUGUUGAGACAGAGCAAACAGAGCCUAUUCAGGAGAAUGAAGAACAACAUGAUCAUGAAACGAUUGGAGAAAAUUAAGAAGUCUCUGUAGAUCUUGGAAUAGAAAAUCAAAAUCAACAACCUAGUCUAAGAGGAUCGCAAAGACAAAGCGUAAAGCCAAAGUAUCUUUAAGAUUAUGCAUUACUUGCAGAAGAAGAAGGAGAAAGCCUACUUCUAAUUUUGAAUAAAGAACCAAGAAGCUUCAGUGAGGCUUAGGAGUUUAGAGAUUUGACACUUGCGUGUGAAGACGAGAUACACUCAAUAACAAAGAAUAAGACAUGGAGUCUUGAAGAGCUGCCGCAUGGAGUUAAACCUAUAGGUCUAAACUCAAACGCAACUCGGACGAGAGCAUUUACAAACGCAAGGCUCGAUUGGUCGCCAAAGGUUACGUUCAGCGCUAUGGAGUAGAUUUUGAAGAAGUAUUCGCUCUUGUAGCUCGUCUUAAGAUCAUACGCCUUCUUGUGAACCUUGCAUCAUCAAAUGGUUGGGAGAUACACCAUCUUGAUGUCAAGACAGCAUUCCUUUAUAAAGGAAACCGUGUACGUGACCCAACCAAAGGAUUCGAAGAAAGAGGAAAGGAAGGGAAAGUCUAUAAGCUUCACAAAGCUUUGUAUGGAUUACGACGAGCACAAAGAGCAUAGAACCAUAAGCUGAAUCUGAUUCUUACAGAACUACAAUUCGAAAAGUGUUCCAAAGAACCAUCAGUGUACUGUAAAAACGUAAGCGGAAACACUUUUCUACUUGUGGCAGUGUAUGUAGAUGAUCUCCUCAUAAGAAUCGACAACAGAUCAGCAAUCGCCCUUACCAAGAAUCGUGUCUUCCACGGUCAAAGCAAGCACAUUCAUAGACGUUAUCACUUCAUAAGAGAAUGUGUGGAGAAUGGGCAAGUAGAGGUGGAACACGUUCCGGGAAAUGAGCAAAAGGCAGACAUCGUCACUAAAGCUCUUGGAAGAAUGAAGUUCAAAGAAAUGAGAGAUCUCAUUGGAGUUCAAGAUGUGGUGAAAGAUGGUCUCAAGUUUAAAGGGGAGAAUGUGGGAGUAAGCUUGAGUGUUACUUGAGAUUUAAGUUGUUUAGUUUUGAGAAGGAUUAAGUUUAAUUCCAUAGUAGUUAUCUAAGGAUAUUAUUAGGAGUUAUGUAAUAUUAAUCCUAGUGUGUUUAAGUUUAGAUUAUUGAUCUCUAUAUAAGAGUUACGAAAGUUGUGGUGAACCUUAACAAAAUUAGAGAUUGUGAAGAGAUCAAUAGCUUUAGGUUUUGAGUGAGUUUUCUAAAGAUAUUAAAGAGAGUUAUUCUUUAUUUUGAGUUCUUAAACAUAUCUCUAAAACAAGAUCUUGUACCUCUUUCGAAUCCGGAGAAACCGUCUAACAAUUGUUAUAUUAGGUCCACUAUUAAUCGAAUAUCUGAUUCCUUAAUAAUUUAAUUUGUAUCUACACAGGGGACAUAAGUUACUAGUGUUAAGCCACUUUACAAUGCAUUCUUUACCAAAUCUAUGACCACAAUCUAAAAUCACCCAUUGAGAUCCAUUUAAAAAUGUCUUCAAACAUAUAAGGCGCACAUUCUUCUUGAAGACCACUUUGUUUCUCUUCGUAAAGUUUUACAUCCAACGCUUCAAUUGCUUGCUUACUUGCUGGCUGAAACUUCAUUUCUGUAGAUUCUAAGGAUUCUUGAAUCACUUGGUCAUCGCCAUUGAAAGCUGCUAAUGUACUAAAGGAUAUUAUAAGAGUGUUUUCCCUGUUGUAUUCCUCAGCAUAAACCAGAUCUUAUGCCAACAUGAUCAUAUUUAUAAUCGUUAUAUCUGCAUCUUCUGAAUCCAUACCAGCUAUUACCAAAGAGUAAUAUAAAUCUUCUUUUAUAACGUUUUCUUUUUCAACAAUAAAUUCUUCAAUUGUAAAUGUGUAAAACAAUUUUUCUGGUUCUCUUCCAUGUUGAAUUACCUUCACAAACGUAAUCAGAAUCACUCUCAAUCUUCACUUGAAAAGAAGGAUUUACAGUAUUCAUUAGUGUAAACCAAAAAGAAGAACUCAUUUUAGUGGUUGAAAGAAAUUUUGUUCGUUAAUUUAAAACAUUAGACAUGCGUGAGUAAGAGACACAAUUUUAAAAAUAUAUUUUCUUUUCCAAAUAACUUAUUAUCAUAACCGUUAAGUGCAUUUAUAGGCACGUGUCUGCCGAAUUUAUUAGUUUCUGUAAGUUUAAAUUAAUAUAUGCUGUAAUUAUUAUAUAUAUGAAAUUUAGUCAAUUCUCUCCAUAUGAUUGACACAUCAUCACUUUAACAUUUGCCAUGUGUCUAUUAAAUAAUUAAUGUAAUCUCUUCAACUUUUAAUUUAUAAGUUAAUGAUAUAUUUAUUAUUUAAUUUUAGAUAUUAUUUUAUUUUACAUAUUUAGUUGUACUAUUACUAAAUUUAUUUUAAUAUUACAUGAUUUUUCAAUAAAACUAUUAUAAUAGUUUUCUCUACUCGAAGAUUUUUUUUUUGUAAUCCAAACUCAAAGUAUGAGUGUAUAAUAGUCGUGGAUUACUUAAUGAUUUGAGUAAGUUAUUUUCUUAAAUUGAUAUUUAUAUUCUCCUAAAUUAAUAUUUAUAUAAUAAAUUAUUGAGGGUGAGGAAUACGUAAGGAGCUCCACUAUCAAAUUCUUAAGUUUCUAGAAUCCAACACUACCAUCUAUUAAAUUGGUUUAAGACAAACGUUGUUUAUGAAUUAUGUGCAUGAUGCAUUGGUGAGAAUUUGUUAGAAAAAAUAUUUUAAAUACUAAAAGUAAUUGCUUAUUGUAUGAGUGAAUAAUUAAAUAAAUAAAUUAUUUAUAUAUUUAAGUUAAACAAGACAAAAUAUCCAAAAAAACCGCGGCGUAACACGGAUGAUCCUAGUAUUUAUAAUAAUUCAACGAUAAUUUAUAUAUGUGUGACUAAAGUUAGUCUUCGCGAGACGGUGUAUUUUAAAUAUCUUUCGUAACCUUUGAUCUGAUAUUUAAUUAUGAAUAGACGUGUACGUUGAAAUAAAACCGUUUACAAUUAAUGACUCUUCACUAAAGACAACUUUACAAAAAAAAUAUAAAUAAAACGGUUUUUUCUUAAUAAAAAGUGUUAUCAAAUGGCCAAACGUUCUAUUAAUGAAUCAAACGAUUUUUAUGGGGAGGGAUCAUCUACCAUUGUUUCUAGUGAGAAAGGUAUUGUUAAAAAAAUAUAGCUCAUAGACUUAAUUUCUUUCUAUAAUUAAAUCUUUUUAUAGUUCAAAGAUUUGUUAGAAACGUUUUAACCAUGGAUGUUUACAGAAAUCUAAAAGAUUUUUUUUAAUAAAUAUCAGUCUUGGUUGAUAAUUAUUACAAUUAAAAUAGAUUCCACUGAAAAGGAUAACAUUGCAAAUGUAGUCUCCUGAUUUUCAAUGUCUCUGAGAUCGGAUGCUUAUUUUUUUGUCUUUGAGAUCUAUAGACACGGUGAUGACACGGUUUAUUCUCAUCCAAUUUUAGUAUUGUUCAACUUAAUAAAUAGUUGUUAAUUAGUAUAUAGAAGAAGUGGGUUACUACUCUUAUGUUUAUUUUCUUGCAUAUUUUCGUUCCAUUUUUUACAAAAUUCAAGGCUUUGAUAUACCUAUUUAAAGUUUUGAUUAUAAGUUCCUUUUAAUGUUCUAUACAAUAUGAAUAUGACACGAUUAUAUAUACAAUCUUCAGAAUUUUUAAUUUUUUCAUAAUCAGCAGAGGUAUUAUAUUUGCAAAGAAUCUUAAGUCAAGACCUCCUCUUUUAUGUUAUUUAAUCUUAUUAUUUUAAAAGUUUUCCAUAAAUUAAUUGUACAUUUGUCGUAUAGAUUAUCAACUUCAAACAUUAUCAAAGGAUAACGCACCACCAAAUAGCAAACGUAAGUAAAAAAUACAAUAUUUUAUAAAGAGAAUAUACAUAAAAUAACUAUGAAUCGUAAAAAAUUUAACAAAGUAGCUAUGGUGUCAGAGUACACUCUCUUUCUUCACUUACAAUUACUUUUAUACCAAUUUUCGAAUUUUAUAUAUAUUACACGCUAUUUUCCAAAAUCACACAGAAUAUUUAGAUGAUUCUAUUGUGAAAAACUUUUGACGAAUCCGAAAAACCCACCACUCAUCUCUCUUUCUUCUACCACCACAACCACCACAUCUUCCACCAUCACAACCACCAGAUCUCUUUUUCGAUAAAUCUAGGCUACUAAACUUUAUUUAUAUUGAUAGAUCAUCUCUCCCUCAAUUUGCAGAAGAUUUCUCAUUUUAUUUUGUUCAAUUUUGAUUCUUUCUUCGAACCUCUGUCGUUAUGUUCUCUUUUUAAAUUGUAUGUAAUUUUCUUUUUUACCAUGCUACUUUUUCGAAUUACAGGUUAUAAUUCGAAAUCUCUCUCAAACAACAUGCUACUUUUUCAUAUAACAAAUUAUUUAUUCUCAUAACACAUUAUAAAAUGUCAUUUUCUUUAUAAAUAUCAUGCUAUUUAUUUUGUUCGAUUUUGAUUCGUUCUUAGAAUCUCUGUCGUUAUGUUUUUUUUUAAAUUGCAUGUUAUUUUCUUUUGUACUAUGCUACUUUUUUAAUUACACGUGAUAACUGGAAAUCUCUCUAUGUCAACAUGCUACUUUUUCAUAUAACACAUUAUUUAUUCUUAUAACACAUUAUAAAAUGUCACUUUUUUGAUAAAUAUCAUGCUAUUUUCAUAAGCUUGGUUUUGGUUCAACUUGCAAGGACAUUUUUGUAGUUUCUUAUGCCGUCAUAAGGUUAUUUAUUCACAUACAAACUGACAAUGGUUAGUUACUUAAUUCUUUUCAAUUCUAUGGUUACUUUAUACUAUUACCCUUUUAUAAAUCCAAUUCAUUUAACUAACAUCUAUACUAUUAAUUGGGAAGCAUUGUGUGAACUACAACAUUGUAAGGGUAGUUUUAAUAAAUUAAUUUUUGCAUGGGUAAUUUAGUAAAUUAACAACUACUACAAAUAAAUAAAUAUCUUAGAUUUUGUUUAUAAAAAAAAAAUAUAAUUAAAUCAAUAAAUUAAUAACUACCCAAUAUUUUUGGAAAUCAUUUAAAAACGUUUCCAUAACAUAUCAGGCUAUUUUAAUUCGAAUUUUAUAUAUGUAAACUUAUUUAUUUUAGUAAUAUGUUAUUAGAUAAUACGGAAACUUCAAUCUAAUUUAAUAACAAAUUAUCAUUUAGUUUAAAUUUUAUACAAUUUCUUUAACAAAACUAUGUUAACUGUUUCUGAUUAGUACACAUAAAAAAUGAUUUUUAAUUAUGAUUUAGCAUUCAAAAGAGAAUUUUUGGAUUUUAGAUUUGUAAUUAACUAGAAAAUAGUUUCAGUACAGAUUAAAAUAUUUAACAUUUUUUAAAAAAAUACAUAAGGAUAAUGCAUAAGGAUAAGUUUAAUUUUAAAAAUAUACCAAAAUCAUUAAGAUCAUAGUAAAAUUUAGCUUUUAAAAAAAACAAAUCGUCAUCCUCAAUUUAAAAUAUAUAAUUCAGAUUAGUUUUUUCUAGUAAAGCUAAGAUUGAAUCCAAAUUAAAAUCUAAUUUUGCGUACAAUCUAUCUCUUAUAAAUGUUAUGCAUACAUUCACAUUCACAUUGCGUACAAUCUAUCUCUUAUAAAUGUUAUGCAUAAUUUUGAGAUUCAUAAGUAACUUACAUCAUGUUCUAAUGAUGUUUAUCUCCUAAUUUUACUAUUCAUUUAUGCAUAUUCUUAUAGAUUUUUCUUUCAGGGUCAACACUUGAAUACAAGAAAUUAGUCGGGUGUUGGUCAAUAUUAUACCACAGAUAAAAUCAUGGAAUUAACAAUUAAAAUAUAGUUAUACAAUCUGAAACAAUAAACAAAACAAAUAUAACUUAAUUUAUUUUUUAUUUUUAACUAAAAUCAACAAAUUUAUCAGUUUAUUAAAAAAAAAAAAAAACAAUUAGCAUGUGGUACCCUACGGGUAAAUCACUACGAUUUCAUGAGGUUGCAAUAUCAAUUUAUACAAAUUUUGACUUUUAAAAUAUACUUUAUACAAUUAUUGAAAGGUAUACACUAAAAAUUGGUUUUAUAUACUACAAUAUCAUAAAGUUAUAAAUCAAAAAUUAUUUUUAAAUAUAUUAAUCCAAGAUCUACCACAAGUUAAUCCCUCGAUUUUUUAACAUAUUACAAUAAGAAUAUUAAAAAUAACAAAAAUAAUAUUUAAUUUUACGAAAUGAAGUUAUCUGGUGGAACGAGUUUGGUUUGAUAUUCAUACGGGAUGAUAAUCUACGAGUGAAAUCUUAGAAUUAACAAUUUUAACACAAUUAUCCUAUCUCAAACACUAAACAAAAGAAACAAUAUUUACAAAACAACUAUAAACUUAAAAUUUGAAUUUUUAGUUACAAAAAAAUCAACUAAUGGUGUACCUCAAAGUAAAUUUCACGCUAUAUCAUCUAAUUGAUCAAAUUUCAAACAAAACAAUUAAUUUGUAUAUACAUCAAACUAACAAAAAUACACAGAUUUUCCAAAUAUCUCUAUAUUAUUCCGCAAAUCGAAACAAAUCUAAUAUUCAAUUUAUUAUGCAAAAUACGAAAAAUAUAAAAAAUAUAAAUUAAUUAAAAAAUUUAGCUAUUGUAUCAUAAAUAACAUUAUACACUUUUCUAUGCACAUUAUAAUUUAUACACUACAAUAUCUUUCACCAAAAAUGUAUUAUAGUUAUUUCUUAAAAUAUGAAACCCCGCACAUAUGUGCGGGUCAAAAUCUAGUAUGAUGAUAAACUUAAAAUCAUUGCUUAUGUUUUACAAACUGUUUUGACAAAAUUAAAUAGAAAAAAGGACGACCAUUUAAAAAAGAACCACAAUGUAAUAAAUAAUAGAUGGAUGCCCAUUAUAAGGCUCUUCAUCUAGGUCCAUCAUCUAGAUGUCUCUAGGGUUUUAGCCUUCCCUUGUACUCCUAUAUAAAGGACUCUUUAUUCAAUGGAAUAACACACUCAUUUUUCUUCUAUCUCUUUCUCUAGUCAUAACACGUUAUCAACACGCUCUAAAAGGUAGAUAUAGAGAUUCUUACAUUUUUUUUAGAACCAUGUUUACUUACAUGGUUCACAAUAUUUAUUUUUCUAUUAUUGAAAUAAAACAAUAUUUGUCGAUCGAUGAUUAUGGUAUCAAUCGGUAAAAGCAUCAUUUCAAUGAUUCAGUAAAGAAGAGAAUCAUGCUUAUCAUUUGUUUCUCUAAUUAUUAUUGCAUGAUUCAAUGAUUCUACAAAAAAAAUUGUUAAAGAAGAGAAUCAUGUUUGUUCAUUGUUGAUUAUUAAUUAUUAAUUUUUUUGAAAUCUACUAUAAUAAUAUAAAAUAUUUUAUUUGAUAUCUUAUUUAGUUAAUAUUUUAUUGUCUAAAAUUCUACAAUUCAAAUUUAAUCUCCUUGAUUUAUCGGUAACGGAUUAGGCACAGUCUAUUUGUCAGUUUGUACUUAAUCUAAUGUUGAAACUUUAUAUAGUCCUAUGAAUGUUUGGUAAAUAAUCGCAGGUUUACGAAUAUGGACUUCGUUGAUCAUACUUUUAACAUGCCGUUAAAGUCAUCAAGUUACAGGUAAUUGACUAAUUUACUCCAUUGAGAGUAGCUUAUUUUGUUAAGCAUGUGUAAUAUGCAGAAUCUAUAAAACUUUGUCCACUUUCAUUCAUAUUAAUAAGGAUUUGAAUUGAAAUUCUGAGAAUGAGAGGUAACCAUAAAUAUCCUCUAUGAGAACUAUAAUAGCCCUUAAAAAGAAACUUAUGUCGUCCAAUUGCAAAGAUAGAAAGUUUAAAUUCAACUGCCUUAUCAGCUUGUAUAUAAAAUCAAGCUUCUUCAACUAUUGAUUUCAAAUGUUCAAUUAGUCUUCUUGAUAGUCUUUUGCUCUGGAGCCGGCAAAUUAGAAUCAGAGACAAAUUAUAUCAGUUUAAUUAGAGAUACAAAUAAGUCAAACAAAUUAUAGCAGUUUAAUUAGAGUAAAUCCUUAAAAAGAUAAACCAAAAACUAAAUCCGAAAAAUAUAAUUAAGCAAAGUACGCACCUUAGUGUAGGUGUUUUCUUUUGACCAAAAAAAAAAAAAGUUUAGCUGUUGUCUUGUGUUUAAGAAACGUCUACGUGGUAGCCUCUGAAUUUUUUUAUUUUUUUUUUGUCAAAUAGUUGGUUUUCAUUAAUUGAGAACCGGUACAGCUGGAAUUAAAAGCAAAGCGGCCUUAGCAAGUGCAUCGGCUUUAGAAUUGUUUUCUCUCUUAACAAAAGAAAAUGAAUUUUCUUCAAAGUUUAGGGAGAGAACUGAGAUGUCGAAGACUAUCCCAUGGAGCUCCAUUGGAUGAGGCUCACCAUUUAGUACUUUGACUAGCUGCUGCGAGUCUGAAGCUACAACAAGUUUUUUGAAUCCAAGAUCUGCUGCGUGUUGGAUAGCGAGAGAGAGAGCCGAUGCUUUUGCCAAUAAGGGAGAUCUGAUGUUCAUCGCUGCAGCUUUAUGAUGGGAUUCCAAAUGGUUCGAAUGGUCCACAAAAACCCAACCGAAACCAGCCUGUAAGGUCUCUUCUCUCCACGAAGCAUCUGUAGAACAUUGAAUCGUGUCUAAAUCGAUCUCUGAGGGAGAUAUACCUGGAAUCACGAUCUUAGAUUUCGAUGCUUGGAUCUGAGCUCCUAACCAUUCUGUGGAUUGAGAAAUAGAUUGGGAUAUGAGAUCCAUACUCGAGAUGUGUUUUUGCUCAAAAAUUAGCUUGUUCCUGCAAUUCCAUAGGUUCCACAAGAUCCAAAUGGGAAGUUGUCCUUGUCCAAUUCCGAUUGGUGGAAGGGUAACGAGGAGCUUUGAGACUUCCAAACCCUGUUUCAUACUUGUGAUCCGGGAAGCUUGAAGCGUGGUUUUGAAAGGAGAAAGAUCCCAGACCUUAGAAGCAAAUGGGCAGAGGAAAAGCAGAUGGAGAAUUGAUUCAGCCUCGUCGCAGUGAGGACAGAGAGCAAGCGGAUUUAUACCACGCAGCCUCAGGUUUUCACCAACUGGGAGAGCAUUCUUCAUGGCUUUCCAGAGGAAAAUUUUCAAUUUUGGGGGGCAGUGUUUGGUCCAUAUCUCCUUAUUUCAGUUAAAGUCCAAUGGAGGUUCUUCUAGUUGAGUACCUUGGUGAGAAAGAGCAUCAGCUGCGUGAUACCCUGUCUUGACCGAGUAGUCUCUAGUCUUAUUAGGUAACCAAACAUAUCGAUCUCUGGCUCCAAAUUUGCUGGGUCUUAGAAGGAAGAUCUCCUUUUCAUAGCUGGGAAGUAACAAUCUUACUUUCUCUCUAUCCCAAGACUUUGUGGUUUGACAAAUAAGCUGAGCUACUGUCAUUGAUUUGAAUUGUUCAAGUGCAGGACCCAUUGGAGUUGAGGAGGUUGAAAGAGAUAGCCACGGUUCGUUCCAAACCAAAGUAUCCAAGCCCGAUCCAAUCACUUUCCCCAGCUGAGAUUUGAUUAGAUCUUUGCCCGUACAAAUGCCUCUCCAACCGUGAGAAGAAGCAGCAGUGACUGAGCAGUCUAGGAAGGACGAGGUUCGACAAUACUUUCCUAGCAGAAUUCUAACCAAAACACACGAUGGAGAUUGCACAAUACGCCAACUCAACUUUGCAAGCAAGGCAUCAUUAAAAUUUGUAAUAUCUUUGAAACCAAGUCCACCCUCCUUCUUGUUCUUUGCCAUUUUUGACCAGGCUAUCCAACACAUCUUCUUUUUAUCUGCAGAAGAGUCCCACCAAAAAUGAGUGAGGGCUGAUUGGAUUCUCUUACAAAGAGAGACAAGAAGUUUGAAGCAGGACAUGGUAUAGGUAGGCAUCGAUGCUAGUACAGACUUCAACAUUGUGGUUUUGCCCGCAGUGGAUAAGAACCGAGAAGACCAACUCAAAGAUCGCUGCCGUAUUCUAUCAACAAUCUGAUUGAAGAGAUCUCUCUUCUUUCUACCAAACAUCUUAGGUAAGCCCAGAUAUUUCCCUAGUCCUCCAACCAGCUGAAUUCCAAGUAUUUGUUGAGCUUCUGUUUUGAUAUGAUCAGGGGUUUUCCUUGAAAAAGUGAUUGCUGAUUUUGAUUUAUUGAUCAUUUGACCAGAUGCCUCUUCAUAUUUCUUGAGAAUGCACAAGAAAGUCUUACAACUUUUGAGAUCAGAGCGGCAGAAAAAUAUCGUAUCAUCUGCAAAAAGAAGAUGAUUAACUCUAGGAUUGCCUUUAGAGACCCGUAAUCCGAGAAGAGAUCCAUCGAGCUGAGCUUUCCUGCACAAACCAGAGAGAACUUCGCUGCAGAUUAUGAAGAGGAACGGUGAGAGAGGAUCCCCUUGUCUCAAUCCUCUCUCUGGAGUAACUGCACCUUGAGCAGAGCCAUUGAGGAGGAAGGAGUAUGAAACUGUGGUGAUACAUUGUAAAAUCCAGCUUAUCCAAGUUUGGUGAAACCCCAUCUCUUGCAUAACCAGUUUGAUAAAGUCCCACUCAAUUCUGUCAUAGGCUUUACUCAUGUUAGUUUUGACAGCCAUAAAGCAUCGUUUCUCUGCUCCUAAGGAUUUGAGGUAAUGAAGAGCUUCAUGUGUGAUUAGUACAUUGUCAUUACUCGCUCUUUUUGGAACAAAAGCUGACUGAUUUUCAGAAAUUAUCUCUUGCAGGAUUGGUUGCAGACGCCUAGACAGCAGCUUUGAAAUGAUUUUAUAGAAAACUGUGCAUAAAGCUAUAGGUCUGUAGUCUACCAUCCUUUUCAGGCUUUGGAUUUUAGGAAUCAGUGUGAUAUGUGUUUUGUUGAUUGUUGGCUGAAGGGUAGAUGAAGAAAAGAAGGAUUGGAUCUCCAAAACAAUGUUAGGACCCACAGUCAUCCAAUUUGAUUGGAAAAAACUCGCCGAAAACCCAUCCGGACCGGGUGCUUUGUCAGCAUGGAUAGAAAAACAAGCAGAUUUUAUUUCCUCUGCUGAAGGCAAUUAAAUCAGAGAACGAUUCUGUUCAGGAGAGAUGAAUGGUUUAAUGGCCUCUUUAAUGGUUGCAGCUCGAGCUCCUUCAUUUGCAGAGAAUAGCUUCUGAAAAUACUCGGAGAUAACAUUGAGGAUCCCUGCCUCUUCAUACUCAGGUACUCCAUCCUCCUUUUCUAUCACUGAGAACUUAUUUAUCACCGUUCUACCUCUAGUGAUGGCAUGGAAGUAACCCGAAUUUUUAUCUCCUAAGGCAAGCCAUAACUGUCUGCUUCUCUGCUUCCAAUACUCUUCCUCUGCCUUGUAUGCUAAGAGCAAAUUAGUAUUGAUAGUCGAUAACAGCUCUUGAUUGUGAUCUUGACUAGACAUUGCCUCUUCAAGUUUUUGACGAUUUUCCUCAAUAAGUUUUUGACUACUUUGCUGCUUAGCCCUAGACCACUUAACAAUUUCCAAACGACAUCUGCUAAUUUUUUCCUCCACAAUGUCUGUAUCAUAAAGAUUCCAGGCCUCUUGAACAAGGGCUGUGACUUCAUCGUUGUUUUUUAGACGCCUAUCGUAACGAAACACUCCUUUUUUCUUUUUCUUUGACAGGUCAAAGUGGGUAAGAAGUGGUCUGUGGUCUGACCCUUCAAAGCAAAGGUAAAUGCAUCUACUAGCAGGAUAAUCUUCAGCCCACGCUCCAUUGGACAAUGCACGAUCAAGCCUGCAAUGCACAACAUGAUCAUGUCUCUUUCCACGCCAAGAUAAGAAAUUCCCUGAAUGUCUUAAAUCAUACAAAUCACAUUCCGCCAUAAAUGAUCUAAUGUCCACAAAAGUUCCUUCAUAUCUUGCAGGUCCUCCUUGUUUUUCAGAAGAAUCUAUGAUAUAAUUGAAUUCUCAGUAAGAUACCAGGGUUCACUUCUAUCUUUCCCUAAACUGGUAAGCUGAUCCCAUAUAGCUUUCCGCUUUGAUCUGUCUGGUUCCCCAUAGAUGAAAGUAGCAAAGAAGUGUUUACCCGCCGCCUUAAUCUUUGUGUCAAUAAAGUUGUUGCAGGAAUAAAGGAUUGUCACUUCUACUUCAUGUUUCCAGAGAAGGGCCAGACCACCACCUCCUGGGCUAUGCGGGGGAACAAGGUGAUGUGCAGAAAAAUUCAUCCAGUUUAAAGAGGUGAGGGUUGUCUCAUUGGGGUUCUUGGUUUCCAUAAGGAACAGAAUUUCUGGUGAGAUUGAAGAAUGCAUCUCACGCAGCCGUUGUACUGUUGUGGGGCUCCCCAAUCCACAACAGUUCCAGCUCAGAACUUUUAAGGAAUCUGAUUUGGUAGAUGGUGAAAAUCCACCUUAUCUUUCACUCUUGCAGGUAUAAUAGUUACUCGUGGAGUAGGUUGACUUGAGGAAGGGUUGGAGGCUCCAGGUUGGAGGAGAAGCUUUUGCUUUGUUUUCGUGGUUCUGCUAGGGCCAGCAGAUUCUUGUAUGUGAGCUUCAUUCUUCUCAGGUGUGGAUUUCCUUUUAGGGGAGUUCUGGAUAAGUCCCUUUCUUUUGCUUGAUUUUGCUCCCAGCAAUGGUAAAGCAGCUUUGUUUUGGGGUUUAGCUAAAGGUGGACGUCCUCUUUUCUUUUUUGCAGGAGCAACACAGCUUGUAGUCUGAUCAGCCGGAUGACUUUGUAGGUCUUGGUACUGAGAGAGAUUAUCUUGUGUUGGAAGAUCUUCAGAGGCAAGGUAAUUUUGGUUUGAGAUGAGUGCAGCUUCCAGCAUUAUAGAAGCUGUUUCUGCCAUGAGUCCUUUUUCUUCUCCUUGAAAAACUCUUCGUUUUCUUGCAGCGCUUUCAGUUGGGUGUGCACAACUAACAUAUUGCAGAGUGACGUCUCUAAGCUCUCCCAUGAUUUGGUCAUUAGUAGGGAUGGGAGGAGGAGGUGGUGGAGUAACCUCAUAAGAAUCCAGGUUUCUCUCCAACGGGGGACGUCUUGUUCUCGAAGUUUCAGAGCUAUCAUUUCUAGGACUGAGUCUAUGUGUGGCUCUAACCCUCCAUUGAGGAGUCUGAGAAGAAUCUCUUCUUGGCCCCUCUCUAAUAGGAUCCUGAUAUCUUGAGGUACCCCUUUUGUCUCCUGUCUCAUGGCGACCUAAAUUCCUUCUGUUAGGGUUAAAAGGAUUUCUGUGUCUUCUCUCCUCAUAGGGUCCAGCUCGGCGAGAUAGAUGUUCUCUAGAAGUUGAGGUCUACUCCUCUUACUUUUCCAAGAUCUUGAGAACGACUUUGAUUAAUAGAAGGGUUUCUUGAAGGCGCUCUUGAGGGAGAUGAUUCUCUUAGAGAUCUAGGGGCUAUGAAAUUGUCUCUAGGAGUGUAAUAAUUUCUAGCCAGAUCCUUGGAUGCCUCUUCACUUCUGGAAGAUCUGAACUUUGUAGUGUCCUCAUUUUCUGAAACCAGAUCUGGACAGAAUUUCUUUUCAUGAGUAAGUCUUAGGCAAUGUGAGCAGUAAUUUUUGAGAUUCUUGUAGACUAACGAGAUCAGAGCUUCGCUGCCAUCAGGAAAGUCUACCAUGGUGUCAAGGACUAGCGAUUUCAGGCCAUCAACAAAGACCUUUAGCUUUGCUGAAGAAUUGGUUAUUUCAAAAUCCAGAAUUUCUCCCAAGUCUACGCCAAUAGCUUUGAGCAUAUCCUGGUGCCAGUAAUGUUUUGGGAGUCCUUGGAUAUCAAUCCAAAAGGGGAUCUUAGAGGUAAAGGUGUCAGAGAUUGUAGGUUCCCACUUCUGAAGGAUGACCAUCCAUUGAUCAUAGUGGUAAGGCUUAUUGUCUAGUACUUUUUGCAUGUCUUCUUCAAAGUCAAAACAAAACUGGAAGCAGCCUCUUCCCAGAUCUGAACCCGUAGCUUUUCCUUUCAGAUUCCACCGGUUUGAGAGGAAAGGAAAGAGAGACCAUAAUCGUUGGAUAGAUGGGUUUGUGAGGCGAUCCAUUAGAGUUAGGGAAUUAGCUUCGAUGAGGUCUGAAGUGUCCAGUUCUGGUGCACGAAUUCUUCUUCGAAUUG
rnacentral:lncRNA from 1 species